rnacentral:lncRNA from 1 species
UGGCAAAGAAGCAUAACCAGAUCACCAAACUCAACAAAUUGACCGAGUCAAGAAGAUCCAAGAAUCCGCCAGCUGGGGAAGCAUGGACAAAACAAGAUACAUCAAACUUCUCUCCAGUACUUUCUAUUGAACCUCAACAAGGAUCAAAGGAAGCAGACAGGGUUGAUAGGCUUCCAGGUCAACCACAAGUGGACUUUGAUCAUUUUGCUGGCUAUAUAACAGUGGAUUCAAAGGCUGGAAGGGCAUUGUUCUAUUACUUUGUUGAAUCACCUCACAAUUCAUCAACCAAACCACUCCUCCUAUGGCUUAAUGGAGGUAAUGCGUUUUUUGCUUCAUUCUACCUCUAAAAUGGUCCCAUGACAAAUUAUAAGAAUACAUGUUGUCCCAACCAAUUUUUGGAAUCAAUGUGAAUUGAACUUUAACUUUUUGUUCCACUAAAAAAAGAUGUUACUAAACUAAUGCUUGCAAAAGUCGUUUUAUUCUCCUCAUGGAAUAUCAUUGAUAAAUCAUCAUUAUUUACAUGUGUUGAGAUUGACCAAUAGUAGUGAAUUACAGGACCAGGAUGCUCGUCCUUCGGAUAUGGAGCCAUGGAAGAACUUGGGCCCUUCCGUGUCAAUAGCGAUGGAAAAACACUCUACCGCAACCACUAUGCAUGGAACAAUGGUAACAAAAACUCCUUUAAAACCUUCAUAUUCGUGUUUCCAAAAUUACAAUGUAAAACACUAAUUCUUGAAAAAUGAAAGUGGCCAAUGUACUAUUCUUGGAGUCGCCAGCUGGAGUGGGAUUCUCGUAUUCAAACAGAUCAUCUGACUACACCACAGGGGACAAGCAAACAGCUAAAGACUCAUACACUUUUCUCAUCAACUGGCUUGAAAGAUUCCCGGAAUACAAAACCCGAGAUUUCUUUAUUACAGGUGAAAGCUAUGCAGGUCACUACGUACCUCAACUCGCAUCCCUCAUUCUCUCAGAAAACAAGAAGACAAACGGAACAGUCAUUAAUCUUCAUGGGAUUGCAGUAAGCACUUUUCAUACAUGGGACUCCACAGGGGGACGUUUAUGCAAAAGUCAUAUUUGCCCUCCUCAUCUGCUAAAUGGGUAUAUUCUUUUGUUUUGUAGAUUGGGAAUGCUUGGUUAGAUGACGAUACAGUUUAUCAAGGGAAGCUAGACUACUUAUGGACACAUGCCCUAAUGUCCGAUGAGGCAAAUGCAGGAAUUAAAAGGUACUGUUACAAUGUUUCUGGUUAUUCUCAAGAAAAGUGCUAUCACUAUGUAAGUCAAGGAUUAAGUGAAGUUGGUAGAAUUGAUAUAUACAACAUCUACGCACCACUCUGUGAUGGCACCACACAAAAACUUGAGUCCAUUGGAUCUGUAAGUCUCUGAUUCCAUUAAACAAGAAUACAUAGCAUCCAACUUUCAAAAACUAGAUAAAAUGUAUCCUGUUAUUUUCAAGAGAUGACGUAUUGAACCAGGUAAAGAAUUUUGAUCCUUGCUCUAGUCGUUAUGUGUCUUCAUAUCUGAAUCGAGCAAAAGUGCAAGAAGCUCUUCAUGCCCGAAAUACCUCAUGGUCACAUUGCGGGUACCUCUUUUCUUAUAAAUACCUCAAAGCCAAUAUAAAAAGGCUGACUGUUUUAUUUUCUUACCAACAGCGAUUAUGAUUGGACAGAUAGCCCAACGACUGUUUUGCCUACUAUCAAUCAGCUAAUUGCAUAUGGUAUUAAAGUCUGGAUAUACAGGUCAGUCCACCGCAAUCUACACCCAAUCCUUUUUUUUUAAUUGUUUCUCAUUUACUUAAAGGAGAGAUAUGACAUUGUAGGCGUAAUUCAAAAUAAGCUUGAAAGUUAAGCAGUAAAGCUCUUCUCUUCUCUUUUUCAUAUUCCUUCUCUAUACGUUUUUUUCUUCUUGUUAUUCUUUUUUCUUCCUGUUAAUUCAUAACAGAGACAUAAAGAGAAUAAACUAUCAUUGUUUAAAGGGAAAUUGAGUAAUCUAACCCUUAUAAAUGACCUUUUUGACGUAAAUGAUCAAUUUUUUUUUUCUUUUUUUGAGAAAUAACCAAUUUCUCCGUAACACCUUGUUCCGGAGAGCUCUCCGGAAUUCCGGAGUACAUUUCCGGACCAUGGUUCUGGAAUAUAGUUAGCUAGGUUUUUUUUUCUUUUUUUUACGUGUAACAUGUGGUUUUUCUUUUAGCGUAAAUUUUUUGUUUUAUAUAAUACAUAUAUGUUUUGCUUUUAUAAAAUGUUUAAGUUUUGUUUUUAUAAGAUGUAUACCUUUUGGUUUUAUCAAAUAUAAAAUGUAAUUAAAAUGAACAAAGAAAUAAUAAAUACAUAGAGUAAACAAAUGAUUUGUCUAUAGGUGGUAUUACAAAUACUAUGUUUAAAUUAUCUUUGUCCUUAUACCACAAAAAAUUUCCGCUAAUCGUUUUCGAUAACCUAAAGCCCAUGGACCGGUUUUACCCUCUACAGAAAUCGAUUUCCCAAUGAUUAAUGCCUUCGGUAACCAACACAAAAACACCCCACAAUCCUUUUCGUUGUGAAUCUGUUGUGGUACGUCUGGGUCUUUUCUAGGGUCAUCUUGAAGCUCUCAAAUGGGAUUGAAUCAGUGAGUUUGGUAUUCCAGUAGUUGGAUCCCACCAGCAGUUUGUGGAUGUGGGCUCUCAAACCAAUAAACCAAUCCUAAAUUUCUGAACAGUAGCCGCCCUUCCAAUGACUAUCGUAUAUAGUCAUUUUGAAUGUCUUCAAAUCCAAAAAGUGCAAAAACUAAUGAGCUCGUGGUAUGUUGAUUGAGAUGUAAAGGUACAAAAAAAAGUUAGAAAUAAUUAAUUAGUAUAGAAAUACUCAGAUAAUGUGAUCCAAACAAAAUUAUGUCGUAUCACACUCUGCACAAGCUGGGUAAACGGAUCAGUCAGCCAUGUCACUCCAGUCAUAUGCAUCAGUGUUGAAAACUGUUAGUACCAUCGUCCACCGAGCAUCAUCUGCUCUACACUCUAGCAGCAAUGAGAUCCACAUCAUAAUGUGUUGCCAGUUAAUUUUUUGUAGUAAAGUAAGUAUUAUUAUUAUUAGAAGAGUAGUAUUUAAUAAUCAAAUAAUUAUAUUACUUACAUCACAUGACAACCAUCAUCCAUGACUAUCUAGAUAUAACCGUGUCCAAAGCUUAAGCGUAACAAUACCGGUCAAACAAUUGUGAACACACAAGAACGAACCAUCCCAUUAUUUAUAUAUAAUAUGUACGGUAGGAUCUACAAGAUUGUCCAGUGGUGCUGGUUGUUUCCGUAUAACACCUUUCCUUUUCAUUUGUUUCCACGACGACUUAUACCAUAUGAACAUAAAUUUUUGGCAUUUAGAAUGCCUAAGAAGUGCUUGCCCCGGUUUUUGUAAUCAUCCUACGAAAUCUCUAUUACAUCCGAAGGGUGAAUAACCGGAGACUGAUGCUCAGGGCCGACAUUCAGCGGUAGUUCAAGGCCGACAUACAUUGGCUUUUCAAGGCUACGUAAUACAUAAUCAUGCUCCCAUAACUCAUUGUCAUUGUAGUAUCCCGGUACAGUUCAAUAAUGUAUACUUAUAAACGAUGCAAAAACAUAACGACCAAAAAUGAUGAAAUAAUUAAAAAUGUAUCUCCAUCCCCUUCAAGGUACCAACAUCAUCUCCGAGAGUCUUGUUGAUAAGUUUUAGAACCAUGGAUAAAGUAGCCUCAUGCUCUACUAAACGCUCCUCCUAGACCACAAUUGCUUGCGACAUUGAUGAACCUCAUUUUUCAAUUGAUCGAACUCGUUAUGCUUGUCACUAAUAAUUUGGUCCUUGUCAAUUGAUGGGUCGGGGGCGGCGGCGGUGGUGGUGGCGGGUGAGAUGGAUCAUCUAUUCGUGCCUUCCUNGCGGCGGUGGUGGUGGCGGGUGAGAUGGAUCAUCUAUUCGUGCCUUCUGUUCUUGAUGCUCAUGGGUAGGGGAGUUUUUGGGUGAUGUUGUUAGGGAAGGUGCCCUGUGAACUUUAGGGUCUGAAAAAUCAAGGCGAUCAAUCUACGCCGAGCUAACAACCCAUCGUUCAAAACGCAUCUCAUUUUCCGUCACCUCCAACUUCGGUACGAGUCUAAUACCAUGCUAACAAAAUUAUAAAAUUAUAAAUAAACAAAAAUUAUAUAAUAAAUAAAUAUUUAAAUAAUAAAGUAACAAUAUGUCGUCUAUCAGUAAAAACUGGUUGUAGUAGUCUUUUGUAACGGCUUAAGUUUUCACUAUGCAACAGCCUGAGGGAUCACAUUUUGCUGUCGGGAACAAAAUAAUAUGCUCACCGAAAAAGUCUCAAGAAUCCAUAUCUGAAUGUUAGUAAACAAAUAAAUAAAAAGUAGUUAGAAUGUUAGCAAAAGAAAAUAAAAAAAUAUAUAUAUUUUUCUAUAUAUACUUACCUUAAAAGGGUAUAAAAACCCCUGUACGGUCUAUGUAGGGUUUAGGUCAAUUUUUGAGGUUCAUUGUCUUUCGGAUCUUCUAGAUGUAUAGGCUUCUUAACGUUAUUGAAUACAGUAUGUAGUUGUUUGUACAAUUGAUCACAAAUUAUCCUCCCCCAUGGAUAUCUACCACAUGAAAAAUUAUUUAAUAAUUUAAUUUCUAAAAAAUAUUAGUAACGAUAGGAAAUUUAAUUAACCAAUAAUUAUAAAAUAGAUGACAUUAUACAUGUUGAUUUCAUCAAGGUUGGAUAGCAAAGCGAAGUUCUCUUCUGUAACAGGCUGUUUAGCCAAACGUCAAUUGACACCCUUCUAUAAGAGGUAUAGAAGACAUACACGGACUGCAUCCUCGUCCGAUAACUCAUUAUGUGAUUGUCUAAACACAUUUGUAACAUGGUGUAAUAUAACCGAGACAUUCGGUAGGAUAGGAAAGGAAUGGGAACAAAAGACGAGGCCGGAUGAAGAAAACCGAAAGCCGGUGAUGACACAAAAUUCUUUCUUCCGAAAAGACAGCUCGUAACCCCCAAUCUCAAAAACCAUUUCCUCUACUUGGCUUCGAGGGCCAGUGACAACUUUGUGGGAAAAGACGUAAUGUAGAAGCGAAGCAUCCCCAUCUACAUUAGGAAUGUCUAACCACCUCCCGAAACAUGUAUUCUGGAACAUAGUCUCGCAUUCGGGACUAUUUCUGAAUGUCACAAGGAUUUGCCCACCGAUUUUUGGGUUUACACAAGAGUGUAAUUGAUGCAUCGACAAUCAUGACACAAAUAAAAAAGGUGUUAGCACUUCAUUAUAAAAUGGGAAUGACCUAUAUUCUGGACCGGUUCCAGACCCGUACUUCAUGUUCCAGAGACAUUCAUCUUGUUCCAGAAUGCUUCUUCAAAUUCCGAAGCCUUUCGGAAUGACAUUUUAAGAUCCGAAACACGAAAUUUCGAUGUACAUCAACAAUAACUAAACAUCUAAAAUACUUUUAUGUUGGUUUUACAAUAAUGAAAUCUUAAAUUUUAAACUCCAGAACAUUUUCAGUUCAUUCCAGAUGUGACCUACUACAUUUGGAACAGUAAAUAACAGUAGAAAACGAAGAACAUACCCGUAAAAUAACGGGAUCGUAGUUGUCGUCUUCCACUCGAAGAUGGGUGUCGAGUCGGAACAUCGUAAUCUAUUCGGAACAUAGGAAUUGAUUUGGAACGUUGGAAUCAGAAUAUGCCUUUCCAAAAUGAAGUUGUCGCCUCAAAUUAUAUUCCAGAUUUUGAAAUUCAAGAUUCUGAUUCGGAACAUAUACGGGUCCUCCAGAAUAGGAAUUUCGGACCUAGUGAAGUGGGUUGGGCCAUUCUAAAAUUAAUCUGUAAUUCAUUCCAGAACGGCCCAUUUCGGAAUAUGUGGUUAUUUUGCAAAAAAAAAAGGUUAUAUUUAAAAAAACCCCCCAAAAAGUGGUUAGAUUACUCAAUUUCCCUUCUUUUAAAGGCUAAACUAAUCUUUGUUAUUAGCGAAUCUGGUGUGAUGUCAAACAAAAAAGGAUGGGUUACUCUUUAAUAUCCAAUGUUUUCUUAGAUGAAUUAUGCAGCAUGGUCCUUGAAAAUGAAGAUUUAUAUGCAAGCUUAAGAGGUGUUGGAAGCCAUAGAGCCGAAGAACCCAAAAAAUAUGAUGGAUGUGAGCAGAGACAAGAUGACAAUGGCUUCCAUCUACCAAGUGAUUCCGGAGGAGGUUUUGUUGAUGAUAGUUGAGAAGAAAUCGGAGAAAGAAGGUUAAGAACAGUAAAGAAGAUGUACUUGGGAGCAAAUUGAGUCAAAGCAACCAAAGUUCAAACUCUCAAAGCUGAAUUUGAGAUGAUGAACAUGAGAGAACUAGAGAACAUGGACGACUUUUCUGCAAAGAUCCAAGGUAUUGUGAGCAAUAUUUUUGCUCUUGGUGAGACCGUUGAAGAAUCUUAUAUUGUGAAAAAAAAAUUGUUAUGUGUCGUACCCUCCAAAGUUGUUCAGCUUGCUUCAACAAUUGUACAAUUUUGAUGAGAUAACUUUUGAAGUGGUGGUCAGAAGAUUAAAAGCUCAUGAGUGUAACGACCCAAUUUUUCCAAAAGAAUUUUUUCAAUUUUGGUUAACCAAAAUACUUUCCAUAAUUCAUGAAAUCCCAAAUAAAAUUGUUUUCAAAAUCCAUAACCAUUACAAAUUUAUUUUAAAUCAUCAGAGUGUCCCAUAAAAUGCCUGAGAGAGAGAGAGAGAGAGAGAGUACAGGCCGCAUCAUAAAGCCAUGCCCUUGCCCUUGGGCUCAGAUGUACCUAAAACAAAUCCACAAACUGUAAGCUAAUGCUUAGUGAGUUCCCCCAAGCAUACCCCACACACAGAUCACAUAACACAUAUCAUACUAGCUAUAAAAGCUACAUCUACCAUAUAAGCCAUGAAUAUUAACAUAUACGGAUGAUGUGGGCUCCCCCAAGGUCUUAUAACUUAAUUCCAUGGGCUCCCCCAUGGUCUUUACCUAGGAAUACCAUGGGCGCCCCCACAUGGUCUUAUAUCCAACUGCCACGGGCUCCCAUAGGGUCUUCCAUGCAGUAACAUACAUAAUCAACUAGCAUAUCAGAUAUCACAGAAGUAUCUAUCAUACUAUAUAACUCAUAAUUAAACAUAUAAGGAGGUUGUGGGCUCCCCCAUGGUCUUAUGCCUUCAUGCCAUGGGCUCCCCCAUGGUCUUUACCUAGGAAUGACACGGGGUCCUCCAUGUAUUCUUAUAUCUAACUGCCACGGGCUCCCCCCAGGGUCUUCCAUGCAAUAUCACAUAACCACUACCUACCAUUUAGUAUAAGGCUAACUAUCAUACCACAUAUCUUUACUACAACUAGUGUACCACAUAUCAUAAAAUGGGCCGACCUUGGUGCCUUAGACCCAUUGGUAUGGUGAGAAGACUCCCCUUACGUGAAUGUAGAACUGAUAAGCUAGAUCUAAUAUAUCCCAUGUACUGCUCCUCCUCAACUGCCUAUAAUCAUCAUGUGAUUAACUUGUCACAACCUCAUAAUACCAUAGGUGCUCUCAAAGUCAACGAUGAAGGUCAACAGUCCAUGUUGACCUCAACUCGUCGAGUUCUCUCAGUGAUUUAUUCACUCACCGACAUACCUGUGUAAGUCGACGAGUCCCUGCAUGUCCCAAACCAAAAAAUCACGAAACCGAAAACUCAUGACAACCAAAAACUUAGAAGACCUGAAAAUGGGUAAACCCUACUCGAAUUUUCGAGUCAGAUAAGGGAUUCGACGAGUUCCUUCAAUCUUCUUCAAGUUUAGCCAUUUUUAGUGGGAUCUAAGGUCCCAAACUCCAGAUCCAAACUCUCCUAGUGUAGAUACCACGUAAAGUUGCAAACUUUAUGUUCAUGCAAGGUCCUCCAAGGCUAUAACUUCAAAGCUAGGUUUCUUGCAAGGUUCUUGUGCAUGGAAAGUGGCUAAACUACAUAAAAGGAGCAACUUUAUGUCAUUGGGGACCUAAAGAGGUGCAGAUCUAGAACCAUACCCUUGUGAUAAGUCCAUAUCUAAGCAACUAGAGAUAAAGGUCACAACUUUAUACCUUAGGAUGAUGGACACUAUGAAUUAGAUGUUGGAUCUAUUGUUCCUCUCCUAGCUCCUUCUUCUUCCAGCUCUAAAAUCCUUCACAAAUACCCCAAAAUUGUUCAGAAAGGCUCUUUCUCUCACUUAAGUGGGUGCAAGGUCGAUCUAGGGUUUUCUCUGGCUGAUAGAGUCAUAAGUGAGCCCACAAGAGGCGGGUAAUGAUCUUUAAAUAGGGUGCAACCCCUAAAAAUUAGGGUUUCUUUUUAAAGCUCCUACUCGCCGAGUCGGGGCCUUCCGACUCAUCGAGUAGGUGCCAAUUCCGCGUCCUUAUAAUAGUCACUAUUCGAUGAGUUUGGGCACCCAACUAGCCGAGUCCAUGCACAAAACUCCACAACUUAAAUAAAUUAACACCUGGAAUAGAUGUUACAAAUCUCCCCCACUUGAACUAGACUUCGUCCUCGAAGUCUGCUGACUUAAAUAAGUCUGGGUUGUGGUCUCGCAUUUCGUCCUCUGGCUCCCAUGUCCAUUCGGAGCCCCUCCGGUGCUACCAUUGCACCUUUACUAGCUUCACUUCUUCGUUCCGGAGGACCUUAGUCUUCCUAUCCAAAAUCAUAACAGGCCUAUCAAUGUAGUCAAGGCUAUCAUCCACCUGAAUGUCAUCUAGAGAAACGAUUGCAGUCUCAUCGGUGACACACUUUUGAAACUGUGACACAUGGAAUGUGUUGUGAAUCUGGCUAAGCUCAUCCGUCAGAUCCAAGCGAUAGGCCACCUUGCCCACCCGGGCCGUAAUACUGAAUGGUCUUAUAUCGGGGUCCUAGCUUGCCCCUCAUUUAAAACCUGAUGACCCCCUUCUAUGGUGAUACUUUGAGUAACACAAAGUCCCCCACCUAGAACUCAAGAUUCAAUCGCUGACAGUCAACACAACUUUUUUGACGGCUCUGUGCAACCCACAGCCGGUCGCGCACCUGCUGAAUUAGCCUGGUAGUCUUGAGCACUACCUCAAUGCUCCCCAUGACCCGAUGUCCAACAUCACCCCAACAAACCGGGGUCCUGCAUCUGCUACCAUACAACAUCUCGAAUGGUGGUCGGUCGAUACUGGCCUGGUAACUGUUGUUGUAUGAAAACUCUGCCAACAGGAGGUAUGUAUCCCAACUCCCUCCAAAAUCCAACAUGCAUGCUCGAAGCAUAUCCUCAAUUGUCUAGAUCAUCCUCUCACUUUGUCCAUCUGUCUAGGGGUGGUACGCCGUGCUAAAAUGCAGUUGAGUGCCCAGUUCCUCAUGAAACUUCUUCUAGAACCUUGAUGUGAACCGAACAUCCCUAUCACAUAAAUAUCCGCCAACUUCUCAGUGGAUACACUCUCAGAGAUCAGAAUAAAAUGGGCACUCUUCGUUAAUUUGUCCACAAUCACCCAUAUGGCAUCCACACCCCUCGUCGUCCUCGGUAACUUCAUGAUGAAGUCCAUAGCGAUCUCCUCCCACUUCCACAUGGGAAUGGGUAGCGGCUGAACCUUACCAUGAGGUCGCUGAUACUCGGCCUUGACCUUCCUAUAGGUCAAGCACCGCUCUACAAACUAGGAAAUCUCCCGCUUCAUGGAGGGAUACCAAUAACUCAGUCUCAAGUCUCUAUACAUUUUCGUAGCCCCUGGAUGGAUAGAGAACUUGGACUUAUGCGCCUCCUCCAGAAUCUUCUGCCUUACUCCCCCAGAUGCUGGGACCCAUACUCGGCCACACUACGUCAGGAGGCCUUGACCAUUCCGGACGAACAAAGGAAUUUGUCCCCAUAUCCUCUCUAACUUCUAAUUCUCCUUCUUCAAACCCUCCACUUGUGCCUCCUUGAUCAUAUCCAACAAUGGGGAGAUCACAUUCAUCCUUAAAUAAACGUUCCCAAUCGGGAGUCCUGCUGCGUUGCGGCUCAAAGCAUUGGCAACCACGUUGUCCUUCCGUAGGUGGUAUAGGAUCUCACAAUCAUAGUCCUUCAGCACGUGCAACCACCUCCUAUGUCGCAUGUUGAGGUUUUGUUGAUCCGUCAAAUACUUCAAACUCUUGUGAUCAGUAUAGAUGGUGCACCGCACCCCAUACAAGUAGUGCCUCCAAAUCUUGAGGGCAAACUCCACUGCCCCCAAUUCCAGGCCGUGAGUGGGGUAGUUCGCCUCAUGAGGCUUCAACUGCCUCGAGGUGUAAGUUAUCACAUGCCCCUUUUGCAUCAGUACCGCACCUAGCCCUGAAAUCGAAGCAUCACAAUACACCACCAAAUCCUCUAACCCCUCAGUUAGUACUAGAAUCGGAGCCUCGCAUAGCCUCCGUCUCAGGGUCUCAAAAGCCAAUUGUUGAUCCAUGCUCCACCAAAGUGUCACAUUCUUCUUGGUCAACCGAGUCAAUGGCACAACAAUCUUGGAGAAAUCCUGAAUGAAUUUCCUAUAAUAGCCCGCUAGACCCAAAAGGCUACAUAUCUCGAAAGCAUUCUUCGGCACUUCCCACCGCAUCACUUCCUCAACCUUGGUUGGAUCAACCGAAAUGCCCUCCUGCUUGAUGGUGUGCUCCAAAAAUUGUACUUCCCGCAACCAGAAAUCACACUUGGAGAACAUAGCAUAUAGCCUCUCCACCCUCAGGGUCUCCAACACCUCUCUCAGAUGCUAGUCAUGUUGCUCCUUGGUCUUAGAAUAGACCAGGAUAUCAUCAAUAAAACAAUCACUGACCAAUCCAACAUUGGUCUACACACCCUGUUCAUGAGAUCCAUGAACACUGUUAGGGCACUAGUGAGCCCAAAUUGCAUCACCAAAAACUCAUGGUACCCAUACAGAGUCCUGAAAGUUGUCUUCGGUGUAUCCUCAUCCCGAAUCCUCAUAUGAUCGUAUCCCAACCAAAGAUCAAUCUAGGAAACCAAGAUACACCCUGCAGUUGAUCAAACAAAUCAUCGAUCCUCGGUAACAGAUAACAAUUCUUCACCAUUAGUUUGUUUAGUUCUCGAUAAUCAAUGCACAUCCUAUGUGAUCCAUCCUUCUUUUUCAUGAACAGGAUCGAAGCUCCCUACGGGGAACUACUCGGAUGGAUAAAUCCUCAGUCUAGCAGCUCCUAAAGUUGCAUAGAUAGCUCCUGCAUCUCGGGCGGUGCUAGUCGGUACGGUACCUUCGCUAUCGGAGCAGCACCCGACACCAAGUUAAUACGAAACUCCACUUGCCCCUCUGGAGGCACUCCAUGUAACUCCUCAGGAAAAAUAUCCUGAAACUCCUAUACAACCGGCACAUUACCCACCUCUGUGUUGGACUCAGUUAUCGUAUCUGAUAUAUAUGCCAGAAAUCUCAUACAACCCUGUUGCAGAAAUCUUCGAGCCCUUGCUGCCGAACAGAGGGUUGGUCCCUGCGAGGCCCUCUCUCCAUGAAUAACCAGUUCUCCCCCACUUGGGGUUCGAACCCUCACCAACUAGUGCUCCCAAUCAAUCAUAGCCCCAUUGGCCCCCAACCAGUCUAUCCCGACAAUCACCUUCAACCCUCGCAAUGGUAUUUGGACUAAAUCAACCCGAAACAUCUCUCUAAGCACGUUUAGGACACAGUCCCGAUACACCCUCGCAGCACUCAUAGUGUGGUUAUCUGCAAUCUCUACCUCGAACGGGGAAUCCAAAGUUACCGGAGUAUCCCGAAACUUCUUACUAAGCGCGAGAGGCACGAACGAUCGGGUAGCUCCCGAAUCGAACAAAACAUGAGCCGACAUACCAUUGACCGAAAAGGUCUCUAUGCAUACGCACAAUGUACACAUAAUCAAUGCAAUUAAACAUAGAACAGAGAAGAAUAAAUACGUACCAGCCACAACGUCUGGUGCUGCCCGAGCCUCUUCGGUAGUCAACUGAAAUUUGCGGCUCUUCACUGCUAGAACAUCCGCUUUAGCAGGGCGGCCAUCAGUAAUCCUCAUUGUGGCGGGCGCAGGCAUCGCCAUUGCUCCUCCCUCUCCCUGCAACGUCGGACAAUCGGCCCUUUUAUGGCUAGUCUGGUUGUAGUGGAAACAUAUCAGGCCCUUUUUGGGGCAAUCCCUGCUCAAGUGACCCUACUGGCCACAUGCGUAACAUCCUAGGCCUGCUAUCCGACAAGCCCUAUUAUGCAAUUUACCGCACCUGGCACACCGGCCCCCGACCCUGUUGGCCCCUACUUGAAGUAUCUGAGGUCUUAGGCUUUUUAGCCUGACCAACUGUUGUUUGUGCCUGCUUCGGCUUCCGCUUGGUGUGAAAGUGCAACUGCAUUUCCUGUUCUCGGGCCUUGUCUAUCAUCUCGUUCAGGGUUUUGCACCUUGUGAAGCUCACAAACUCCUAGAUAUCAUCCAUCAACAUGGAAUGUUACCUCGUCCUCCUCACAUCCUCAUCAGCAGCGUACUGCGUAAUCAACAAUGCUCAUUCCCGAAACUUGGCGGUGAUCUUCGCCGCAGUCUCGGUAGUCUGCUGGAGUUCCUGGAACUCCCUCACCAUCCUAUGCACCUGAAUGGCUGGUGCAAACUCCAUGUCAAAUCGCCGAAUGAACUUGGCCCAUGUCAUCUCAGCCACACCAGCUGCUCCCACCUGACUAGUCACAUCUCCUCACCAGUCUCGAGCUCUGUCUCUCAGCAUACAUGCUGAACUGAAAUGUCACCACCAUGCUCCACCUGACUAGUCAAAUCUCGAUCCUGAUUCCCCUGCUCCAAAUCAUGUCACCACCAUGCUGAACUAAAAUAUCAUAAAUCAUAACGAUUAGGAUAUCUAUAUAGGGGAUCUUCCUACACCAGUCCUCCUUAGAGCUGUCAGAUCUAACAUUGGUUCGGGUACAUGUCCUACGCUUUCAGUAGUAUGGGCCUAAUACUACCUUCCAUACCUGCAUGUACCUUCCCCAAGGCUCUACCUGAUGACUCCAAGUCAUCCCAAAACAAAUCAUAUCCCACAGAAUACCACAUAUCUCAAAUUAUACAUAGAAAAGGAUCAAAUAGACAUUCGAAUAAGAGAUUCUACCUUAAGACCACAACCAUACGAGGAAUAGGAACUAAUGCCAAAUCAAUCAUUCCAAGGCUAUAAGCUCAUAACCAUAUACAAUUUUAAAGGCAUACACAUAGCAAGUUUCAUAUGAUUAUCAUAGCUCAACUAUCAGUAUAACAUGGAUAACACAUUGGGGAACUACUUACUUGGCUCGGUUGAUCACGCGCAUUGCACUCUCCUCUUCUCCAUACUUUAAAAGUUUUAACCUCCAUUUUUAUUUUUGAAAACAAUUUUACCAUUUCCUUAGUUUGAGUCCUGGCACACCGGAGAGUGUGCCUGAAUCCCUCAAACUAAGGCUCUAAUACCAACUUGUAAAAACCCAAAUUUUUCAAAAGAAUUUUUUCAUUUUUGAUUAACCAAAAUAGUUUCCAUAAUUCAUGAAAUACCAAAUACAAUUGUUUUCAAAGUCCAAAACCAUUACAAAUUUAUUUCAAAUCAUCAGAGUGUCUCAUAAAACGCCUAAGAGAGAGAGAGAGAGAGAGAGAGUACACGCCGUGCCAUCAAGCCUUGCCCUUGCCCUUGGGUUUAGAUGUACCUGAAACAAAUCCACAAAUUGUAAGCUAAUGCGUAGUGAGUUCCCCCAAGCAUACCUCACACACAGAUCACAUAACACAUAUCAUACUAGCUAUAAAAGUUAUAUCUACCAUAUAAGCCAUGCAUACUAACAUAUAAGGAUGUCGUGGGCUCCCCCAAUGUCUUAUACCUUGAUGCCAUGGGCUCCCUUAUGGUCUUUACCUAGGAAUGCCACGGGCUCCCCCACGUGGUCUUAUAUCAAACUAUCACAGGCUCCCCCCGAGGUCUUCCAUGCAGUAACAUACAUAAUCAACCAACGUAUCAUAUAUCACAGAAGUAUCUAUCAUACCACAUAACUCAUACAUAAACAUAUAAGGAGGCCGUGGGCUGCCCCAUGGUCUUAUACCUUCAUGCCAUGGUCUCCCCCAUGGUCUUUACCUAGGAAUGCCACGGGCUCCUCCACAUGGUCUUAUAUCCAACUGCCACAGGCUCCCCUAGGGUCUUCCAUGCAGUAUCACAUAACCACUAGCAUACCACUUAGCAUUAGGCUAACUAUCAUACCACAUAUCUCUACUACAGCUAGUCUACCAAAUAUCAUAAAAUGGGUCGGCCUUGGUGCCUUAGACCCGUUGGUAUGGUGAGAAGACUCACCUCUCGUGAAUGUAGAACUGAUAAGCGAAAUUUGAUAUCUCCCAUGCACUGCUCCUCCUCAACUGCCUAUAAUCUUCAUGUGAUUAACUUGUCAGAACCUCAUAAUACCAUAGGUUCUCUUAAAGUCAACGGUCAAGGUCAACUGUCCAUGUUCACCUUAACUUGUCAAGUGCAUCCAGCAACUCGUGGAGUUCUCUGAGUUAUUCAUCCACUCGCUGAUUUACCUGUGUAACUCGUCGAUUCCCUCCAUGUCCAAAACCGAAAACUCAUGAAACCAAAAACUCAUGAAAACCGAAAACUCAUGAAACCGAAAAAUCGGAAGAACCGAAAACGGGUAAACCCUACUUGGUUCGUCGAGUCAGAUAAGGGAUUCGACGAGUUCCUUUAGUCUUCCUUAAGUUCAGUCCUUUUCAGUGGGAUCUAAGGUCCCAAACUCCAAAUCCGAACUCUACUAGUGUAUAUACCACGUAAAGUUGCAAACUUUACGUGCAUGCAAGGUCCUCUAAGGCUAUAAGUUCAAAACUAGGCUUCUUACAAGGUUCUUGUGCAUGGAAAGUGGCUAAACUGCAUAAAAGGAGCAACUUUAUGUUAAUGGGGACCUAAAGAGAUCCAGAUCUGGAACCAUACCCUUGUGAUAAGUCUAGAUCCAAGUUUGACUUCAUUUUGCACGAAGAAUGUCCAUUUACUUCCAAGGAAAGGGAUCUAAGCAACUAGAGAUAAAGGUCACGACUUUAUACCUUAGGAUGAUGGCCAAUAUGAAGUACAUGUUGGAUCUACUGUUCCUCUCCUAGCUCCUUCUUCUUCCAGCUCUAAAAUCCUUCACAAAUACCCCAAAAUUGUUCACAAAGGCUCUUUCUCUCACUCACGAGGGUGAAAGGUCGAUCUAAGGUUUUCUCUAGCUGAUAGAGUGAUAAGGGAGGCCACAAGACGCGGGUUAUGAUCUUUAAAUAUAUAGGGUGCAAACCUUAAAAUUAGGGUUUCUCUUUACACCUCCUACUCGCCAAUUCGGGGCUUCCGACUCGUCGAGUAGGUCUCGAUUUUGCGUCCUUAUAACAGUCACUACUCGAUGACUUGGGGCAUGUAACUCGCCGAGUCGAUGCACAAAAAGCUAAAACUUAAAUAAAUUAAGUAACAACUGGAACAUGUGUUACAAUGAGAUUCGUAUUGGGGUUCAUAAUGAACUAGAUGAGAUGAAGUUCUUGUUAACGCAUAAAGAGUAGUCGGAACAGGAAAAAAAGAAAAACAAUGAAGAUCCUUCAAAAUAGCAAAACAACAAUUAUAAUAAUAAUCGAGGUAGUGGAACAUGAGGAAGAGGAAGAGGUGGUUAUAACAACUUAAACAAAGGACGAGGUAGUGGUAUUGAACGAAACAAAGGUAUUAAUGACUUGUAUCAACCUCGUUAUAAAUCUAAAGUUCAAUACUAUAAUUGCAAAUAAAUUAGUGAUUACGUUGUUUAGUGCAAAAAUCCAUGAUGUGAGAGGAAUCAUGCCAACCUAACUAAGGAAAAAAACGAUCAUGUGCUGACACUUCUACUUAUAGCCCAAGUAAACGAUGAAGUUUAAUUGAAUGAGGAAAAACUAAAUCCCAAGCUAAGAUCCGUUGAAGAAACUCCACCCCAAUCAAAAGUGUGGUAUAUCGACAAUGGAGCAAGAAACCACAUGAUUGGUGUAAAAUGUAAUUUCGAACCCUUUAUCUAACUACUAGAGGUUAUUUUAAAUUUGGUGUUGUUUCUAGAGUUCGAGUGGAGGGAAGGGGUUCAAUAUUGGGAUAACUAGCUCAACAUGGUAAUCAAAUUAUAAUGCUUGGAGUGUAUAGAUGGAUUCAUAAUGCACAAGGAAAACUUUUGUUAAAAAUUCAACAAUCAAGCAAUUGUUUGUAGAAGGACAUACUUGAAGAAGAAGUUUCAAAGCGUUUUACUUGUAGAACAAGACGAAACAUCUUGGCUUUGGCACAAAUGAUUUGGACAUGUGAACUUCAAUGCAUUAAAACACUUGGCAUAUACAAGAAAGGUGGAAGGCUUACAAAAAAAUCGAAGUUCGUACUCGUUUGUGUGAAGCUUGCUUGAUUUCCAAGAAAGAUCGAAAAUUUUAUCCAAAGAAUACCAACUGUAGAACUAAAGAAUGACUAGAACACGUGCAUGGAGAUCCCUGUGGUCCGAUCGCAUUGCCAACACCAACCGGAAACAUGUAUUUUAUGUUACUUGUCAAUGAUGAUACACGAUUAAUGUGUGUUUGUAUGUUGAAAAACAAGGAUGAAACUUAAACUAUAUUUAAGAAGCUUCUUGCUGAAUUUCUCUGUAACUGAAUUCUUUUAGAGCAUAAGUUGAACUUAAAUCAUGUUUAAAAUCAAAAGUAUUUUUAACCGAUCAGAGUGGUGAAUUUUAUCGACACAAUUCGCUACAUAUUAUAAUGAAACCGAAUUGAAAUACCACUAUAGAAUACCUUAUUCCCCACAACAAAUUAGCAUUGAAAAAGAUGCAACCAAACUGUACGAAAGAUGGAAAGAAGCAAUCUAAAAGGAAUGAAUGUUCUGAUGGGUUUUAGUAUACUACAACAUCCUAUGGUCCACAUACAACCCUAAAUACCUUGGACCUAUGUUUUCACUAAUUAUACAUGCAAAGGUGUUUCCAAGGCAUUAUACCUAUAACUAGCAUGCAAUUUGACAUAAACAAUACAAGACACUAGUUAGGGUAACAUACCUUUGAUUUGGCUUAAAGUCUUGAUGUAUUUGGUGUUGCUUGAUAGACCUUGGCCUUUAAGAACUUAGUGGCCCAAGUGUUGCACCUCAAAUGGAAUCACAACUCACUUAGGGAAAAGGUAACUCUUAAGAGAAAAUUCCAUGCACCAAAAACACCUUCAAGUUUCUCUAAGAAAAGAAGCACACGUUUUGGUCAUGAACUAUCAUAUUUAUAUGUUGGAUUCCAAGGGUCAUGCAUAUAAACCAAAUCCAUAUCCAUGGGUAUUAUGAUCCAUGCUUCAUGUGGCCCAACUCUUUACGUAUCCAUACAUAAACUUGGUCCAACAUGGAUCAUAAGCCCAACACAUAUAAAUAUAACUAAUUACCAUAAUUUGUCCCCAUAUAUUUAAUUAGUCUCUUUUGAUCACUAAAUUAAUUCCAAAUGAAUUCUUGAUGAAUACUAAUUAAAACAUAUAAUUUCAUAUUAAUAUAUUAGAACUUAUAGCAUAUUAAUAAAUCAUAUAUAACCUUCUCUCAAGAAUCCAUCCUAACAAAUUGUCCUGGUGUUAUGCAACCCAAAUGGACCAUGCUACUUUCGGAUCGAAUAAAUACCAAUAAUAGUUAUGGGCUUAGACAUUUAGUCCAACAGUCUCCCACUUGUAUAAGUCUAAAACUAUUAUUUCGUAUGACUCCAAGAUCCCGACUAGCAAUCGUAGCUCUUAAAAGUCGUUGUCAAACUCUGACCUAGUCAAUGACAUGUCCAUUAGAUAAGGGAUCAUAUAUUCCGCCAUUCUAGAUAUCAUAUGGACUGAGACAUGGAUUAUAAUCAUUCUCUCUAAUCAUUUGUUGUUUCCCGAUUUCCGAUUUAUGACGACCGACUAAUUGAACAAAUCAAAUUAGUCCAUUCCCUGCCGAGCACUUACGUUUGUCAUCACUAAAUCAUCGACGGGCUCAUAGAUAUCGCUUUUAUCCCUCCAAGGGUAAAAGGAAUGGAUAAACUUCGACCCAAAUGUUUGCUUGUACUUACUCAUCAAAUUACACACAACGAUAUGUUUUAUAACAACCAAGUUACUAGUUGCGUUUACAUAUGUCAACGUGCAACCGAAGCGCAACUACAACUCACAUGUCUCCGUUUGAAGAAUAUAAGAUAUUAUCGUCUCAUGAUCACUAAUGAUAAAAUCCAUGAAGUGAGUCAAAUGAGCGUGGUUUAAAUCCAAUACUCGAAUCUCAUUCCAGGAGCACUCAUGAACACUACAACUAUGUCUAGGCCACCUAGAUAAACUACAGACCCAUUCAUCACAGUCUUGAUUUAUACCUACUUCCAAAGUAUGAUUGACUGCGGAGAGUUUGAAUAACCUAGUUAUUCGGGAAGUCAAAACAUGCAAAGUGAAACACAAGAAUAAUACUAAUCUUAUAUGGCCCCAAGCACCUUUGAGAGUAAAUAAAACACAUUUUAUUCAAACACCAUAUUGAUUACUCAUUAUGUAUUGUAUAAUGUUUCGAAUAAUCAAAUUUAUACUUAAAUCAAAAAAAUACAAGCAUGCACAUUAUGUUUGUCCAAACAAUAGUAUGCCAUACUCCAAGUAUACACAUUAUGUUUGUCUAUGAUCCUUAUUUUGUGAAAUAGACCAAUUGAACGUGAUUCCAAUGAUUCUCAUUUCACAAUCCCAAAUCUUUAUCGUAGAUGUAAGAAUUCCAAAUUCCAGCCAUUUACCGAAAUCUUUAAAAUUCUAAACUUAUAUACAUUUAUCCUCUUGUAAUGAAUAUGCACAAAGUCACAAAGACUUUUCAACAGACAUUACAGAGUAUUCCAUUGGAGAGAAAUUCCAUGGGAAUGAAGUCUCAAAUUCAAAGUACAACCCUUUGAACAUCCUUCUUGCAUUAAAUUUUCUAAUCUUACAUAGAUUUGAAGAACAACUUCCACCAAUGGAAACAUUUCCAGAUUCCCAUUUUACCUAUCACUUAUGAACAAGAGUUGCCUCUUUUUAGAAUAUGUCAAUAUGGUCCUUCCAAAAUUAACACUAUACUUCCAACUGUCCAUGAGCAACCAAUCUUUAGUAAACCUCAGAUUGUCCUCGACAAUUGCUUAAUCAUUUUAGUCAUAUCCAAUUCUAUUCCCUUUUCCCUCUUAAUUCCCUAGGCAUUUGGAAAAUUUAGAAAGGAUAAAUAUUAUAGCACAUGUAAUCGAUCCUAUACCCAAAGCAUAUGGGACAUGCUUCAUGAUGUCUCACAUAAAGACAUGAUCCUAGACCAGUCUUUUGCUACAAUAUUUUUUUUAUUUGCCAUGUUGUCAUAAUUCGACUAUGAAGAGGGAUUCCGUAAUCAUAAUAAAAUUUUGAGAACGCAAUAUAUAUAUAUAUAUAUAUAUAUNNNNNNNNNNNNNNNNNNNNNNNNNNNNNNNNNNNNNNNNNNNNNNNNNNNNNNNNNNNNNNNNNNNNNNNNNNNNNNNNNNNNNNNNNNNNNNNNNNNNNNNNNNNNNNNNNUAUAUAUAUAUAUAUAUCCUUGACUAAAGAUGAUUAAAAUCUCAAUUUAAGCUUUUAGAAUUGAAAUGAAGUAUAAUUUCCUCUCCCUUAAUUAUAGCAAAACAACUUUUCAAACCCUACAAAGUCACGGAUUGAGACUUUUGUUUUCUAUAAUUAACACUUAACAUAAUAAUCAUGCUCCCACUAACAUGAUAAUUAUUACCAUAACACUUAUGCUCCCACUACCUUUGACAUGUAUCCAGAAAUCAGUUGGGCUUCUAGAAACCAAUACUCUAUUGUCUUUCUUACCAAAGUUCAGAUUUCUGAUACAAGAUGCUUUGAUAAGACUUUAUCAAAAUCAUACCAUUUUCCUUAGAUAUCUCACAUUAAUGUCUAAACAAUUUUUAGAACAAUGAAAAGGGAUGUUGUAAUCAUAGUCUUAAUUGUUUAGACCUUUGCCAUUUCUCACAAGUCCAUGUUAGUGUGCCGGUUAACCACACACGCUCCACUAACGACUUUGAGAAUGCAAAUAUCACAAUUGCUAUCUACAUAAAAUCUUUUUAGUGAAAGCGUUUCCUCAUCAUCAUUUUCAUGAAUCGGAGAGAAACCUUAUGACACUUAGAUUUUAUGGUGUAUAUGUUCCCAUCCAUGUGAAUUUGUCAAAACCAUAAUUACAAGACAAGGUUAGUGACAAAUUCAAACCCAUAUGGACUGAACUUGUUCAAUCUUAAUUUCUUGCCACCUGGCAGCACAAGGGCCUACCAUUGCUUCCAAGUACUUAUGAAAACAAUUGAGAACUCAUAGAACUCACAUGCAUAGUCAACUUUAACUGGAGUGGGCACAAAAAUAAGAAUAUGUCAACACGAUAGGUUACAAACCGCAAGUCGUGUGCCAGUGAUAAACAACUUGUUUUAUUCUUGAUUAGUUCUUGAAACAUGCUCAAGAUCUUUAAGACUCCCACUGACCUCUUGACCUAUAAGAUUCUCUUUUCAAGAACCGUUCCUGGAUAAAGCAAAUAUUCAAGAGUUAGUGCAGAUUCUUAUCAAGACAAACACUUCACACAAUUGGCCUUAGUUGGUCUUUGUUUUAUCCAAAACAUCACAACUUACCAAUUUCAAAUGUACAAGAGUAAGAAAACAUUUUAUUCUACAUUUGACUAGUGUUAUAAACCUUUUUAAGACGGUGUCACUCAAGGUUAUAAUCUUGGAGCAUCACUCUAUGACUUGUUUUGGGACGAAGUAUGACUCAUCUUCUUGAUUUAACCAUUUCAACAAUUCAUGAUUCCUCUUCUUAGUCAUACAAAUGCACUAAGAUAACCAUAAAACAAGAUACUCAAGUACUCUCCCAUUUUUUCAGAUUGGAGAAACUUUUGUCUUUCUUCCUAAUUUGAUUCUUCUCAUCCGUCCUUCCUUACAUUGAAACUUUUCCAAUGUUUCAGAAUUACAUUUAAACUUGUAAGUAUAACCAUAUUUACUAAACUUUAGUAAAUCACGACGAAUAGUCUCAUCCGUCUUUGUGGUGGACCUGACCAACGCACAACCAAGUGUACCCGAUUUCCUAGUCCUUCACUUGAAUCACAUAUACAUGUGAUCAAGGAAUUAGUCUUAAUAUCCUAAAGAUGAAACUUCUCAUUCAGAAUACAAUACAAGUUGCAUGAUUCCAAGUUUCUAUCCAACUAAAACUUGGGUGAUGAGAAUCUUUCCUUAUUUGGUAAAUUAUGACACUACCACAAACAAAAGAAUCAAAUCCAUUUUUCCAAUAUUGCUAUCAAUGGAAUCAUAUAAACAACAAUUUUUCACAAAUGCUACUAUAAGGAUAUUUAAAAUAAAUAAAAAAAAAAAGAAACUUUUCCUCUAUUUAAAACUUGUAGAAAAACUUAUCCUUACAAUGCAAAUGAAUAUGAAAAACUUGUUGUUAUCUAUUCCUAAGCAAUAUAUCAUAACUCUUAAGCAACAACUCAAAAUUCUGAUCACCGAACCAUGCGAUCGAAAUCCAUCUUCGCGAUCAGAAUCAGCAUAUUCUUCAUUUAAGCUUCCUUUUUUUCUUUGAUUCUACAAAACAUCAAAAUGUGACCGAGUCACAUCAUGUAAUAAGAAUCUUCAAAUAGGAACUUAAUAGAGUUAGAUAGUAGACUUUACCCGAUGUAGAGUCAAACUUUUUAACUUUACCAUCGUUUUGAUCUUUCAGGUAAAUAGGGCAGCUUCGCAACCAAUGCCCUUCCUUUGGCAAUAGAAACAUAUGGACUCUUUGGUAAUGGUACAUGGGACUAUCUCAGACUUAGCCUUUCUCUUUACCAUUUGGUCAACUGAGUUGACUAUGGCCGAUCCUUUUCCAUUGGGAAGAGAAAGCUUUUUUGGAUUUCCAGUGUUACCAUUGUCAAUGUCCAUGGAAGUUUGGGAAGUUAAUCUUCCAAUCAAAUUUGCUUUACCAGUGCUCCAAAUCAUUGCUGAUUCAGCAGCACCAAACAAAUAGGUGAGAUCAUUAAGGGUCAUGUCAUGGUUUGUCAUAUAGUAGUCCUAAAGGAACUCACUAUGUGACUUAGAAAGUGAUUGAAGAACCUAGUAAACAACCAACUUCCUCAAGCCUUUGACACUCAACUCUCCCGACUUGUCAAUAUGUGACUUCAUCUUCAAGAUGUGAGCACAUAUAGACUUUGCUUUCUAAUAGGGCUUGAGUGACCUUGAACUUGUGGGUUAGGGAGAAUAAUUGGAGGAGGUGGAGGAAAUGAAGUAUCAUUUCCAUGAUCCAAUCGCAUGAUAUCAUCUUCAUUAGGAAAUCUUGUUCCAAGAGAUUUGGGAAGAUUAUAGUUGUCUGGAGCAGACAUCAACAAUGGGAGAUAUUCAAGUUAGUUGAUUUAAGUCCUUAAUAUAACUCCCAAUAUGAAAUAUUAAGGGUAGGACCCAACACAAUAUUUUAUAACUUGGAAGAGGGAUGCCGUAAUCCAAGCUAUGAAAUAUUAGAAGGUAGGUAAAUGAUGAUUCACCAAUUUCCACCAUGAAAAACAAAAUAAAUAUUAGAUUUUAAUUGGUUUGAAACUCCUAGGUCUUUUAAGAUUCAUUGAACUUUUCAAUGGCAUGUUUAAAUAUGGACUGUGCCCUCUCAAGUUUGUGACUGGGAUGCCAAGGAUCACAAACAAGGUGUGAAUAACCAUGAAAAUUAACUUGGUACCCUUAAUCUUUAUCACCUAAUCAAAGUGUCGGUUAUCCACACACGCUCCACCGAUCUAUGAUAAACAUUAAGUCACCCGUUUCCACUCUUACUAGUCCAUGUUAGUGUGUCAGUUACCUACACACGCUCCACAAACGACUUGGUAAGGUACAAUGUGUAAUUUCAUGGGUUAGCACAAAAUUCACAUUUUCCUAAGUAACUAAGAUUGGGAAUUUAUAAUGGUUUAGGUACUUAGUAUUUAUCAUUAUACUUUUAAUGUAAGGAGAAUUAUAGUCAUGUCAAACCUGUUCGACUAACUACCCUCCACUAGUCAAGGAAGCGGUGGGUGAGAGUGGACACCCAUCAAACUGCCAUUUUAUAGNCACCCAUUAAACUGCCAUUUUAUAGGCAGGAACCUUACCCCCCCCCUUCUAGACCGGCUUCGUGAAUGAGGCCUACUAAUGGUAAGACUGACUUUGUUCUUAUACAUAUAUAUAACUAUUAACUAUUAAUAUUAUAAAAGUAUAAGGGUUGAAUUUUAACCUUUCAAACUCUAAGGGUUAACUUGGAAUUAAAGUAUUCAUGGGGGGAAACUUUACAAAUUCGAAAACUCGAGGACAAGUUUUGAACACUUCAAAAACUUUUGGUUUCCAUAACUUAUGUGUUUAAAGUAGUUUUAGUGAACAAACUCUUCAAGUUCCAUAACUUGAGGAUAAGUUAUGGAAGACUUUAAAACAUUUUAAAAAAUGAGACUCUUUAUUUUCAUAACUUAUGGAAUUUUUUUUAUGAGUUUUAAAAUUCAUAAAUGAGUCUUUUCAUAUAACUUGAGGACAAAUUACAAAAACACAUUUUAUGAAAUACUUUUAGAUCAAUUUGGAUUGAAAACAAUUUAUCACACAAUUUUUCUAUUAAUCUAAACUGACUUCUAAGAACAAGAUAAUUCAAAUCAUCAAUCUUCAAGAAAUUAGCAUGAACAUAUAAACUAAUACAAAUCUUGAAAUUAUGACAAUUAUCUUUGAAAUUGGAUUAGCAUGAACAUUACCACAUCAAAAACAGAUUUAUAAGUUCAAAAACAUCUUAGGGUAAUGUUCCUUGUCCAAUUCCAACCAAAAAACUCGAAAAUAUGCUGUCAGGGGGUCCAAAUCAUCGAGUGCAUGAACCGACUCGAUGAGUUGGAUGAAUUUGUACAUGGACUCGUCGAGUCCCUAAAUGGACUCAGCGAGUCAGCUGUCCAAACAGCAAAAAAUUCGAUUUUUCAGCCUUUUUUUUAGCAAUUUGCAUCAAGUAUAAUUAAAAACAAGCCAUGGCUCUGAUACCACUGAUGGGUUUUAGUAUACUAUAACAUCCUAUGGUGCACAUAUGACCCUAAAUACCUUGAAUCUAUGUUUUCACUAAUUAUACAUGCAAAGGUGUUUCCAAGGCAUUAAACCUAUAACUAGCAUGCAAUUUGUCAUAAACAAUACAAUAUACUAGUUAGGGUAACAUACAUUUGAUUUGGCUUGAAGUCUUAAUAUAUUUGGUGUUGCUUGAUAGCCUUUGGGCUUUAAGAACUUACUGGCCCAAGUGUUGCACCUCAAAUGGAAUCACAAAUCACCUAGGACAAAGGUAACUCUUGAGAGAGAAUUCAAUGCACCAAAACACCUUCAAGUUUCUCUAAGAAAAUAAGCAUACAUUUUGGUCUUGAACUAUCAUACUUUAUAUAUUGGAUUCCAAGGGUCAUGGAUAUAACCCAAAUCCAUAUCCAUGUGUAUUAUGAUCCAUGGUUCAUGUUACCCAACUCUUUACGUAUCCAUACAUAAACUUGGUCCAACAUGGAUCAUAAGCCCAACACAUAUAAAUAUAACUAAUUACCAUAAUUAGUCCCCAUAGAUUUAAUUAGUCUCUUUUGAUCACUAAAUUAAUUCCAAAUUAAUUCUUGAUCAAUACUAAUUAAAACAUAUGAUUUCAUAUUAAUAUAUUAGAACUUAUAAUAUAUUAAUAAAUCAUAUAUAACCUUCUCUCAAGAAUCCAUCCUAACAAAUUGUCCUGGUGUUAUGCAACCCAAAUGGACCAAGCUACUCUCGGGUCGAAUACAUAACAAUAAUAGUUGUGGACUUAGACAUCUAAUCCAACAUGUUUGAGAAGUCCUAUGAGAUGAAGUCUUAAGUCACUCAGUCUACAUCCUAAAUCAAAUAACCAUAAAAACAUUUAAAGCAUCAACACCUUAUGAGCUAUAGACAGAUCGGAAGCCAAACAUUAAUCAUAUGAGUGUUUUUGGUUUUGUUGGUUAUAUAAAAAUAGUAGAAAUACAUCUAAAAAAAGUCAAUUAUAGAAGUAAGAAGCUAGUACACUUGGGAGUCAAAAAGGUACAAAAGGUUAUCCGCUACUUGAUCCAGAAACUUGAGAAAUUCGACUUGGAAGAGAUGUGAUUUUUGAAGGAGAUACUAAGUGGAUUUAGGGACCUAAAACAAAGUUUAACUCCAUGACAAACAGAACCUUCACCUGUGAUAUCAUGCUAGAUAUCAAAGCUGAACAAGAAUAAUAUAUCCAUCCAAAUUUCUAAGAAGAAUAAACACCAUAAGGUAGCCCGAUUACACCUUGGUCCUCACUUGAUAGUUCAUCCGAAAUUGAAGGUCCCCAAAUAUAUGGUAGUUUGGCUGAUUUUUAUGAAGUGAUGAACUUAUGUUUCCACAAGAUGAAGAGCUGGUAAAUUUCUCGAGUGCAUGUGAACGUGAAGAUUGGAUGGAAGCUAUGCAAAGUGGGCUAAGUACAAUUAAGAAGAAUAAAGCACGGAGUCUAGACGAGAAGAAUAAAACACAUUGGUGUUAAACAGGUUUAUAAAAUAAAAGCGAGAUCCAGACGAUUUUUUUUUAUGUACAAAGCAAGGUUGGUUGCAAAAGUAUACGUGCAAAAACAGGGAGUAAAUUUUGAUGAAGUGUUUGCACCCACAGCCCAGAUGGAAACCAUAUGUAUCAUUGUUGUACUUGUAGCCAAAAAAAGGUGGUUGAUACAUAAUCUUGACAUAAAAUUAGCCUUUUUAUAUGGGAAUUUGGUAGAAGAAAUUUAUAUCACACAACCGGGAGGCUUCGUAAAGAAAAACAAGACAAAACAAGUGUAUAAAUUUGCAAAAGCAUUCUACAGGUUACGCCAAGCUCCAUGAGCAUGGAAUUGUCGCUUGGACAAGUAUCUAAAGGGAAUUAGUUUUAAAAUAUGCCCACUAGAGUAUGCUUUCUACACAAGGAUAAAGGAUGGAAACAUAUUAAUAGUUAGUGUCUAAGUCAGUGUUGCAGAAAUCGGCCUUGGCGGCCGAUUAAUCGUUUGGCAGCCUUAAACCGAUUACGAUUAGGGUGCUUGGCGGAAAUUGGUCAAAAUCGGUCAGAGUCGUCCUUGGCGGUCAUAUGUGGGAAUUUAUUAAAAAAUUCAAAAAAAAUUAAUAUUCAAAUAUUACACCAAAAUUUUAAAUUUUUAAAAUUUUAAGCUUUCAAAAUUUAAAAUAUUAAACUAAAACUUUUUAAAUUUUAAAAUUUGAAAUUUUCAAAUACUUAGUUUUUUAGGGAAUAUGAAUUUUUUGAAUGAUUUUAUUAAUAAUUAAGGGUCUCCAAUUAAUCUCCAAUUAAUCCCCGCCUAGUCUGAUUAAUUGCUUAUCGUCAGUCGACCGCCGAGCUACCACCGAGCGAUUUUUACAACCCUGGUCUAAGUCAAUGAUCUCAUCAUCACCGCGGCUCACAAUGAUUAAGUAAAAAGUUACUAACAAUAAAUGAGCAGGGAGUCUAAAAUGAGCGACACUGGGAUGUUAUACUAUUGUCUAGGCAUCGAAGAACACCAACAUAAUGAAGGUCUUACACUAAAACAAUCAGCCUAUGCAACAAUAGUACUCAAGAAAGUUGGAAUGUUCCACUGCAAUGCAUGUAGGUAUCUCAUGGAACCAAAGUUAUAGUUAACUAAAGAAGAACAAAGUGAGUUUGUGGAUCCUACUUCAUAUCGAAGCAUUGUAGGAGGCCUUAAAUACAUGAAAAACACUCGACCACUUAUAUAGCUCAUUUGGUAGGUAUCAUGAGUCGAUUCAUGGAAGGUCAACUAAGCAACAUCAACAAGCUAUAAAACAUACACUAAGGUAUAUUAAAGGAACUAUUCAUUAUGACUUGAAAUACACAAAUGAAGAAAUAGAAAAUGUUGUAACUGGGUUCAUUGAGAGUGAUCUAACAAAAGAUGUGAAUGACAGACGAAGGACUACUAGAAUGACAUUCUACUUAAAUUAGAACCUUGUCACAUGGAACUCACAAAAAGAUAAGUGUGUUCCAUUAUCUUCGUGUGAAGCACAGUUCAUGGUAGAAACAAACACAACAUGUCAAGGGAUAUGGAUCUAUCGAUUACAAAAAACAGUAAUUCCAAUAUCGUGCUACUGGUGGACAACAAAUCAACUUUGGAUUUGAUGAAAAAUCUAGUUUUUCAUGGAAGGAGUAAACACAUUGACACUCGGUUUCACUUUAUUCAUGAUUGUGUUGAAACAGGUGAUGUAGUUGUAAGACAUGUGGACACAAAUGAACAAAUAACUGAUAUCUUGAAAAUUUUAAUGGGAAUAGUCAAGUUUGAAAGCAUGAGAAAAUUGGCUGGAGUUGAAGAGAUAAAAGCUUAUGAAUUACAUGGGAGAAUAUAGGUGUAAUUGAAAAUAAGCUUGAAAGUUAAGUAGUAAAGUUCUUCUUCUCUCUUUUUCANUAUAUAUAUAUAUUUCUCCUAGUAUGCUUUUUUCUUCUUGAUACUAUUUUUUUCGUGUUAAUUCAUAACAACAAAUUUAAGAGAUGAAACUAUCAUUGUUUAAAGGGCUAAACCAAUAGACUUAGUUUAGUAAGCGAUAUACUGGUGAUAUAUUUUUAACUUUGUGUGCUAGUUGAAAGGGUAUAUGUUAGUUGAAAAAAUAAUUGAUAACUGAAAAGCUAGUUGCUAGCUUGUAUGUUAGUUGAUAGAAAAAAAAUAAGAUUUGUUAAAAACUAGCUGAUUAACUAGCUGGAAGAUAUAAAAUGACGCAAAAUUACAUUUAGGAUAAUUUUCUAAAUGAUUUUCCUAUAAUUAAUUAAAGGUAUACUUGGAAUAUUUAAAAUAAAUCUUGAAAAUCUAGUCCAAGUGGCUUUUAAAAAAGCUAGCUUAUAAGCUAAUUUUUUGCUUGCCAAACAUGAUGGUUUCAAAAGGCUUGAAAAUAAGCUAGUUUAUUAGCUAGUUGUGAUGCGUCAAACAUAAAUUUAAUGCAAAAAAUCAACAAACAGACGUUUUCCUACGUCAUACCUUUCUCAAAUAAUUUUUCAAAAAUCAUAUAUCCAAAUAAUGCUUUAACUCGUGAGUCCCCGAACACAUGCAACAGGAAGUCAAAAUAUUUUGUGGGGUCUUUUUGAUUCCAAAGAUUAUUCACAUUAUUGGUAAAGUUACAAGCUAAAUGAAUAGAGCUUUUUCAUAUUUAAUAUUAUUUAAUUCGUUAGCUUCAUAUCGUCCAUAACAGGAGCUCAUUAAAGAGUUAUUUGAGCGAAAUCAAGUUUAGCUAAAUCAAAAUAUCUAUUGUGAGAACUUUUUCAUCCCAAAACCUUAAUUUUCAAUCUCAUAGGGCUUUUCACAAUUCUAAUUUUAUUAAUUUCAUUUUCAUAACUUUUAUUUUAUUUUAGUAGGACCUAUAAAUAAGUUGUAUAUGAAAAAAUUUACUACAGCUUAGAUAUAUUAAAAUUUUCAUUUAUUAAGUUGGCAACAAAAAGAUUAGUGAAAAAACUUUGAAAAAGUUUUCUAUUAAUGUAGAUGAUACUGAUAGCACCAAAAAAACGUUUGUUAGAAAGAUUUCGUACAAUGGACAUUUAUUUAAGCUUUAAAGUUUAAUAAUAUGGAGAUGAUGUGUUUAUUAUAACAACACCUUACAAGUUACAUCAUGAACAAUUGGCAGUGGUGACACUGAUGGAAUGAUCCCGGUAACAUCCUCAAGGUACUCUGUGAAUAAGUUAAAGCUUCCAAUAGAGACUGCUUGGAGACCAUGGUACUAUAAUGGAGAGGUAACAAUAUUUGAAAUGUUAAUCGCAUUGAAUAACAAUAUAGGAGUAGAAAAUUUUAAAUUUAAGAUAUUGAUGUUAAAAAAUGUGAUAGGUGGGAGGAUAUGUGGUAGGCUACAAAGGAGUUUUACUUACCACAGUAAGGGGCGCAGGGCAUGCAGUCCCUAGCUACCAGCCAGAAAGAGCAUUGUUGAUGAUUUCAUCAUUCCUUCAUGGUAAACUACCGCCAUCAUUGACUAAAUAAUCAUCGUCAGUCAUUUAUCGGAUGAAAAAACAAGUUAUAAGCAAGUGGUAUCCAAUCGUAUUCGAAAUAUAACAAGGUCAUUUAGAGCAUGGAAAGUUUAUAUACAAUGACAAAUAUAUGUGCUUAAUAACUUUCUAUGACUUUAAAAUAAACAAAAUGGAAAGAAAUUUGCCAAUACCAUCGGGCCUUCAGGGCCAACCUCUUUUAUUUCAUUGCAAUGAAAAUAACCAUACUAUUCCCUACUUGAUUCCUGUAGGAAAAUUGAUUUUAACCAAUUUCCAAAAAUGGGGUGUUCGUGAUUUUAGGCAUGAAUUUUGAACCAUAAAUGUUAUCAAACUGUAAAAAUGAUUAUAUUCUUGUGUUUUCCUCUAUGAUACAUUCGCUUUCAUAUAUCACACGUCCAAAAUGGAUUUAAGACAAAUGAUAAAUUGUAUGUUAAAGUGAGGUGCUUGGAAGAAAUUAACAACGGGGUUCAAUGUGUUUUAUUCCAUCCCAUAUGCAUGAGAGUUUAAAGAGGAAUAUAGUUUAGAACUUUAAAGGUGUCUUAUCAUUUUAAGUCAACUAACACAAAGACUCUCUCUUGCGUACGAAUGGGGUGGGAUGCAAAUGAAAACUAAAUUGGCUUGGGGUCACUAAACUCGUAUGUGAGCGUGUAACCACAAACUCCAAACCCAAUAAUGAGCGAAUUCCUUUUAAGGAAAUUAUGUUAAGGACAGGCCUCAUCAACAAUUUUAUGUUUUUCUUUGUUCGUAUAUUUUUAUGUUAUAUUUUUCUAACAAUUUCUUUGUAUCAUACACUAGCUAAUAAAUCUAAAACACAUAAAAAAUGUUACGUUCACAUGUGAUAAACUAUAUGAAAAAACCCAACAUAUACCUUCUGGAAAUAAUGUCACUAGCUGUAGUGACCAUAACCCAUGAAAAUCCAUUCUUAUAGGUAAAACUUAUCAAUAUAUGGUAGGGAUACUGAGAGUUGUAUCAAUCUUACUUUUCAUAACUAUCACCAAUAAUGUAGGUAUAGUUACUCACUUUUUUUACUAUGACUAUUAUACACCUUUUACUAUUGAUAAUAUUCGUAUAUUGUGACUAUUAUCUACAUUUAAUGACUUACAAGGAAUUAAAUGAUGAUCACAAUAUAAUUAUAUUGACAUGUUUUUCUUUUAUUAUGACUAUUGAGAACUUGUAGUCACUUGUUCAAUAUUUAAUCAUCAGCAUAAAAUAGUUAUUGUGACUUGUAUUUUUAUAUACAGUGAAGUGUUUAUAUUUAGUUGUUGGAUUAGGUGUCUAAGCUAAUAACAAAAUUAUUAUAAUCUUGAAUUAUAGCAAAAUCUUUUUAGGUUGCCCUCAAACCUAUUAAUUGAUUGAAAUGCUUUUUGGAGAGAGAAAUAGACUGAUUUAUUAAUUUAUUAUAUGAUUAAUAAAUUAAUUAGAAAUCAAAAUAAAUAAUUUAUUAAUAUAUUAUGAUAAUAAUAUAUUAAUUAGAAAUAGUAUUUUUUUAAUUAAAAAUUAGUUAGAUUAAUUUUGGGAUUAAUUGGAUUAAUUAAAAGUAGAAGAACUAAAGGUGACAAUGUUUAGUAGUUGAACAUUGGCCAAUUCCAGAACCUUCCAUAGGGGGGAAGGUUCCAAAGGAGUUGUAGAGGGUUUCUUGAGUUUUUCUUGAGCUCUAAGGGAACUUGGAUGCCUUAGCAGGAGAGCAAAAUGAUUAGGGUUAUCUAAAAGGAAACUAUAUUAUCCUUAGUCUCCUUAUCACCUAUAUAAACCCCAUUAGGUUAUGAUUUUUGAAAUUCACCUCAUUCCAAAGAGAAUUUUGUAAAUUCCCUUCCUCCGCCUAUCUCGUCUUUAGCCUCCAAUUUUGCUAGGGUUUGGGUAUGAGCCAUUAGAGGCACGAGACUUCUGUUGCUUUCUUUCUGAGGACCAACAAGGAAGGAUUACUAGUUUAUUUGCUAUAAUAAAAUAAGAUAUGAAUUUUAUAAUAACCAUUUACUAAUUUUGAAAAUAGCAACAUACUUUCAGGGUUCUUGAUGUUCAAUAGUUGUUUGCAAAUCAUGGUGAGAACAUAGAUCCUUUAGGUUGCAUGUGAACUUAGGGUUUAUGUUUCUCCACCAAAUAUAGAAUUUUUGUAACAUAUAAAAUUGAUCAGUGGUAUCAGAGACAUUGCUCUGAUUGAUCUUGCACAAAGUUGAAUAGAUUAAAAUUAGGGUUUAUAGAAACCAAACCCUACGGAGUCAAUUUUUGAAAAUCCCUAGGAUUGUUGAAACCUUAGCGUCCAUCCUCAUAUUUUCGAUUUUAGCAAGGGUUUUAGAAACCCUAACCUCAUUUCCCCAUUUUUUGAAAUUGAGGUGUCCCUUUAGGGUUUACCUUGCUUCCUUAUUUUGUUAUUUUAAAAGCUUAAAAUUGGAAAAAUUAAAAUCUGGUAAACCCUAGCAUAUAUUUGAAAAUUAGAAGGUUUUGGAUUAGGAUUCAAUUUGAAUUAUUUUAUUAACUGGUUAAUAGUAAAUAAUUAUUUAAUGCAUAAAUGAUUUAAUUAAUUGGUUAAUUAAAAAAUAAAGAUAAAUCAUAAUUUGUUCAACAUUAAUUAAUUAAAAAGAUUUAAUUUAGAUAAUUAAUAUUUAAACCUAGUAAAUACACCAUAUAUAUAUUAUUAAAGGUUUAAUAGAUUGUAUGUAUAAGAAAGGUCAGUCAAAUCGCUAUUACGCAUCAUUCACAAAACCAUGCUAUAAAGAGGGUAUAAGGAAGUGACCUAUAAAAUGGUCGUUGAAUGAGUGUCAACUCUCACUCACCGUUCUCCUAUACGGUGGAGGGUCGUUAGCCGAACAAAUUAGAUAAGACAUAAUCUCAUUAUUAAUUAUAAUGAUAUAAUGUAACUAACUAUUUUUAAAAUCCCACUCUUAGUUACUCUACGAAAAAUGUGAAAUGUAUGCUAACCCAUGAAAAUGCACAUUAUGAUUUAUAUAUCAUUAGUGGAGCGUGUGUGGUUAACUGGCACACUGAUAGAGACUAUAAAGAGAUAUUAUGGACAUCUUAAAAAUUAACAUUGUUGAUGGAUCAUGUGUGGUUAACCGAAACAUCAAUGUGAGAUUGUAAAUAACUUUCAUGGUUGUGAAGCGGGUUUGAAUGAUUAUUCGCAUCUUGUUUGUGAUCAUUGGCAUCCUAGUCACAAAAGUUAGAGCAUAAUCUGAGAUUAAACAUGUCAUUGAUAAGAAUUAAUGAAUCUUGAAAGGUCUAGGAGUUUCAUAAGAUUGGAAUUGGUAAAAGGCUUACGUACCUAAAAUAGAUUCUAAUGUGAUUAUGUAAUCCCUCUUCAAAGUUCGAAUCGAAAAUAUAGACCCUAGCCUUAAUUUAAUUUAUGGGUUAAUAAUUAAGGAUUAAAAUGAAAUAACUCAAAUUCUCCUUUUUCUCCUAUUUUUAAAAUAUCAUAUAAAGAUGGAAAUGGUCUUCCUCAUUCUUAAAGAAAUAGUUUUCCAUCAGAGAUGCUCUUCCAAUUUGAAGUCAAUGUGAAAUUGGUUUUCCUUCCUUAGGAAAUGAUAGAACUAGAAAUCAUCUUUCUUCCACCUCCUCCUUAUGUGACUCUCCCAACGUCAUGUUUUCCUCAAUUUCAAAAAUAUGAGACUACUUAAUCCCUAUUGGCAUAUAAACAUCAACAUGGAAACUUUGUUUGUACACAUGUACUGAAAAGAAAUCGUACAUUGACAAGUUGGAUAAAAUGGGUGUUGUUUCCAAGGGAGCAAGCCAUUGAAUAGGUUCUUUUUUUCCUUCCAAAGUCAUAUGACUAGUCCUUCGAGAACAUUUAUAUGAGGAGUAUUAAUGUGACCCUAAUUGAUCUAACCCAAAUGUUGAUUGUUGUUGAAGCAAAAAAGCUUAAGAGCAUAUCUAAUGCAUAAAGGCUUAUUAGUUCCAAUUCCAAGGUUUUCAUGGACUUGACAAUGGUGAAAAUGGUGGUCCAGAAAAGAUCUCUCUUCCCAAUGGAAAGGGGUCGUCCAAGAUGAAACUGUUUGAUCGUAUGGUAAAGAGAAAAGCUAGUUCUAGGAUUAUUCCAUGUGUUGACCUCAAAUAGCCCAUUUGUUUCUGCUGUCAAUUAAAGGGGCAUUAGAAAUGAAGCUACCUAAAAUACCUAAAGGAUCUUAAAGAUAGUAAAGUCAAUUUGCAUGACUCUACUUCAGGUACAUCAAUUAUCUGGCUCCAAUGUUUUAUAAGUUCUAAUUCAAAGACUCUUAAUACAUGAUGUGAUGAUCACAUUUGAUGGUAUUAAAGGAGCCAAGUGAAGAAAGAAGCUUAAGCCAGGAGAGCAAAAUCUGAUCAUGAGAAAUGGACUUUGGUCACAUGGUUCGAUGAUCAAAAUUUGGAGCUACUACUAAGGAGUCGUGACAAUUUAAUAUAUUUUUAUUACUCUUCAAAGAUAUCUAGAAAUAUGCUUUUCAUUUUAUGUAUCCGUUUAUUUUCAAUAAAAGUGAAAAUUUGGUUUAUAUGGUUGCCUUAUUUAUGUAUUUCCUUAUGAUGAAAUUUAUGAAAGUGUUGGUUACAUUUCUAAUGAUAGAAAUAUUAAUUAUGGAUUUUAUUCUUAUUAUAUCGCUUGUGGUACUGUCAUAAUUUACCAAGUAAAAAAAAAUCUCAUCACCAACUUGACAUAUACCUGGUACUGUACAAGUCGUAGUGUACGAGAAUCUUGUUCAUUAGACAAUUAUGACUAAUUCAUUGCUCAUAGGUUUAAGUGAGUCAAGUGCAGGGCUAAUGGAUCUAGUAUAUGUUGAUUUGUACUAUUCAGAUCCACCAUAAUGGACGAUAACCAUAUUCAACAUGAUUUACUAAUGUGUCUGUAAAUAUGGUUGUGUUUAUAAGAUUAACCAUAAUUCUGAUACUAUGAAAAGAUUCAAAUAGUAGCAGAAUGAAUAACAAGAAUAUAUUAGUCUAAAACUUGGAUAUCUUGUAUGUUCCUUAUUGCCCUUUUAUUUUGAAAAUGUUACAUUUUAUCCCUUGGAGUAGUAUGCGGGGCCUACCACAUAGUACACAUAGUGUACUUGCUGAAUAGCUAGUACACGGGGCAUACCACAUGGUACACUUAGCGUACUAAGUGAGAUGGCAGUCGGGAUUGCGGGGCCUCGUACGUUGGGCAUACGAGGGUUACGCUUAGCGUACUUGGUGUUUAUGAAACCCUAAUUUGAGGGUGUUGUACCCUAUUUAAGGACCUCAAGUCCCUAGGGCUGGCCUCUUUACCAGACCCCAAACUUCCUAAAACCUUAAAUCAAUGCUUAAUCCUUCUUUUUGGUGUUCUUGAGCUCUUGAGAAGAUUUUGGUGGUUAUUUUGCCCUUUGUGAAGGAAGUAAAGAAGAUAGAAGGUGUUUUGCUUGGUGAGGAGUCUAUAGAUGUAGAAUCUUCACCCUUUUUGCAAGACUUUGGAGUUAUCAAGCUCAUACCUUGGCUUUUAGACGCUUAGAUCUCUUUAUGACUUGAUUUAUUAUGCUUUUUGUCCCUUUUUGGGUUGGUUGUUGAGUUUAGGUGUUUGAAGGACUUAUUCUUUUACAUCUCAGCUUAUUAGGAAUUCCUUAAGCAUAAAGGUGCCAACUAUAUGGAGUAAUGGGUCUUAUGCAUGCCUUAAGUCAUCUAUUAAUCCCUUUUAAGCAUAAGAGCUUCAUUUAACCAUGCAUGAAUGUCACACCCCCGAACCAGACGGCGGAAACGUCCGGGGGCUGUUGUGACUCAAUUGAAUACCAUAACAUUGAAUAUAUAUGAAACAUAACAACAUUCGUCACCAUGCAUUAAUAUAGUACAACCAGUAGCGUUUACAUGAAAUACAUUGUUUAAACAUUACAUUCCCAAAAAUAAAUUGUUCGACUCGUACAUAAAUAAACUGCAAGCCAUCACUGAAUAUGAUUUCCUUUGAUUCACUGGUUCCCUGAGAAUACAAGUAUGUUGAAAAACGUCAACAUAUGAAAUGUUGGUGAGUUCAUAAGUAGUGUUUUGAAAUCCAAUGUUUCGUAUUGUUUGAAAAACCACCAGAAAAUCUGAUAUUUUCUGAAAACAGUAUAGUCAAAAAGAUGUGAAGAUCCAUAGGUAUGCUUGUUUGUUUCUAUACUUAAAAAAAAAUUGUUCGUUAAAAUUGUAUGCAUUUCGAAUCCGAUAUGUAUUGAGAAACCUAGGAAAACCCGAUGUUUUCCUAAUCCUUUGAGUUCCAUGAAGUUGCGUUGAAACCAUUGCAAAAAUAGUAGUCUCAUUCCCAGGCGACGUUGGAUUAUUUUUGAGCAUGAUUAAUUACUACAAACCCGCAUUACACAAACGCCCAGUUUAUAGCAAUACUAACGAUCCCGAAGGCGUCGUCCGUACUAAUCACGUUAUCCAGCCGCCCUGACUACGUGUCGUCCCACAUCCGAAGAGAAAGAGGACACGAAGACCUCUAUGACUCUAUUAGCCGGUUGGGGAUAAAAUGUGUACGAGGGGUCCCCGACCCGCCUCGCAAAAAAAUGUAGACUUUACUAGCAAUACCAAAGGACCCUUGGGGACCAGUGGUAUACAAGCCAUUGAAAGUCCCUCUACGUUGUGCCAAGUCGGUGAAACCCAACACUUCGUAGAAAAAAAAUGUCUUCGGGCCUUAAGAUCAGGUCAUUGGGCUAGCUAGGCCCAACAAACAAGAUUUUACACUUUUGGGGCCCAAAGAUGGUGCGUAGACGUCUGUGCACACUCGUAUGUAAGUUGAGUUCCCAAACGUUAUUUGUAUGUAUCGUAGUGUCGCCAUGUUAGUAGUUUCGGAUUUUCAUUGGUUCGAGACCGAACCAAUUCGUUUUACAACGAUUUUGGUAUUGUAGUGUAUUGUAUUUCGUCGAUAGUCGCGGUACCAUUGUUUGAUCAAAUUGCAUGUAUUGAAUUAGCCUUGAAAGUUUUCUGUUUUCAGCCCCUCAUUGUUUGUAAAAUUUACUUUUUCAACCCUUUAGUUAAAUACUUUCCGGUUUGGUCCUUAAAUCAAUUUUCUUGACAUUUUAACACCAAAAAUUAUUGAAAUUAAUAUUUUUCAACAUAUUUUUCAAUGAAAACAGUUUAAGUCCCUGAAAAUGUAGUUUUCUCGGUUAUAACCCUUCUUUUUCGCAACUUUGACAAUUUUGGCCCAAAUUGUAAAAUUUUUGCAACUUUGGUCCUUUUUAAAUUUAAAAAGCAUUUUAAACCUUUAAAAAGGACUUGGAACACUUAUAGUCCACUGUUUUACAGAAAAAUACAGUUUUGGCCCUCCAAAACAGAAAAUCUCGCAUAAUGGGCCUCAUUGGGCCGAAAAUGUCAUUUUUAGCCCAUUAAGCUUGAAAUUUAUGUUUUUAAUCCUCUAAAUGAGUAAAUUUCCAGAAAUUGUUUUAUUGAAACUGUUUUGGCACACCUCAUCCAUCAGAAUUCGUGAUAUGUCAAUUUGGACCCUUAAUUUUGUAUUUUUCACAUUUUAGGCCCAAAAUUUGUGUUUUUAGCCCAAAGAAAAUUGUUACUAAACUACUUAGCCAUUUUUCUUGAAACACUUUGUAUGUAGAAAUAUAUUUGAUGCAAAAAUCAUUUAACAUAAGAUAUAUCUCGGUUUUGAGGGGUUUUAUGGCUAGAUCCAACAUUUUAGCACACAAAAGCAUACAUGUAAGCAUGGAAAUCAUACAAGGCAUACAAAACACAUAUAGAUCUACACUUUCACUUGUAUUCCCCCCCCCCCACAAAACUCAUAAAAACAGAAAAUAGGGGGUAUGAAGCUCACCUUGUUUGAAGCUUUCGGUUUUUGAGGAAAAGAUGGAAGAAAGAUGAAGUGAUUUUUGGCCUUAGCACCCUUUGAUGAUGAUCUUGAGUUUGAGAUGGUUCUAGGAUGCAAGAUCACGAUUUUUGCAUAGAUUAGGAAAGGAUUUUGAUAAAACAAAGAAUUUAAUUCAUAGAUCCAAGCAUAAUCUUACCUUAGAUGAAGAAUUUUGUGGAAAUUUCCUCUUGAAUGCUUCCUAAAACUCGAGAUUUUUGAGUGGAGAGGGAGGGAUGUUCUUGAGUGAUCUAGAGAGAAUUUGUGAGAGAUUUGUGAAUGUGUGUGUGUGUGUUUCGGCCGAGAGUGAGAGAGAGGAGAGAAGAGAAGUGAUUUUGAAGUGAUGUGCAUGGAGGUAUGUGAGAUAUUUUGCAUGGAAGUCCUAUGGAUAACAAUGAUGUGGCACAACAAGUCAAUUCUUCCAUCCUCUUGGGCUUGUGCAUUUGGGCCGAGAAUUUGGAAAGAAAAGGAAAAAAAUUUGGGCCUUUGCCCCUAAGCCCAAUAUUAGUGUUAAUUUGGGUGAAUUUUCUCAUAAAAGAAUAUAGUAUGAUUUUUUUCCAUUUUUGUUGAACUAGUUUAGGGUAUUCAUGGAUCAAAUCUUUCAAUUCAUUUCAUUCUAGGCCCAACAUGGCCCAAAAUGUUGAAAUAAAUUAGUGUGGGUCCAAUUAGAGCCCAAUUAGGGUUCUAAGCCCUUGGUAGUCAAAUUGGAAGCUUAUUGGUCCAUUUGGAUCCAAUAAGGAAGUUCUAGUCCAAGGUGUACCUAAACAAGAACUUCUAGGGUUUCCAAUUGUUUGAUGACUAUUUGUGAUAAUUGUAUGGUGUGUUUGAUUGAAAAUUUUGAAGUCAUAAUCAUAGGUGUUACACAUGUUCCUAAGCUUUUGAUUCACAUUAGCUUGAGUGUAUGGAUUACAUGACACAAAAUUUCUAGUUGUGACAAUGAACGUAAAGUUAGCAACUCUAUGUGAUAAUCCAGCUCAACGAAGUCAGAUCUAUGUUUUGGAGCAACGUCUUAAUGGAUUAAGGGUUAAAAUUGAGAUUUUGCUGAAUGGGUGGGUAUGUUCGGCAUACAAGCAGGUAUGCUUAGCAUACAAGCCCUCAAGCGAGUACGCUGCAUGUACAUCUGACUACGCUCCGCGUCCUACAUCUGAUGGACUUCGCAUUUUGGGCUUUGAGUUUGGGUCAUCCUUUUGGGCUUGGAUGCAUAGGGCCUUUUUCUUCUAUCUAAAUGCAAGUGUUUCUGAUUAGGAAAAUUAGUCGGCCUUGGGGUAAAGCACAUGUAAGGGAUUUGGCCCGAUUUGGAAAUUUGGGUCAUGUAUGGGCCUUGGAUGAUCACUUGGUUUUGGGCCUUUAAGAUUUUAGGUUUGGACUUAUUUUUAGACCAAACUAGGUAAGGGGAAAAAAUACUCUUUUUACCCUAUGUAUGGAUUGAUAGUAAUAGUUUGGAAUCCAAAGGUUUAAUUGUGUGUUAUUUGAUAUUGAUAGCUCGGGGAUUUGUCGGAUCAGCAGCCAUGGAUUAUCAGUAUGAUUAGGCAGUGCGAGAUGAGUUUCUUCACUGUGCAUAGCGGGUCGAAUGCAUCAAUGCCGGCCCAUGAUUAUGCUAUGUUAGGGUACUAGAUGUCUGCAUGACCCUUUCAUGUGUUGUGUACUCAUAUGCUUACUGGGUGGAGCCCGAUGCUAGGCAGGGCCUGAUGACCAUUAUGUAAGCUAUGUAUCUUUGUGAUUAUUGCAUGUGUACUUGUUUAUUUGAUAUAUGUUAUAUGUAUGUUGGGCAGGGCCCAAUCUGUAUAUCGAUCGGGGCUCGAUGUCAGGCGAGACCCAUUAUGUGUUUAUUAUGUAUGGUAUGUGGUAUUUUGGAGAACUCACUCAGCUUUGUUCUUACGGUUUUUAGUUUAUCUUUCAAAUACUUGCAGUUCCAAAAGGAAGGGCUCAAGAUGAUUGCAGGGCACACACUACCUCGUUCCGCGUUUUCUUGGUUUACUCUGAUAUGUCAUGAUGAUUGAUACAUUUGUUUAUCUUGAUUUGUAUGAAAAUGUUUUGGAAUAUUGGUUUUAUUAAUUUUUUUUAAAAAAAUGAAAUUUUUAGGUCUUAUUUUUGGGAUGUUUCAAGUUGGUAUUAGAGUCUUAGUUUGAGGGAUUCGGACAUACUCUCUGGGGUGUCUGAACUCAAGUUGAGGAUUUGGUAAAGUUUUUUCAAAAAGAAAUAUAUUUUUAAGAAAAUUGUUAUUCUAAGAAAAGAAAGGGUGUGGUGCAUGCAAUCAGCCGAGCUCAACUAAGUUUUCCCAAAAUACUUAUACAUGUUAUCUUAUAUAAUUUGAUCUUGGAAUCUGUGAAUCACAUGCUAGUUACAGCUAAGUAUCUGCUCAGUUUUUGCAUGAUAGAAUGCUAGGAGAGAUGCAUUUGUAUGCCUAUUAUAUGAGCUUGUAGACUUGCAAGCUAGUACUAAUCAAUCAUUGAUAGCGUGGCCUGAUUAGGUGAUGCUUUCUUCUGAUUACUUGAUGCUCGAAUGUUGCUUGCUUUGUGCUUUUAGGAGUUCUUACUAAUUUCAGCUAACUAGUAAGCGAAUAUGAUAAGUUACAUAUUAUGGGAACUAAAUAAUUUUAGAAGGUUAAGUUAAAACUCUAUUAUGUAGCUCUUGUUUGAGUCCAACCGUCGUAGUGUGAGACCAUUCAUUCAAAGAAUUAUCUAGUUUUAGUGAUAUGUAAUUGUAUUCACCAGCUAGUUAGAGUGAGUUAGCGGGAGUUCCUUCUGCAAUUGAUGGCGGAGAGUGGUGUGGAGUUUGACCUAGGAAAAGCUAGGAUGAGAUCUAGUGUUGGGAGCCUUAUCUAUGAGAGGAAUUUGUAUGGAUAUAAAGUGACUUGGUAAAGUGAAAGCACUCCUUGAAAAAAGUACACGUAGAUGUCGAAGGUAGAAUGGGCCCGUACUACUGGAAGCAGAGGAUCCGUACUCAAUUUAAGGAGAGCUGCGAUGAAACCAAGAAGCUUGCGAGUUUUUAUCACUCGAUGUAUAUGUUAUGAUGUGAAUUCUGAUGGUGACAUUGCGAGGCGGACCUGUUGGCCAUUCUGGCGCUGGUGAGGGAUCGGGCUCAGGUUCUGGAGUCGGUCAGUUAGAUGAUUAUAGUAUGGAGUUCAUCUCAUCUAAGAUUACUUGUUGCAUUCUUAAGCAGACUCUUGUGAUUUUUGGAACUGUCAAGGAGUGUAUUCUGGAGAUUCUGGAUGAGCGGUUGAGCGCCUUUCGCUCUGAGAUGGUGGCCUUGGUUGGGGUGCGUUCAUUGACCUUCAGGGAGUUCUGGGCAUGUGGAGCUCCAGACUAUUACAGGGCGAAGGACCCGAUAGCGAGCAGGAGGUGGUUAGUGGAUGUUGCUAAUGCCUUCCGCACUAGCAGUUGCCCCGAGGGGGAAAAGGUCAUAAUUGUUUCCUGCCUUCUGAAAGACAAGGCACGAGAUUAGUGGGGUGAGAUCGGGUGCUCCGUUGGUGAUGAUGCAUUCUAUUCGAGUACCUAGGAUGAUUUUGUGACCAGGUUUAGGGUUGUGUUUGCACCGGUGAUUGAGGUGCAACAUCUGGCACGAGAGAUUCAGGAUCCCUGCCAGACUACCGAGACAGUGGCUGAGAUCACCGCGAUGUUCCAAGAGAGGGCACUAUUGGUUUCGUAAUAUGUGGUGGAUGAGGAAAUGAAGAAAGCUCGGUAUCAUGAGAUGCUGAGGAUUGACAUUCAACAGUUUGUGAGUCGAUCCAGCUGUAAGACGCUUGAGGAUGUGAUAGUGAGAGCUAGGGAGAAGGAGAUUGACUUGGAGUAGCAGAAGAUGAGGAAGCCAAAUUAUGUGUCGAGUGCUGAGGGCUCGGGAAAGAUGCGUAAGGUAUCUUAUUCUAGAUCGAGAGGCUAUCAGGGUUGGAGCCGAUAAGGCAAGUGUGGCAAGGUGCAUGAGGGAACGUGCAGGGUGGGGUGGUUGUAGAUGCUCCAAGUGCAGUCGAACGGGUUAUAUUAGCAGAGAUAGCACUGCUACCACCACCACCACCCCUGUAUCUGAUUUGGUUUGCUUUCAUUGCAAUCAGAGGGGCCAUAAGAAGGCCCAUUGUCCGACUUUGGCUAUAGCAGGACCGGUUUCAGUACCCGCUCCUAUAACUCUUCGGAUUACUGACGGUCGCCAGGUCCGAUCCGAUGCACCUAUGGUGAAGAGCAGGGCCUUUCAAUUGACAACCGAGGAGUCUCGCAUGGAACCAGAUAUGGUGAGGGGUUUGUUUCUUUUCCUUAUCUCUUUAUUUAUUAUGAAUUCAUGUUGGUAUUUAUGUGUUUAAUUUUAGGAUCAUUCCUCGUGAAUGGUAUUUCAGCUUUGGUAGUUUUUGAUUGGGGCCUACUCGAUCUUUCGUAUCGCUUGUACUUAGCUAGAUUUUUUGUUGGAGCUACGGUGGAGCAGGAUUGUCCUCUUGAUGUUGAGAUUGUUGAUGAUAAAUCUAUUCGGGUUAUGAGUGUUCAUCGGGGUUGUACUCUUUAGUUGUUCAGUGAGCAGUAUUUAGUGGAUUUGGUUCCCAUUCCGUUGCGUGGGAACAAGGUUAUCGUGGGCACGGAUUGGUUGAGCCCUAAUGGGGCAGUGACCAAUUUUGAGCAACAAUUAUUACAGGUUUGGACUCUAAGUGGGGGGGAGUUAGUGGUUCAUGGGGGAAAGAUCUCAGCGUGGGCCGAUUUUAUGUUCAACAGCGAGGGACAGACACUAUUUUCAGCAUGGUUGUUCCAGUUAUGUCACCUAUUUCAUGGAUACCAAGGAUAAGGGUAAGGCACCAUGGAUGAUGUGUCGAUUGUACGGGACUAUCUCAAUGUGUUUCCAGAGGAUUUGCCUGGGGUGCCUCCGGAGAGGCAGGUUGAGUUCAAGAUUGAUCUGGUUCUUGGUGCAGCUCUGAUAGCUAAAGCACUGUAUCAGAUGGCUCCUCCCAAGAUAAAGGAGUUGUCAACACAGAUGCAGAAGCUGUUACACAAGUGGUUUAUGUGGCCGAGCAGUUCUCCUUGGGGAGCACCGAUCCUGUUUGUGAAGAAGGAUGGGUCUCAUUGCAUGUGCAAUGACUACCGAGACCUGAAUAAGGUAAUGUUGAAGAACCAUUAUCCACUUCCAAGGAUUGAUGAUCUUUUUGACCUGCUUCAGGGUGCAUAUUGGUUCUUCAAGAUUAAUUUGCGAUCAGGUUAGCAUCAGAUGCGGGUCAGGGAUGAGGAUGUGCAGAAGACAGCUUUUCGGACUCGUAAUGGUCAUUACAAGUUUGUGGUGAUACCUUUUGGGCUCACUAAUGCUUUAUCCGUAUUCAUGGAUCUCAUGAACCGUGUGUGCAGGAUGAUGCUGGAUCGGUCUGUGAUUGUGUUUGUAUAUGAUAUCUUAGUUUAUUCCAAGACUCAGGAGCAGUACGAGCAGCACUUGAGGGAAGUUCUAGAGACAUUGAGGAGGGAUAGACUUUCGGCAAAGUUCUCCAAGUGUGAGUUUUGGUUGCGCGAGUUGCAGUUUCUAAGGCACCUUGUCAACCAAAAUGGUAUUCUGGUCGAUCCGACCAACGUCGAGGCCAUGAUGCUGUGGGAGGUUCCGAGGUCUCUAUCUGAGUUUUAGAGUUUUCUUGAUUUAGCAGGUUAUUAUCGGAGAUUCAUCCCGGAUUUCUCCAAGAUAGUUGUUCCAUUUAUAGGACUGACAAAGAAGACGAUUACAUUUCAUUGGGGCCUGAGCAGCAGGCAGCUUUUGAGACAUUGAGACAACGGUUGUGCGAGGCGCUGAUUUCGACCUUACGAGAGAGUGUUGAUGAUUUUGUGGUUUAUUGUGUUGCUUCUAUCAUAGGAUUAGGGGCUGUGUUGAUGUAGAGGUGUCGCGUAAUCGCUUACGCUUCGAGGAAGCUAAAGCCUCAUGAGGCGAAUUAUCUAACGCAUGAUUUGGAGUCGGGAGCUAUGGUUUUCGCCCUCAAUAUUUGGCUGCAGUACCUCUAUGGGGUCCGUUGUACUAUUUACAUGGAUCCCAAAAUCCUAAGGUACUUGAUGGAUUGGCCAAAUCUGAAUAUGAGGAAGCCCCAAUGGUUGGAUGUGUUGAAAGAUUAUGAUUGUGAGAUCCUUAAUCACCCAGGGAAGGCCAAUAUGGUGGCAAAUGCUCUUAGUCAUAAGGCGGUCGUGGCUCUGAUCCGAAAUAUAUUUUUGAGGAUGACCAUGAGUACUCCAUUAUUGGAGUGGAUUCUUGAGGCACAGGCUGAGGCUAUGAAGGAAGAGCACCGAAAGAGCAAGUGUAUUGUGGGCCAGGUGGCUUCCUUCGAUUAUGAUAGUUGUGGAUUGUUGACUUUGCAUCAACGAGUUUGUGUUAUGUAUUAGGGCGGUGUGCAUCAUAUUCUAAUGGAGGAGGCCCACGACUCUAGAUUCUCCAUUCAUCCUGGGGCAACAAAGAUGUAUAGGGAUCUUCGUCCUGAUUAAUAGUGGCCGUGUAUGAAGCGGGAUGUGGCAUGGUUCGUGGAGCGGUGCUUGACUUAUAGGAAAGUCAAGGCCGAGCAUCAACGACCUCAUGACAAGAUGCAGCGGUUAGAGACUCCCGUAUGGGAAUGGAAGAUAUUACUAUGGAUUUUAUCACUAAGCGCUCAUUUAAUCCCUAUCCAUGAGAUUAUUUAUGUUGAGAAGUUAGCAGAUAUUUAUGUCAGGAAGGUUGUGGCACGUCAUGAGUGUCGGUAUCGAUGGUUUCAGACAGAGAUGUUCGGUUUACUUCUAGGUUCUAGUAAGGGUUCAAUGACGAGCUGGCCACUCGUCACCAUUUCAACAUAACAUUCCAGCCGCAAACCAAUGGUCAGAGUGAGCAGACUAUUCGGACCCUAGAGGAUAUGCUAUGGGUGUGUGUUCUGGACUUUCAUGGGAGUUGGGAUAUGUAUCUUCCAUUAGCGGAAUUUUCAUAUAACAAUAGUUAUCAUGUCAACAUUGAUCGACCUCCUUUCGAGAUGCUCUAUGGGAGGAAGUUUAAGACCCCGACGAUCUUCUACCCCUCCUCCCAAAUUCCAUUAAGUUGAUGAAAGAACCUAAAUCCACAACUUCAUAGAAAUCUGUCCCACGAUCAUAUUUUACACCAUUAUUUAUCCAGACAACAUUUCUCAAAACAUUUCUCAGGGAGAAAAAAAAGAAACAAGGCACAAGUUAGCAUGUCAAACAAAAGUUACAUUUUAUUUAUAAUGAAUUGGUAGUGGUGACAUGGAUGCACGGGUCCUUGUAACAUCCUCAAAGUACUAUGUAAACAAGCUAAAGCUUCAAGUAGUGACUACCUCGCGACCAGGGUACUAUAAGAAAGAGGUAACACCCUGACAACAUCGGUGUUGGCAAAAAGUACAUAAAAGAUUAUAAUAUCCAAAUCUAAUAAGUUGAUGUUAAAAACUGAUAGGUUCGAGGAUAUGUUGUAGGCUAUAAAGGAUUUGUAUUCACAGUAUGACUGUAUGAAGCCUAAUACGCACUAGCAUUGCUAAUGAUCUCAUCAUUCCUUCAAGGAAAACUUAAUUCCUCCAUAUUUCACAAAUGAUAAAAGGGUUAUUUACAGCAUGAUUUGGAUGAACAAAAGUUGAAAUUCUCAUUUUUUCUUUUUACUUCUUAUGAUAUUGCUACACUUGUAGAGGGUGAAAAACUGAAAAUUGUUCUUGUGAUGUACUCCCUCACUUAGUGAUGUGCUCUUAGGAAGAAAGUACUUCGAAUUGUAAACUAGAAAUAAAAAUAAAAUAGAGAUGAUGAUUAAAUAGCUCAUUAUUUCGCUCUGAAAGAUGACAGAAAUGUAUAAAUGGUGCAAACAGCUAACUUUGAAACAUAAAUAAGGCAAGCCGGUUAAAAUAAAAGGUGCCCUGAAGAUAAAACCAUGCGUUGUCUCUGACUAAGCAAAAAAUUUCAAAUAUGUUUUUGAAGAAAUCUACAUAAAACACACCCGGCUCGGAUAGGAAAAAUACGAAGAAAAAUUUAGAAAAGUGAAGUAGAGGAAAAAAGACGUCUCUAUUCAUAAAGAUAUAUUGUAAAUAAAUGCUGAAACAAACAUAUUCUUGGCUUAUCAGGUUACAAAGCACUAAUUUAACCAAAAUCAGAAAAUAUAAUGAUUUUAAUAGAAACAAAAGUAAGUAAAUAAUAUAAUGGUUUUUUAGCAUUGUCCUUGAAAAUCCGACUAUUAUUUUUCAUGAGUUUACAACCAAAUACGGUUUGUUCUUCGGUUAUGAUUCUUACUCGUAGUUAAAUUUAAUAAAAGGUUCCAAAGAGCAAGAAAAAUGAGCAUAGGAAAUGACGUUACAACUUACAACAACACACAACUAGCUGCAAACAAUUCUUCAUCCAUGCUUCUCUCACAAUAUAUAAAGUGACACAACACACAUAAUAACAUAUACGCCUGAUAUAGUUUCUUCUAUGUCAAUAAUUGAAAUGAACCACAUUUCUUGUUAUUUGUUGUUAGCUUUUUCACUUUAUUUUCUGGGUUUCUGUGUGGCAAGAAAGGAUGACCAGAUCACCAGCCUCAACAAAUUGAUGGAGUCGAGAAGAUCAGAGAAUCCGCCACGUGUCUAGCCAUGGACAGUAGAAGAUACAUCAAACUUAUCUACACUUUCUAUUGUCCCUCAACAAGGGUCAAAGGAAGAAGAUAUGAUUGAUAAGUUGCCAGGUCAACCACAAUUCGAUUUUGAUCAUUAUUUAGGCUAUGUAACAGUCGAUUGAAAGGUGGGAAAGGCAUUGUUUUAUUACUUUGCUGAAUCACCUCACAAUUCUUCAACCAACCCUCUUGUCCUAUAGCUCAAUGGAGGUAUAAUGCUUCUAUUAUGAUUCAAGUCUAUGUGAAAAAACAAAACAAUACAAUAAUGCGUUGUUUUCACACUAAAGUCGACUUAAAAUACUGUAAAACUAGUAAUGAAGGUAUUAUACAGGGCCAAGAUGCUCGUCAUUUGGAUAUGGAGCCAUGGAAGAACUUGGACCCUUCCGAGUAAACAGUGAUGGGAAAAACUCUAUCGCAAUGAUUAUGCAUGGAACAAUCGUAACAAAAAUUGAUGAAGGCAUUCAUGUCUUUUUCACAUACAAAAGCGUGUACAUGUAAAAAAAAAUUCGUGAUUACAAUGUGAAAGUCUAAAUACAAAAGAUUUUGACAGCGACUAAUGUGCUAUUCUUGGAAUCACCUGCUGGAGUGGGUUUCUCGUAUUCAAACACAUCGUACGUGACAGGAGACAUGCAAACAGCUAAAGACUCGUACACUUUUCUGAUCAACUGGAUUGAAAGAUUCCCUGAAUACAAAACCUGAGAUUUCUUUAUUACAGGCGAAAGCUACGCAGGUCACUACGUACCUCAACUUGCUUCCUUCAUUCUCUCGGAAAACAAGAAAACAAACUGAACAGUCAUUAAUCUUUGUGGAAUUACGGUAAGUAAUUAUCAUACUAAUAGGAGAGGACAGGAUAGGUUGUACUAUCUUUUGAAUGAAACUUUUUGUUCCACCCUAAAAGGUGGGACAAGGACUCACUCUUGAUCACUUGUUUGUGCAAAAGACAUAAAUGCCGUUAUCAUUGUUGUCAUUAAGAAGCUUCUCAAGUCCUAUCAUGUGUACUAUGCCAUGUAAGGGACUAAUAUGCUAAAUGUGUAUGUGUUGUAAUUGUGCAGAUUGGGAAUGCUUGGAUUGAUGACAAUACAUCUUUUGAAGGGAUGUAUGACUACUAUUGGACACAUGCCCUAAACUCUGAUGAGACAAAUGAAGGUAUUAAGAAGUAUUGUGACUAUGUUACUAGGAACUUCUCUCAGGAGUGCUACAAGUAUCAAGGCCAAGGAGACGGUGAAUAUGGUGAAAUUGAUAUUUAUAGCAUUUAUGCACCACUUUGUCUUGAUACUACACAAAAAUCUGGAACUACCGGAUCUAUAAGUCUGUGAUUCUAUAAUAAUAAAAUAAUGUCACAUAGAAAUUUCAAAAUUUCUUAUAAAUUAUCAAAAGUUAGAUAAAACGUAUCCUACUGAACUCUUUCAAUUAAGGGAUAGUACAAGAAAUAGCAACAUACUUUGCUUAGUUGUUUUAUUGUAGCAUAUUACUAUUGUUUACACUACAAUUUUUUUUCCUAUUAAAGCAUUGUACUUUGAAAGAUUUACCUAUUUAUAGCAUUCUACUUUCAAUUUAUUUAUGAUUACGGCAUUGUAAUUUGGAAAAUCUACACAAUUAUAGUGUAACAUCCGGGAAUUUGGGUGUAUUUAUUUAAGCCUUCUUCUUCUCCAAGUUGUCAAGAUUAGUCCAUAAAAUAAAAGGGUGGCAGGCGAGUACGUUGGGCGUACUGACGAGUACGUUGCGCGUACUCAUGGGAUGGAUUUGGACGCAGACGUUACUAGGUAUGCUGGGGGUACCAAAGGUUACGCUGGGCGUAGCUGGCCCAGAUGCAAAACCCUAAAUGGAACUAGAGGACUAUAAAAGGAAUGACAGGGUCUCUUCCUCAGCCACCAAUUUCACAGAGAGAAACCCUAAGAGAGCAUUAUCGUCGUUCUAAAUUUUGUGUGUGACUGUUUUGAGCUAGAAAGUGCCUUUGGGUGAUAGUGAAGAAGAAGAUGAGGUUCUUGUGGAGACUAGAAGUUGGAGUACAAGUUUGGAUCUGAGUUCUUCAGAGGGUGGAGCUUCACUUAGAGGUAAAAAGCUUAGAGCUUUCCUUAUCAUUUUUGUUUUGUGCUUGAUGUACCAAAUUUUAGGGUUUUGGUCCCAAGGUGGAGGUUUUAUGAGCAAAUGGCCUCCAUAAACUAGAAUCUGCCUUAUUUCAGUGUAUUAUGAGUUGUGAGUUCGUAAAAAUCCAAUCUUGGUCGUUAAUAUUAAGUCAUGCUUGAGUUAAGGACUGAAUGAGGAAAGAGGUUAAGAGUUUGGAGAGGUUAGUGGCCUUUACAGCCAUGCAAAGGCUCAAAGGUUUCGACUUUAUGACUUAAGAGGCAGUAGAGAGCCUAGAUCUGUGAUAUAAGCCCAUGACUUAACCUGUUCAAACCAAAAAUAAAGAAAGUAUAAGUCUGGGACUUACAAUGGGCGUAAGUCUCAAAACGCGCAGCAUAGUAGGUUGAGGUCCCCAAUCAAUUUCAGGCGUGUUUGAGUACGCUGAGUGUACCAAGGAGGUACGGCCCGCGUAACUCCUUCUGUGGGCUUUUGGGUUAUGUAUUGUGUUGAGCCUUGAGUGUUGGGCAUAGAUUUUGGGCUUCAUGCAAUAGAGUCUUGGACCAGAGAAGUGUCUAUAUGUGCCUUGGGGCUCUUGGGUUGGGCUUGCCUUUUUGUUUGGGAAUUGGGCCGUGUGUGGGCCCAUUUAUUAUUGGGCCUUGGUGGGCCCAGUGGGUUAGGGCAUUAAUGGGAUGGUAGGUGGUUUACCUUUAGACCUAAUAAGUGAAAGGAUGGACUUAGUUUCUAAUUGAGAUAAUUGCAGGUUUGGCACAGAGAUAGAGGUCGGUACGUAUCAACAGCAUCUAUAGGAGCUGUUCAUCAUCCGAGGUGAGUCUUCUCACUAUACUUUACCAAGAGUGGUAAUUAGAGUUAUGUGACAGAGUAUCUUGUAUGCUAUUUAUUUGAUGUGAUACACUGCAUUAUUUCUAUGUGAUUUCUGUUAUGUAUGAUUCAGAGUUUACAGAGUUAGGACCGGAAGGUCAACAGAGUUAGGACCAGAGGGUCCACAGAGUUAGGGCCAGAAGGUCCACAGAGUUAUGGGACUGGAGGGUCCUAGUGAGACACAUUGACCAGAGUGUUAUACAGAGUUAUAGCCUCGAGUGGCUAAUAUGUGUUGUAUGUGGUAUUUUAGGGAACUCACUAAGCUUUGUGCUUACCAUGUUAUGUGUUAUGUGUUUCAUGUUUUCUUCUCAGGAUCGCGGGACGACACCGACUUGAUUAUACACACCAGAGAAAGAGUUAUGAGGAUCCUGGAUUAUUAAUGGAGUUGUGCUUUGUAAUUGAAUAAAAGAGAUUUUUAUACAAUAUGUUAUGAAAAGUAUGAAUUUUAAAAAUGAAAACUUGUGUUAAAUUUUCACGUCGUUACAAGUUGGUAUCAGAGCCUUGUUCGGAUGCACCUUCGGGUAUAUCUGUACAAGUUGGUAUCAGAGCCUUGUUCGGAUGCACCUUCGGGUAUAUCUGUACAAGUUGGUAUCAGAGCCUUGUUCGGAUGCACCUUCGGGUAUAUCUGGACUUAAACUGAGGAAAUGAGGAAAAAUUUCAAAAUAAAUGAUUUUUCUAAAACGAGCAAGAGUUUCUAAGAGAAAACGGGAAGGAGCAGUGUGUACAAUCAGCCAGAGCCUGAAUGGUGAUUCCCAACAUACCCUUACUUUUUUGUUAUGAAAUAUGUUAUGAGAUAUUAUGCAUGCUGGAGAUAGGCUAGGUAUUUCAUAUUUUAGGACUAGAGUGGCCUGAUGUGUGAUGCCUUAGUCUAGGAGUUGUUGUUAUAUGUGAUGCACUUUCGAGUAUGUGCUGAGUAAGAGUAUCCAGCGGGAAUCCUUGUAAGGAAGGAUUUGAGUAGAGGAGUAAUCUAGGAGAGAUACCUGGAUGAGCAAUUGUGGAGCCUACUGAGAGAGUAGAUAGAUACCCUCAGGAGUAGAGUUGCAGAGUUCGUUGAUAUCUUGUGAGUAUGGGCAGAGCAGGUGAAGUUAUCACCUAGAGCGGGUUUUACAUGUUAUUUGGAUGCCCGAAUGCUGCUUGCUUCAUGCUUUGUGGAAUUCCCGAUGAUGGGAGUCAGCUACCAAGUGAAUGUGACGAUAGUCAGGAGGUAGAUGACCGACAUCAUAAGGAGUUUCUCAGCAGCUGAUGGCGGAGAAGUGUGACAACCUAGGAAGAGCCUAGGAAGUGACCUUAGUCAAAUGAGUAUGCUGACAGAGUAAAGCAUUUCGCUGGGGAGCGAGCACGCGUGUUGAGAUUGGUGAUUGAGAAGGUUAAGCAGCUACUUAGGGAAUCUGGGAUGGUCCGUGUAGAGAGUAUGAGUAGAUGUGGCAGGUAGUAUGGGCCAGUACUACUAAAAGAAGAGGACCCAUACUCGAUGUGUAACAUCCCAAUUCUAGAAGUAUGAGUGAAGGGCUUAAAGUGAAAAUUAAGGAAGCUACUCGACGAGUAGGUAUGCUACUCGUCGAGUCGGAGCAGGAUUUGAUCAUGAGUUAAGUGGCCAACUUGCCGAGUCGAAAGCUGAACUCGACAAGAUGGUGCUGGAAUGAGAAAACCCUAAUCUCGAGGGUUGCACCCUAUUUAAAGGACUUUAUGUCCUUCUCUCAGCCUCCUUAUUUCUCUUGAGAACCAGAAGAGCCUAAGCUCGUGUAUGUGAGGCCUUUGGAGGGAGAUUGAAGCCUUGGAAGUUGUCUUUUGUGGAAGAAACUUGAAGAUCAAAAAGGGCUUGCAUCAAGGGAGUGGUGUAGAUCCAGAAUCUACUUCAGCUUGGGCACAUCUUGGAGGUAAUAAGUUGUUACCUUCACUCAUUUGCACCUAGAUCCACUCAUGAAAGAGAUUUGGGGCCAUUUUGGGUAUGUUUGAGACCUAUUUCGGGUUUGGAGUUUAGAUCUGAGGUUGCUACUUUAAAUCUAGACUUGUGUUGGUCCAGAUUGUCAUAAAGCAUCAGUCAAUGAGUUGUUGGUGAAGCCCCUUUGUCUAAAACCGAAGCCCUAGAGUGAUUUGGACCUUUAACUCCUUGGAUUCACGUAAAGUUUGCAACUUUAGAUAGGGGUUAUGCCCUAGAAGAGUGGAUCUAUAAUUUGGAGCCCCUGCAUGGCUCGAAAAGCCUCUGUAUGGAUGAAGAACUGAAGGGACUCGGCGAGUCUCAAAGGUGGACUCAGCGAGUCAUAUGAAAAUGGGCAUGGACUCGACGAGUUAUAAGAACAAGUCGGCGAGUCUGUUGAUGCUUGCCUUGGACUCAGGAAGUCUGUUCUUGGACUCGGCGAGUCAUGUUGCAAAACCCUAACCUCUUGUGGUUAAACCUUGGACUAGUGAGUCGGUUGGCGAUUCAGUGAGUUGGACAAGAUGGAAUUCAGAGAUCGUUGAACUCGACGAGUCGCCGGUUAACUCGGCGAGUAGGGUCAAUCAGGAAGGUUUACUUUGGCAAGGACUUUGACCUUGACCUGUUUGACCUUCAGGGGUGUUAUGUAUUUUCGAUAUUUAUGACGUGGUCCAUUGAUGGCAUCAGGUGUUGGAGUUUGAGGCAGUGCUUUGGGCCAGUGCUUUCAUGGUUCGGUUCGGCAGUUGCAAGGUGAGUUAUCCUCACUAUAUCAAUAGGGUCUAAAGCACCAAGGCCGACCCUUUUAGUUGUAUAUUGGUUACAAUAUGCUACAUGUGGUUAUGAUAUGAUAGAUCGGUACUCGGAUAGACAGUAUGUUGUCAUGCUCUUAUGAUCCGUUAUGAUUCGUAUGUUAGUGACCUGGUUAGGUCGGUGUUUUGGUUAUGAGAGAUUACUAUGAUCGAUGAUCUGUGAGAUAGUUAUAUCUGAUAUCUGUACGUGUACUGUUUGAUGUGCUUAUUGAUCUAAUUAGAUCGGAGUCCUGGUAAUUAGGACAAUAUUAUGUUAGUGACCUGGUUUAGGUCGGUAUCCUGGUAUAUAGGAUGGUGCUAUGUCAGUGACCGGUUAGGUCGGUAUCCUGUUUAGGAUGUUGCUAUGCUUUAUGAUCUGCUAGAUCGAUUUGUUUGUCUAUGGACUGUUAUGUGAUUACCUGUUAUAUGUGCACAUGGUUAUUUGCUUGAUGUUUGGGUUGAGGUGGUCCUACUUUGUGCUGAAGGCCAACAUACCCUGCGAGCGGUCCAGAUAGAUUGUAGGCCUAUUAAAGCCGAAAAUUACAAUCAAGACCCAUAAAACUGUGAGUUGUCAAAUAAAGCCCACUUUUAUAUGACACUUUUGGCCCCUAAAACUGUGAGUUGUCAAAUAAAGCCCACUUUUAUGAAAAAUGAAACUUUUGGCCUUUAAAACCAUGAGUUGUCAAAUAAAGUCCACUUUUAUGAAAAAUGACACUUUUGGACCCUAAAACCGUGAGUUGUCAAUUUAGGCCCAAUAAAAUGGAAAAUGACUCUUAAAAGCCCAUUUUGUUUAUCUUUAUUUUCAAAUGUUAUCCUUUUGUAUACUUUCUUUAGUUUUCUUAUACCUUUAGCAUGUUUAAUCUUUUCAAAACAUCAUAGUAGGUUACUUCAAUUAGAUUGCUUACUAAUAACCCCAAAACUUGGAAGAUAUUACGAAUUUAUGAGUGUUUAACAUAUAUUCACACAACCUAACAUGAAAAAUAUACACAUGCAUGCAUAAUACUAAGAUUAACCACAAAGCUAGCUGGUAUUCUCCACCAAAAGGUAGUAAAACUUGAAAACAAGGGGUAUGAAGCUCACCUUGGUGUUAGAUUGGUUUUGAAGAGAAAGAAAGAUGAUUUUCGGCCUAGCCUGCACCUUUGGGAAUAGUUUCGAAACAUUGAUGGUUCUAGGAAGCUUGAACACGAUAUGAAGUUAUGUAAGGAAGAGUUUUUAGUGUAAAAUGGAAACAAAAACAUCUUGAGAGUGUUAACAAUUUACCUAGUUAUGAUCCUUGAUGAAAAGCUCUUGAACACACCAACAAACUCACAGGUUUUUGAGGAAAAAUAAAGGAGCUUCUUGGAGAUUUAGAGAAAAAUGAGAGAGGUGUGUUUGAGUUUGGAGGUGAGAAUGGGGGAGAGAGGGAAAGUAUCGGACAAUAUUUUAGAGAAGAGAAGGGGGAAAUGGCUAAGUGGUCAUUACAUGGAGGGUUAGCUUUUAAAUCCUAGAAGUUUGGUGGGUAAUUUGCAUGUGUUACCACCAUGCAAAAAUUAGGUGUCAUCAAGUUUAAAUCAAUUCAAUUUUUCUAAACCGAGAAUAGGAGAGGGAAAAGGAGAAAUAAUUUGUUUGGGCUUGGAUUUGGGAGUGUAGUCGUGAACCCUUAGGCCAAAUAGGGUUUUUUGUUUAGAAGCCCAAAAUAAAUGAAUUUCGGUCCAUGAAGGCUAUAUGUUUGAGUUUUUGGCCCAAUAGGGCCCAUUAGGAGCUUUCGGCCUUGGAAGGCCCAAUAAGAGCUCCAAUAUUAAUUUGCGGCCCAUAAGGUUCAAAGAAAAUGUUUACAGCCCAAUAAAGCCCAUUACAUGACUUAUGGCCCAAAUCAAUGUUAAAUGAUCAAUUUCGGUCUACUAUGGCCCAAAUAUGGGUUCUCGGCCCAAAAGACCAAGUUGAGAGAUAACCAGCCCAUUAGGGCCCUGUCACACCCCCAAACCAUGGAUGGCGGAAACGUCUGGGGGUGGAGGACUUCAUGUAUACUAUCACAACAACGAAUAUAAUAGUGCUCAAAGUAAAUAAAACAUCAUAAAUAUAAUUGAAAAAAUUACACCAAGGUAUAUGUUUACAUGUUUCAAAUUAAUUACAUUAUGAUGACAAAAUGAACUGUUUGACGAUUUAACGGCCCAUCCUCAAAACACUGUUGGUUUUCCUAUUUCACUGAUUUCCUGAGAAUACAAGUAGUUUUGAAAAAGUGUCAACAAUUAAGUUGGUGAGUUCAUAAGAGUUUUGUUUGAGGAAGAAACCGUUUUCUUGGUAAAAACGACAAAUUAUGUUUCCAGAAAUCCAAUAUUUUCUUUAUCAAGUGUGAAAUGAAUGCUUCUAUGUUAUGCGAUAAUGAACCCUAGGAAGACCCAUAGAUUCCUUCUAUAAUCACCCUGUGUAUAUAAGCUAUAUAAGAUUUAAAUUUACUAAACCGUCGAAUAUAAUGGGUCUGCCCUAGAUCCACAACCAAACAAGGAACAGGAAGAAAGGCGGGCCCACCAAUUCUAAGUCGAUUAUGAAUAGAUUCUUAUAUAACUCUAGCAUAUACACUUAGCAAUUAUAGCUGAAACCUAACAAUUCUAGAUGAAUGUAGUUUUAACAGAAAUAUGUUUCCAAAGAAAAUUCAAUAUUUCCCUAAUAAGAGUUAGGUAGUCCUAAAUCCCAGGACCGAAAGUAAACAAGUAUUUGCCAUACUUAAAGAUAUAAAAGUGGUUUUAAAUCGGCAUAAAACCCUUUUUCAUAUGAAAAUGUACAAGUGUUUUUCCAUACUUAAAGUAAUUCAUGUGAGUUAAAUUGACGCAACUUGCUAAUAUAAAAGUAGAACCCGUAAAUCUUAUGAUUUGUUAAUACCACAUGUGAGCUAUUAUAACCAUGCUAAGACUCAGACAGCCUCGUAAUUAAGACAUUCUUNGUGUCGCCGUUAAAUGACACUUGUCACCCCAUACCUGCCGGUCUAGCUGUUGCAAGCAGCUUAGGUGCGGGUUUGUCAGACCCAAUAUAGAUCUAUACACAACUAUCACGCUUUCCCUACAAGAGACUCUGGUUAUAAUUUACAGGAAUUUCGACUUUGUUACCAUGAAGGUAACACGAAGGAAAUGACUCACAAAUUUAUUCAUUAGCAGAUUUACGUGAACUGAACUGAAAACCUUUGGUAAAUAAGUUUGAAAUGUAAAUGAUACAUAAACUACACCUAUUAUAGUUUAUCCAAAACGUUUGUAAUAUAAAAGAACUCUUUUAUGAAAUACAUUAGUGUUAUGAACCCAUAAACUAUGCUUAUUAUAGCUUAUUAUAUGUGCUCUAAAUGAAUGAAGAAUCUUAUCGUGAAUGACUAAAUUUCAGUUUAUGAUGAUAAACUAACAAGAAAACACAUUCGAUAUUUAGUACUUAUUGUUAUACACUUUGCUCAACAUAAUACAAAGUGUUAUGAAAGUUAUAAGUUGUUAACUGGUUUUUAACCUUUCUGCAAUGUAUUAGAAAAAUUAUAGAAAAAUCAUACAAAGUCAAAAACUGAAUCCGUAAAUUCUGCGAGUUCGUAAAAUGCGUCUAGUUUGUCAAUAAUUUUUAUUAUGAUAUUUGGAAGUCUUUAACUUGUAUUAAAAUGUCCAUAUUCACAGACUGGUCCGGAUUUGUUCUUGAAAUGAUAGGCUGUUUUGUAAGAAUCAUCAUAAAUCGAAGAAAAAUCAUAUGGAGAUGUGCAAGUAGUCAUUUUAAAGGUAUAAACCUGAACUAUUUGAAUCUAAUACAGUUUUAAAAACUAAAAUGUUUAAGUUAACCAAAAGAGUCCGUGAAUGGAGUUAAACUUUCCUGAUGAAAGUUGUUGGAAAAGUUUAGUUGUGUUCUUGGUGUUUUAACUUGUAUCCCCCCCCCCCCUUUAAAACAUAAGAAAAACAUGAAAAUAUAGGGAUAUGAACUCACCUUGUGUGAUUUCAGUGGAUGAAUGUUGAAGGAAAGAAGUGUUCAACUCAAGAACACUUGGAAGAUUGCUUGAAGAUUCGAGAAUCUAACGUAAAUAUGAUGGAGUUUGUGUAACGAAUCUAUGAUUUGAGUAAAAAGAAAGUGUAAUAACCAUAUGAAGGGUGAUGAUACUUACCAAAUGUAGAAGGAAAGCUUGAAAAAUGCCUUAGAAAUCUCGAAAUUGUGUGAGAGAAUUUGAGAGGAGAGAUGUGUUUGAUCUUUGGUGAAAAUCAGAGUAAUGAGUGAGAAUGAGGAGAGAGGGUGAGUUUUCAGCCUUUGACUAAGAGUGUGGCUGGUCAAAUGGUGGGGAAAGUACUCUUGAAUGACCAGGUAUGGUGGGGAGGGGUGUGGGUUAGUCAUGGAGUGGGUAUGGGGGUGGUUGCUUGUGUCUAACACCAUGGCAAAGUCAACACUCCACCACAAGAUCUUACUUUAUGGAUUUUAUUCUUAAAUAAGGAUUUCCUUAAAAAUAUGCUUAAUUUAUGAAUAUAUGUGGUCUUAUAUGUCAAAAUAUAAAUUUGGGUGAAAAUCCCUAGUUAAAAUAAUGAAAAACGGGCUUAAAACGGAGUCGUGUUAAAAAACCAGGUGAAAAAUGGGGAAAUCCGAAGUCUGGCAAGGCUUCGGCCUCAGCAGCCUAAAACCGGAGUGGCUUGGUCGCAUGACUGCGGUCCGAGGGGAAGAGGGCUGCGGUCUGAAGGCGAGGUACGAUGCGGGGCUUGGUUCCGGGUUCGGUGGCUCUGGGCUUGAAGGCUGCGGCUCUGAGGCUUCGGCUCGGUGGCUGCGGCUACUCAAGGGGCCUCGAUCUCGGAUCUUGUGGCCUCGGCUCUAGGAGGACUUGGCCCCUAUAGAGAGGCUUCGGCCCUAAGGGGCUAUCUUCUAAUAUUUCACCCCUUUUCAAGUGGUUUUUCACCAUGUCAAGUGUUGGGAUGCCCCAAAUGAUUAAAAAUAAAUCAAAAGGGGUUUUGAGAGAGAUUUGGGAGAGAUUCCACAUACUUGGAGAGAUUUCACAUACGGAGAGAGAUUUGGGAGAGAUUCCACAUUCUUGGAGGGAUUUGGGAGAGAUUCCACAUUCUUGGAGAGAUUUGGGAGAGAUUUGACAUACUUGGAGAGAUUUCACAUAUAGAGAGAGAUUUGGGAGAGAUUCCACAUUCUUGGAGAGAUUUAGGAGAGAUUUGACAUACUUGGAGAGAUUUCACAUACGGAGAGGGAUUUGGGAGAGAUUCCACAUUCUUAGAGAGAUUUGGGAGAGAUUCGACAUACUUGGAGAUAUUUCACAUACGAAGAGAGAUUUAGGAGAGAUAGAGUGAAAGAGGUUGAGAAAGACUUCUUUUGAGACCUUUUUGAGUGUUUGGCUCUUUAUUUCAUGGUUCGUAAACCUCGUUAAGUCUUGUUCUGAUUGUCAUAUGCCCUGAGGGUUAUGGAAUAAUGUUUUAUCGAGUAGUUUCAUCACUUGCCCUGAUUAGGGUUUAGAGUUUCCGAACACGUGAAAACUCUAAGUGAUACUUUGCAUUAAGAGUGCGAGUUGUUUAAUAAGAAAGAUAAUGAAAACCCUAGUAUACAAGGGUUAGAUGAGUUGAUCGGUUUGACUUGUUGACUUUAUUUGACUUUGACUUGACCGAAAAUUGACGGUUGUCACAUCAUCCCCCUGUUAGGGGGAAUUACGUCCCGAAAUUAGCACUUUGACCGGGACUUCAAGAAUUUGGAGAAAAGAUGGGGAAACUUUUUAUAGUACAAGAAAUUGAUAUGGCGGGGACCAAUCCGCCUGAUGUUAAAUGACAACCUUGGAAUUUCUUACGGUAACUUGAGCUAAGUCUAUUUAAAAGGAGUUUAUUGUUUUGGUAUGAUAGUUUAUUCUUUUAUACUCUUUGUUUUAUUCUCGUUAUUCCCACUAUGAAUAUUUCAUGUUGUAGUUAAUGAGUACUGGUAUUACGAAUGCUUUAACAAUUGGUGAUGAAGUUUGUAUUAUAAGUCCUACCGGCUCUUUUAUAAUCGCUUGGUGUAAACUAGUCGUAUACCAUUAAGAUUGCAAGGGAAUUCGGAUGAGUGACCCCGCCUUAAGCCCACAACCAAACAAGGAACAGGAAAUGAGGCAGAAUCACACAUUCUAAGUCCAUAGAAUCUUAAUAAUAUAUGACCAUAAUGUUUACACUAGCCAUCAUAGAUUCACUAGUAAAAACCCUAUGUUUUUAUAUAGAUGGUAAGACUUAUUCGGGUUUUGUUGUGUUCUCGAGAUAUAUGGUCGAUAAGCCCUAAGUCGACACUAGUCUCAGCAAGGGUUUAAAACUUAUAUGUGGCGGUUAGAAGCACGUACCGUUAUUCACGGGUGGUUACGAGGGAGUUUCUCCUGUGGUGAUCAUGAGUACCCUUCCACCGUCACCAGCAUUCCUUGUCCUUGGACAGUCUCUCUUAAAUUGUCCUGCUUCACCGCACUCGUAACAAGUUGGGUUGGCUCAAAUGUCGGGGACCUGGUUGAUGGCUUGUGCUGGUGCUCUACAGAAACGGAUAGUGUGCCCCUUCAUGUUGAAAUUUUUGCAAUGCAUCUCUCGGCAAACCCAAGUAUGAUGGAAGUUACACUUGUUGCAUUUCGGAAGGGUUCCAACAUAUCGAUUUAUGGGUGCUGGAGUGGCAGGAGUUGUGGAAGCAUGAACAACAACAGUCUGUUGCUUCUUGGUGGAGUCCUGGGAUGGUUGGUCCUUCUCGUUGUUCCAUAACUUCCUUUUGUUACUUCUCCCUCCAUCUUGCUAAGGGGUGGUUGUUACCGUGUCAUUGCUGGCCCUAUGGUCGAUGAGUUAUUGUGCCAACUCCUUGGCACUGUCAAAGGUAGUUUGUCUAGAGGCCAAUACGUUGUUUUGAAUUUGGGGAGACAAUCCCCAGAGGUAUCGUUCCACCUUCUUUUCCUCAGGAGUGACCAUCACGGGACAAAGGAGUGCUAGAUCACAGAAUCGGUCAGUGUAAGUUCCAAGGUCAGAGCCUGUCAUCUUGAGGUUCUAUAAUUCUUGCUCCAGUUUUUGCACAUCACCCCUUGGGCAGUACUCUUUUAGCAUUCUCGUCUUUAAAUCUACCCAGCUUAACGAGUUAGCUACUGCAAGCAUCAGUGACUUAACGUGGUUGUUCCACCAAGUAAGGGCUCGGCCUGAGAAAGUGCAAGCUGCAAAUUUGACCUUGCUUGCUUCGGGGCAUGCACCAAUUUUGAAGAACGAUUCAGUCUUCUCGAACCAUUGCAUCAGUGUGAUGACUCCCCUGCUUCCAUUGAAAGAAUCGGGUUUGCCAUUGGUGAAAUAUUUAAAGGAACACUCUCUCGGGCGACCUUGUCUUUCUCCUUAAGUGGAGUUAUUAAUGCCACUCCCUGUCCUUCUGGUACCAUCAGGCUGAUUUGGGACAUAACAGUUGUCACUGCGGCCGUGACCGCAGCUUGGAACAUGACAGGAUCAUAUUAGGGAGGCGGUGGUGGCGGAUUUGUUUGCGUUCUGCCAGUGCGUCUAGCAGACCUACGAGGCGGCAUCUUUCUGUUAUAGAAUUUCAAAGACGAAAUGGUAUAAGUCUUUUAGUAAUGGUUAUUAGUUGUGUGUCGUAAAACUAGGUUAUUAGUUUUCAAGUAUAGCAUUUCCACUGUUGUUCGAAAGUGGCAAUCAAUUCAUAGUAGAAGUCUAUAUAAAUAAACUUAUGAAUUUAGUAGUAACGAAUCGAAUGAAAUCUUGUAAUCUUGUUCCACGUCGGAUCCACUCCCAAGAUCACUUGGCAUAUACCAGUUGUGUAUAAUUAAGGUCCAAUAGGCCGUUGAACUUAAUGAGUCUGCCCUAGGCCCACAACCAAACAAGGAACAGGACCCAAGGCGAACUCACCAUUUCUAAGUCGAUCGUCUCUUAAUUAUACCUAACCUGGGGGUAUACAUUAAGCAAUCUUAGAGGCACCGUAAGCGAAUCGUCUGUAAUACCCGGUCAUGAAAUAUUUGGUAAACUCCCAAUGAAAUAAAAUGUAUGUUGAUUUCAUUUAUAUAGUUUAGUGCAUGAAGUUUUGGAAAGUUUGACCUUAUAGAAGGUCCACAUCACACUAUGGUAUAGAAAAUUUCGACACUGACACGACUCUCUUGAACGGUGUAGUCUCUAAAUUUGAAGGGUCGAAUUAAUGCAUGUGAGGGUAUUGUUUUCACGUAUCCCAGUAGCGUGAGUGUUUAUCGAUUCGUCAGUAGUGUACACACUACUCGCGGUAGGUGAUGUUUUUUGGGCCAUAGAAUGAAGGCAUGAUAGUCUCCAUUGGCCUAAUUCCUGCCCUAGUUUCUGUCAUUUGGUGUUCUGCCUUUACCACGCCUUCUCUCCAACGCUGUUGACGUUCCUCAUACCCUUUAGUCUCGGCUCGGGCUGCGAUCCCUUUCCUCCGAAAGGUUUGACGUGGUUUCCUAUCCCGUUCAUGGCCUCUAUCUGGAUGACGAAGGCGUAUUGCGGUGAUCUUGGUGGUAGAGUCGAUCUCCAUUAUUCUGCUUAUCGAUGCUUGUGUUGGUACUCUCUUAUGAGUGAUAUGGCAUGUUAUGACAAGGAGAAUCAUGUCUGCUACUCUUCGCCCGUUGAGGUUUUAAAAACCCCAUCCAUGCCAUAGGGAGGGUGUUGACCUAGUUCCUAACUCCGUCUCUGUAAAUCUACGGCUCAUUAAGGUGUCAGACCAUGGAAGUCUCGUCGGGGUCUUCCUCUAUUAUUUCUUCAGUAUCCUCUUCGAAAUCCUCUUUGUCGGGGUCUCUUGGUAGUUGAGCUCCCGCCAUGUUGUUUGUGCGAGAAUAGGGGUAUAAGGGAUAAUUAAUAGACGUCUAAUCCUAUAAUUACUUAUAGGGGGUGAUCCGUAUCAGUCACGCCUAUACUCGCAUAGUGCAUACCAGUUAUACAUAUUCUGAGAUAUAAUAGACCUUCAAAUAAAUGACUCUACUCUAAAUCCACAACCAAACAAGGAACAGGAAGUAGAGCAAUAGUCAUAGAUUCUGAGUCUAUAAUAUCUUUAAUUAUGUAUAACCUUAGCGUAUGCACUUAGUCAUUAUAGACCUACUAAUAGGGGUCUUUAGUUUUCACAUAAGUUAGUUAUAGUACCACAAAAUACUUCUAUAGUAUUUUAAAUGUUUGACUUAUGCUUUUCAAUGUUUCUUGGUAAGUUUUUAGACUUGUUGCAACACCACAACCAUUCCUGGGCAUAUGCUAAUCACUUAUGGGUCAGACAUAGUUGAUCAGGCUAUGACAUUCCCAGACCUGACUAUACAUCCCCAAGCCUACUUGUGCCAUUCAACAAUCACUACUUUUGUUUUGUUCUAGUAUGAUGCUGACCUUAGUAUGUAUGCAUGUAUACUUUUAACAAGAAACUAUUUAUUUCUAAAAGUAUAGUUUUUGGAAACGUUUAAUCAGAGACCAUAGUCCCAAUGCAUUUAUAGUCGUAUAUCUUAUGUGACUCAAUAUACUUAGUUCACUAUAAACAAUGCUCUGAUACCAAUCUGUCACACCCCCAAACCAAGGAUGGCGGAAACGUCCGGGGGUGGAGGACUUCAUGUAUAAGAUCACAACAAUGAGUAUAAUAGUUCUCAAAGUAAAUAAAACCAUAAUAAAUAUAAUUGAAAAAGUUACACCAAGGUAUAUGUUUACAUGUUUCAAAUCAAUUACAUUAUGAUGAAAAAAUGAACUGUUUGACGAUUUAACGUCCCAUCCUCAAAACGUUGUUGGUUUUCCUGUUUCACUGAUUUCCUGAGAAUACAAGUAGUUUUGAAAAAGUGUCAACAAUUAAGUUGAUGAGUUCAUAAGAGUUUUGUUUGAGGAAGAAACCGUUUUCUUUGUAAAAACGACAAAGUAUGUUUCCAGAAAUCCAAUAUUUUCUUUAUCAAGUGUGAAAUGAAUGCUUCUAUGUUAUGCGAUAAUAAACCCUAGGAAGACCCAUAGAUUCCUUCUAUAAUCACCCUGUGUAUAUAAGCUAUAUAAGAUUUAAAUUUACUAAACCGUCGAAUAUAAUGGGUCUGCCCUAGAUCCACAACCAAACAAGGAACAGGAAGAAAGGUAGGCCCACCAAUUCUAAGUCGAUUAUGAAUAGAUUCUUAUAUAACUCUAGCAUAUACACUUAGCAAUUAUAGCUGAAGCCUAACAAUUCUAGAUGAAUGUAGUUUUAACAGAAAUAUGUUUCCAAAGAAAAUCCAAUAUUUUCCUUAUAAGAGUUAGGUAGUCCUAAAUCCCAGGACCGAAAGUAAACAAGUAUUUUCCAUACUUAAAGAUAUAAAAGUGAUUUUAAAUCGGCAUAAAACCCUUUUUGAUAUGAAAGUGUACAAGUAUUUUUCCAUACUUAAAGUAAUUCCUGUGAGUUAAAUCGACAUAACUCGCUAAUUUAAAAGUAGAACCCGUAAAUCUUAUGAUUUGUUAAUACCACAUGUGAGCUAUUAUAACCAUGCUAAACUCGGAUGGCCUCGUAAUACGACGUUCUUCAGGUGUCGCCGUUAAAUGACACUUGUCACCCCAUACCUGCCGGUCUAGCUGUUGCAAGCAGCUUAGGUGCGGGUUUGUCAGACCCAAUAUAGAUCUAUACACAACUAUCACGCUUUCCCUACAAGAGACUCUGGUUAUAAUUUACAGGAAUUUCGACUUUGUUACCAUGAAGGUAACACGAAGGAAAUGACUCACAAAUUUAUUCAUUAGCAGAUUUACGUGAACUGAACUGAAAACCUUUGGUAAAUAAGUUUGAAAUGUAAAUGAUACAUAAACUACACCUAUUAUAGUUUAUCCAAAACGUUUGUAAUAUAAAAGAACUCUUUUAUGAAAUACAUUAGUGUUAUGAACCCAUAAACUAUGCUUAUUAUAGCUUAUUAUAUGUGCUCUAAAUGAAUGAAGAAUCUUAUCGUGAAUGACUAAAUUUCAGUUUAUGAUGAUAAACUAACAAGAAAACACAUUCGAUAUUUAGUACUUAUUGUUAUACACUUUGCUCAACAUAAUACAAAGUGUUAUGAAAGUUAUAAGUUGUUAACUGGUUUUUAACCUUUCUGCAAUGUAUUAGAAAAAUUAUAGAAAAAUCAUACAAAGUCAAAAACUGAAUCCGUAAAUUCUGCGAGUUCGUAAAAUGCGUCUAGUUUGUCAAUAAUUUUUAUUAUGAUAUUUGGAAGUCUUUAACUUGUAUUAAAAUGUCCAUAUUCACAGACUGGUCCGGAUUUGUUCUUGAAAUGAUAGGCUGUUUUGUAAGAAUCAUCAUAAAUCGAAGAAAAAUCAUAUGGAGAUGUGCAAGUAGUCAUUUUAAAGGUAUAAACCUGAACUAUUUGAAUCUAAUACAGUUUUAAAAACUAAAAUGUUUAAGUUAACCAAAAGAGUCCGUGAAUGGAGUUAAACUUUCCUGAUGAAAGUUGUUGGAAAAGUUUAGUUGUGUUCUUGGUGUUUUAACUUGUAUCCCCCCCCNAGUUUAGUUGCGUUCUUGGUGUUUUAACUUGUAUUCCCCCCCCCCCUAAAACUUAAGAAAAACAUGAAAAUAUAGGGGUAUGAACACACCUUGUGUGAUUUCAGUGGAUGAAUGUUGAAGGAAAGAAGUGUUCAACUCAAGAACACUUGGAAGAUUGCUUGAAGAUUCGAGAAUCUAACGCAAAUAUGAUGGAGUUUGUGUAAGGAAUCUAUGAUUUGAGUAAAAACGAAGUGUAAUAACCAUAUGAAGGGUGAUGAUACUUACCAAAUGUAGAAGGAAAGCUUGAAAAAUGCCUUGGAAAUCUCGAAAUUGUGUGAUAGAAUUUGAGGAGAGAUGUGUUUGAUCUUUGGUGAAAAUGAGAGAAAUGAGUGAGAAUGAGGAGAGAUGGUGAGUUUUCAGCCUUUGACUAAGAGUGUGGCUGGUCAAAUGGUGGGGAAAGUGCUCUUGAAUGACCAGGGAUGGUGGGGAGGAUUGUGGGUUAGUCAUGGAGUGGGUAUGGGGGUGGUUGCUUGUGUCUAACACCAUGGCAAAGUCAACAUUCCACCACAAGAUCUUACUUUAUGGAUUUUAUUCUUAAAUAAGGAUUUCCUUAAAAAUAUGCUUAAUUUAUGAAUAUAUGUGGUCUUAUAUAUGAAAAUAUAAAUUUGGGUGAAAAUCCCUAGUUAAAAUAAUGAAAAACGGGCUUAAAACGGAGUCGUGGUAAAAAACCGGGUGAAAAUGGGGAAAUCCUAAGUCUGGCAAGGCUUCGGCCUCAGCAGCCUAAAACCAGAGUGGCUUGGUCGCAUGACUGCGGUCCGAGGAGAAGAGGGUUGUGGUCUGAAGGCGAGGUCCAAUGCAGGGCUUGGUUUCGGGUUCGGUGGCUCCGGGCUUGGUGGCUGUGGGCUUGAAGGUUGCGGCUCUGAGGCUUCGACUCGGUGGCUGUGGCUGGAUGGCUGCAGCUACUCAAGGGGCCUCGGUCUCGGAGCUUGUGGCCUCGGCUCUAGGAGGACUUGGCCCCUAUAGAGAGGCUUCGGCCCUAAGGGGCUAUCUUCUAAGAUUUCACCCCUUUUCGAGUGGUUUUUCACCUAGUCAAGUGUCGGGAUGCUCCAAAUGAUUAAAAAUAAAUCAAAAGGAGUUUUGAGAGAGAUUUGGGAGAGAUUUGACAUACUUGGAGAGAUUUCACAUACGGAGAGAGAUUUGGGAGAGAUUCCACAUUCUUGGAGGGAUUUGGGAGAGAUUCCACAUUCUUGGAGAGAUUUAGGAGGGAUUUGACAUACUUGGAGAGAUUUCACAUACGGAGAGAGAUUUGGGAGAGAUUCCACAUUCUUGGAGAGAUUUGGGAGAGAUUCGACUUACUUGGAGAUAUUUCACACACGGAGAGAGAUUUGGGAGAGAUAGAGUGAAAGAGGUUGAAAGAGACUUCUUUUGAGACCUUUUUGAGUGUUUGGCUAUGUAUUUCAAGGUUUGUAAACCUCGUUAAGUCUUGUUAUGACUGUCAUAUACCCCCGAGGGUUAAGGAGUAAUGUUUUAUCGAGUAGUUUCAUCACUUGCCUUGAUUAGGGUUUAGAGUUUCCGAACACGUGAAAACUCUAAGUGAUACUUUACAUUAAGAGUGCGAGUUGUUUAAUAAGAAACAUAAUGAAAACCCUAGUACACAAGGGUUAGAUGAGUUGAUCGGUUUGACUUGUUGAAUUUAGUGGACUUUGACUUGACCAAAAAUUGACGGUUGUCACAGGCCCAAUAAGAGUGCCCUAGCCCAUUACGAGGUUUGACUCAGGAAGUUAGGGUUACGAGACCAAAGUCGAGUGAAUGCAGUGUAUUGAAUUAGGUUUAGAGCUUUCAUGAGGGAGUUUCGACUUGAAUUGUCAUUUUUGAAUGAACAAAUUGUAUAACAUCAAAAUUAGGGUUACAAGAUCCACUAGGAGUUAUUUACGCAUGAACAGAAUUUCGUAGCCCUAAAAUGCUAGUUGCGACAUCAAACCCUAUAAUGGGGGGUGAAGGUGGGUUGCACCUGAUCGCACAUCGACUGGGAAGGAGAACGAAACACUCCUUAAAGGGGUGUGGAUACCUUCCCUAUCACAACGCAUUUUAAAGCCGUAAGGGCAGCAGAUCCCAUAAGAACUCUACAGUUAAGCGUAUCCGGGCGAGAGUAAUCCAGGGAUGGGUGAUCUCCUGGGAAGUUUUCAUGCUGGGAACCCAAAGCAGACAAUAUUGUGAUACGUACCAUAGGGGGAUGUUACAGAAGAUUUCGCAUUUUGUUUUCUGACAUUCUGAUAAUUAUUUUGGAACUUCUUUUGAUACUAUGGUGAUCCUUUAUGAAAUGGAAUGAAUGUUUUAACUAUUUUAAAAAUGAAAAUUUUACCUUGUAUUUUUUGGGAGGUUACACAAAGAAAGAGAUGAAAUGGAUGAUUUAUUUUUGAACGGUGGGAUUAAUGGUUAUAAGUUAGUAUCACAAAAUUGUCAACGCCUGGGUUAGAACUCGAGACCUCCAAUCGAAUAUUCAAAGCUUCAACCAAGUAGGCUUGUCCCAUAUUGGUGGGUACUAUUGAUUAAUACAAAGUCUAUGCACCACUCUGUGACAACACUACUAAAAAACCUGUUCUGGUGGUUAUGUAAGAAUAAGGUUAUCUAAGUAUCUUAUUCCAUAAAAUAUAGAAUAUAUAGCAUGCAACAUUCAAAAAAUACUUAUACAAUUUAUAAAAAAUGGAUGGAAAGUAUCCUACUCAUUUAGUUUAGUGCUAAAUGAAAGAAAUAGCAAAUACUUUUAUUUAUUUCUUUAUUUAAGCUACUAUUCUCAAUUUUGUCUAUUACAACAUUGUACUUUCGUUUUUUUUUUCUUAUUAGCGCAUUGUGCUUUUAAUACUCUACCAAAUUUUCGCAUUGUAAUUUUUGUUCUUUUUUAAAAUGACAUUGUACUUUGGAAAAUCUACCCAAUUAUAGUAGUGGAAAUAGUUUUGCAUUUGAAUGAUAGUGCUAUAACCAGGUAGACUUUUCAUAAGUACAAUCUUGUAUAUGAAGAAAUGAAACUGGGACGCUAUAGUGAGCAACUAUGAUGCACGGAAACUCAUGUUAAGGUACCGUUCACGUAUCGGAAACUCCUGGAAACCGAUACGACUUGAAACCCCUUGGAAACGUUUUGGUGAAGUAUCCGGUAGGCAGAAACGUUUCUGUGAAAUAUCCGGUAAAGUUUCGGUGAAGUUUCCUACUAUCACUCAUCUUAUUGAAAAUGGUAUUAAUGUCUGGAUAUACAAGUAAGUCGAACUAGCCUACACUUUAACUAAAUCUUGGAUGCAAUAGCUCCUAACUUUUUACAAAUCUGUCCCACGGUCAUAUUUUACACCAUUAUUUAUCCAGACACCAUUUCUCAUGGAGAAAAAAAAAGAAACAAGGCACAAGUUAGCAUGUCACACAAAAGUUACAUAUUAUUUAUAAUGAAUUGGUAGUGAUGACAUGGAUGCACGGGUCCUAGUAACAUCCUCAAAGUACUCUGUAAACAAGCUAAAGCUUCAAGUGGUGACUGCUUGGCGUCCAGGGUACUAAAAGAAAGAGGUGACACCCUAACAGCAAUGGUGUUGGCAAAAAGUACAUAAAAGAUUAUAAUAUCCAAAUCUAAUAAGUUGAUGUUAAAAACUGAUAGGUUGGAGGAUCUGUUGUAGGCUAUAAAGGAGUAGUACUCACAGUAUGACUGUAUGAGGCCCAAUACGCAUUAGCAUUGCUAAUGAUCUCAUCAUUCCUUCAAGGAAAACUUAAUUCCUCCAUCUUUCACAAAUGAUAAUAGGGUUAUUUGCAGCAUGAUUUGGACGAACAAAAGUUGAAAUUAUCAUUUUUUUUUUCUUUUUAACUUCUCAUGGUAUUGCUACAUUUGUAGAGGGUGAAAAACUGAAAAUUGUUCUUGUGAUGUACUCCCUCACUUAGUGAUUUGCUCUCAGGAAGAAAGUACUUCGAAUUGUAAAUUAGAAAUAAAAAUAAAAUAGGUUUGAUGAUUAAAUAGCACAUUAUUUCGCUCUGAAAGAUGACAGAAAUGUAUCAAUGGUGUAAACAGAUAAAAUUUUAAACAUAUAUAAGGCAAGCAGGUUAAAAUAAAAGGUGCCCUGAAGAUAAAACCAUGUGUUGUCUCUGACUCAAGAAAGCAAAAAAAUUGCAAAUAUGUUUUUGAAGAAAUAUACAUAAAGCACUCCCAGCCGGGAUAGGUAAAAUACGAAGUAAAAUUUAGAAAAAUAAAGUAGAGGAAAAAAGACGUCUCUAUUCAUAAUGAUAUAUUAUAAAUAAAUGCUGAAACAUAACAUAUUCUUGGAUUAUCCGGUUGCGAAGCACGAAUUACCCAAAAUCAGAAAAUAUAAUGAUUUUAAUAGACACACAGAUAAGUAAAUAACAUAAUGAUUUUUUUAGCAUUGUCCUUAAAAAUCCGACUUUUAUUUUUCAUGAAUUGGUUCAAUGUGGAGUUUACAACCAACUACCGUUUGUUCUUCAGUAAUGAUUCUUACUCAUAGUUAAAUUUAAUAAAGGGUUCCAAAGAGCAAGACAAAUGAGCAUAGGAAAUGACGUUACAACUUACAACAGCACACAACCAGCUGCAAAGAAUUCUUCAACCAUGCUUCUUCUCUCACAAUAUAUAAUGAGACACAACACACAUAAUAUAACAUAUAUGCCUGAUACAGUUUCAUCUAUGUCAAUAAUUAAAAUGAACCACAUUUCUUAUUAUUUGUUGUUAGUUUUUUCACUUUAUUUUCUGGGUUUGUGUGUGGCAAGAAAGGAUAACCAGAUCACCAACCUCAACAAAUUGAUGAAGUCAAGAAGAUCAGAGAAUCCGCCACAUGUCAAACCAUGGACAGAAGAAGACACAUCAAACUUAUCUCCACUUUCUAUUGUCCCUCAACAAGGGUCAAAGGAAGAAGAUAUGAUUGACAAGUUGCCAGGCCAACCACAAGUCGAUUUUGAUCAUUAUUCAGGCUAUGUAACAGUCGAUUCAAAGGUGGGAAAGGCGUUGUUUUAUUACUUUGCUGAAUCACCUCACAAUUCUUCAACCAACCCUCUUGUCCUAUGGCUCAAUGGAGGUAUAAUGCUUCUAUUAUACUUCAAGUCUAUGUGAAAAAACAAAACAAUACAAUAAUGCGUUGUUUUCACACAAAAACCGACUUAAAAUAAUGGAAAACUAGUAAUGAAGGUAUUAUACAGGGCCAGGAUGCUCGUCGUUUGGAUACGGAGCCAUGGAAGAACUUGGACCCUUCCGAGUCAACAGUGAUGGGAAAACACUCUACCGCAAUGAUUAUGCAUGGAACAAUGGUAACGAAAUUUGAUGAGGGCAUUCAUGUCUUUUUCACAUACAAAAGCGAGUACAUGUCAAAAAAUUUCCGUGAUUACAAUGUGAAAGUCUAAAUACAGAAAAUCUUGACAGCGGCUAAUGUGCUAUUCUUGGAAUCGCCUGCUGGAGUGGGUUUCUCGUAUUCAAACACAUCGUACGUGACAGGAGACAAGCAAACAGCGAAAGACUCAUACACUUUCCUCAUCAACUGGCUUGAAAGAUUCCCGGAAUACAAAACCCGAGAUUUCUUUAUUACAGGUGAAAGCUACGCAGGUCACUACGUACCUCAACUCGCAUCCCUCAUUCUCUCAGAAAACAAGAAAACUAACGGAACAGUCAUUAAUCUUCGUGGGAUUGCGGUAAGUAAUUAUCGUACCGACAAGACAGGACAGGUUGUACUACUUUUGGAAUGAAACUUUUUGUUCCACCCUAAAAGGCGGGACAAGGACUCACUCUUGAUCACUUGUUUGUGCAAAAGACAUAAACGCCGUUAUCAUCCUUGUCAUUAAAAAGCUUCUCAAGUCCUAUCCUGUGUACUAUGCCAUGUAAGGGACUAAUAUGCUAAAUGUGUAUUUGUUGUGAUUGUGCAGAUUGGGAAUGCUUGGAUUGAUGACAAUACAUCUUAUGAAGGGAUGUAUGACUACUAUUGGACACAUGCCCUAAACUCUGAUGAGACAAAUGAAGGUAUCAAGAAGUAUUGUGACUAUGUUACUGGGAACUUUUCUGAGGAGUGCUACAAGUAUCAAGACCAAGGAGACGGUGAAUAUGGUGGAAUUGAUAUUUACAACAUUUAUGCACCACUUUGUCAUCAUAAUACUACACAAAAAUCUGGAACCACCGGAUCCGUAAGUCUCUGAUUCUAUAAUAAUAAAAUAUAUCGCAUACAAAUUUCAAAAUUUCUUAUAAAUUAUCAAAAGUUAGAUAACACGUAUCCUACCGAACCCUUUCGAUUAAGGGAUAGUACAAGAAAUAGCAACAUACUUUGCUUACUUGUUUUAUUGUAGCAUAUUACUAUCGUUCACACUCCAAUUUUUUUUCUUAUUAAAGCAUUGUACUUUGAAAGAAUUACCAAUUUAUUGCAUUCUACUUUCAAUUUAUUUAUGAUUAUGACAUUGUAAUUUGGAAAAUCUACACUAUUAUAGCAUUGGAAAUUGAUUUUUAUUUAGAUGGCAUCACUAUAAUUGGAAAGAUUUUCCAAAUUAUAACGCCGCGAUAGGUUGAAAUGAAAGUAGCAUGCUACAAUUAACAAAUUAACAAAAGUAAGUUGCUAUUUCUUUCAUUUAGCCUAUAAUUAUUCAAUCAUAAAACCAAGUAUUAAGUCUAAUUGAACUACAUAUGAUGUGUUGAACUAGAUCACGACCUUUGAUCCUUGCUCUGAUGAUUAUGUCUCCUCAUAUCUGAAUCGAGCAGACGUGCAAGAAGCUCUUCAUGUCCGAAAUACCUCAUGGGCAUUUUGCGCGUACCUUUUCUUUUCUUUCUCUAAAACUAGGAUUCCAUUAUUCCAUAACAAACAAAAAUCAAUGAAAGUCUCAUGUUAUUUCUUGUAUUCGACUCGUGAUUUUAUGUGCAGUGGUAUUGGAAUGAUAGACAGCCCAACAACCAUUUUGCCUACUAUCACUCAACUUAUUGAAAAUGGAAUUAGUGUCUGGAUAUACAGGUAACUCAAUCUAGUCUAACACCCAAUCAGUUAUUUAUUAAACAUACACAAAAAUAAACUUACAUUUGAUUCAUGAUGAAUUGGCAGUGGUGACACAGAUGGACGGGUCCCAGUAACAUCCUCAAGGUACUCGGUGAAUAAGUUGAAGCUUCCAGUAGAGACUGCUUGGAGACCAUGGUACUAUAAUAAAGAGGUAUUUGAUAUUUAAAACUGAAAUCACAUUGAAUAACAAUAUACGUGUUCAUGAAAUAUAUGUAUAAAGGCAAAUUAAAUAAAUACUAUAAUAUCCAAAUUUAAUAAGUUGAUUUUAAAAAUGUUAUAAGGUUGGAGGAUACGUGGUAGGCUACAAAGGAGUUGUACUUACCACAGUAAGAGGCGCGGGGCAUACAGUUCCAUGCUACCAGCCAGAAAGAGCAUUGCAAAUGAUCUCGUCAUUCCUUCAGGGGAAACUUCCUCCAUCUUUCAGACAAUAAUCCCUAAAUGCCACCGAGUAGUUUUAGUUUAUCAGAAUCGAAUAACUAUGAUAAGCAAUGAAUCUGAGGUUGACUGAUUGCUUGAUAUUCUAUUAGGAUGAAAGAUAAACAAUAAAUAGAAGGUGAUGAAAUCUGAAGACUGUGAUGCGGAUUUGUUGAGUGUUUAAAUUGUUGUGAUGAAGGUAAACCCUCAAAGUUUUAUUGACUAAAGUCAGAGGAAAGUUGUACUUGUAUCAGAUUGUAUUUGAAAUAAAAAUCUCAUUCACAGAAUGUCAGAAUUAUAACUUUAUAUGAAAUGAUACAUGUCUCCUUAAUAAUUGCAUAAUGUCCAAGCGUAGCAAAAAGGGCAAAUUUGAUUAUAUAUGCAUCAGAAACUAGAGAGCUACAACAAACUAUCCCCAUGUAAAUCAAUGAUAACAACCUAGAAAAUUAUGAUGAUAUAAAAAUGCACUGAAUCUUCGACAAAAGCUAAAAUGUAGGAAGUAAAAGUGUAAAAUAGAUAAGAAAAAAAAAGGAUAAUUACAAGAGCAGUGAUGAACAACCCCUAACAACUAGGCGAGUAGAAAAUUAAUCAGCCGUGUGAAAUCCCAAAUUACAGUUUUUUUGGAUAAAUCAUAACUGCUCAUUUGUGGAUGAAACAACCUAAAUCCCUAAAUUGCAGUAGCCACGAUCUUUGGAUAAAUCAACCCACGAUCCCACUCAUUUACAUAACUACUCAUUUGUCACUAUAAAACAUUGAAGCUAUCACAGGCUGGUGGGCGAACAUGUUAUUAAUUUUAUCACACCAAAUCUGUUUUUUUGCUAUCUAUGUCAUAAUAUUUAUAACUAGAUUAUGAUCCGCGUUAAACGCGGGGAACACAUAAAUAAAAUACAAAUUUAUAUAGAUAUUACAAAAUAAUUAUAAAAAAACAGGGUUAUUGGUAUUAUUGAAAUGUAUAGAAAUUACACUAAAAUAGAUAAAUAUAUAUAACGUUGAAGGACCUCUUUAUAGACAAUAUUUUUUGUUUUAUUAGUUCACUGACCUUACUUGUCAGAUAUAAGUAUCUUCAAACAUUUUUUACUUGUGACACGGAAAACAACUAUAUAUAGCCAACCAUACGUGAAAAUGGGUCUAAAUAAGUAUAAUCCAACAUUUGACAAUAUACUUUCAAAAUAUAUUGUUAUUUUAUAGCUAUAUUGCGAAAUAUAACUGUUUAUUUAAAAAAAAUAGCAACUUCUUUAUGUUGCUUCAAAAUGAACCACAUAAAAUCCCCACAAAGAAACUAUAACCAAUAAAUCUGCAACGAAGCUAAUCAUCCUCUUCCACUUCAUCUCUAAUAUCAAGUCUUUUUUUCCUUAAUCUGAGUCGUUGUCAGUAUCAUCGACAAUGUUAAGAUUCAUUGAUGACUUCUUUUUUAUUGUAGGGAUAACUAUGACAUAAAUCAUUUAUCAGGUUCAUCAUUUAUGUUUAUAUCUUCGUUUUUUUUGUUGAUUUUGAUAUGUCUUCUUCGGUUUACCACCAUCUUUUUUUUCAGACUCCUUUUUUUUUAUGAAAUAACAUUUUUUUUUGUGAAAUUCGUUCUACGUUUUUUAGUAUGUGCAGGUACGUUGAUUUUUUUGAAGUAAAGAAAGUAGGGUUUUUGUUCGAUGUUGGUUCCUAGGUUUGGUUCUUAUUUUUUGUGAUUUCUCAUAAUCCAUUGCGUUUUAUUUUUCAUCUUUAUCUACGAUCUUUAAGUAUAGAACAUUUUAUCCAUAUAUUUAUUCACUACAGAGUUUAAUAAAGGAAAAAAGAAACACCCCCUUAGUUUUAUUUACUUUGCAAAUCAUCGAGCCUCCAUGCAUAGCUUACAACAUAAUGAAAAAAAAACAAAAAAAAAAAAAAACAUUAUGAGGUAAAUGCCAAUUACGAUUCUACCCAUUUUUCUCUUGUAACAGUUGUCUCACUUCAAUACUUCAAAACAUCUGUUUUUGUGUUUCAACAUAUUAUUGAUAGCAUGAAAGAUCCAAGCAUUGUUGCAUUUUGGUUAAUCACAAUGCCUCAAAUUAUGGGAGGAUUUAAAUAUGAUGAUGAGAUCAAACAUAAAAUAUGAUGGUAAUACAAGGUUCUUCUUCUUCUUAUUUAUUUAUUUACUUAUUUUUUAAUUCAACUUUAUUACAAAAUUAAAUAGCUUUUUUUAUUGAUAUUAGUGUUUUUUUAUUUAGAAAAAUAUGUGAUAUGAUCAACUUCUUGAUGUUAUAGCAAUGAGAAAACUUGGAUGAGCAGGAAGUGAGAUAAAUUUAUAAUUUAUUAUCUUUAAUGAGAAAUUAAUUAAUUACAAUUUUGUUAUUGAAUUUGAAAUACAACAGGGAUUAUAUCAAUGGAUCCUGAACGUGCAAGAAAUGAUCCAGUGGUAGCAAAGAACAUUCGUUACUAUAAAACAAAGAGCAAAUUAGAGGCAGAAGUUUUGGUCCCUUUGUUUAGUUGUUGGUUUUGGUCCCUAAAAGAAUCAGGUUGUAGGUUUUGAACCUUGUUUCACUGUUACAUAAAACUUUUAUGAUUGCCUAAGUUAACAGCCUAACUGUUAGUUUUUUUUAAAUGACCAUUUUGCCUUUGAACCAAAACUAAAAAACGUAUAACAAAACAACAAAAUUUAUUUUUUUUCUUUUUUUUCUAUGUUUUUUUUACUUUAGGUUAGAAUAAAUUACAUUUUUGGUCCUUGAGUAUACCUGAUUUUUUUUUUCAGAAGGUUCUUAGGGGUGUUUUUGGUAUUUCAGGGUCAAAUGCUGACUCUAGUUGAGUACACACUUCUAUUAUACCGUGCAUUCUUACCUGCCCAUGUAUGGUACCGAUUCUUUUUGAAGAAAGAAUACGGGAGUCUAUUUUCAUCAUUCACAACAUGCUUAUAUUUAACUUUAAAGCUCACAACAAUUGUUGAGAAGGUAUAUUUCUUAUUCUUAUUGUGUUACUACCGGAGACAUAAGAAAACUUUCUAAUGAGGCUUUCAUGUCUUUUGUAUAACCCGUCUGUUAUAUUAUGUCAUGUCAUCUCUUGUCUUGUUUAUUGAUUUUUUACAAAGGUAUACACACACAUGUAACAUCAUAAUUUCAUUAUAUAUAACAUCCAAUUUUAAAAUUGAGUUUACUGUUUUCGAAAAUAGGAUCAUAGUUACCGAUUAAAAAGAUAAAACCAAGAACCAAACACAACAUCAAAAGAAAUUCAAAACCAACAUUAUACAUCCAGAUUAUAAGUAUUCAACAAAGAACCAUACGAAUGAGUAAAAACAUAUAAAUUCGUAAACAAUAUCAAACUUACAGAUUAAAAUGAUUUAAGGAAGAAAUACAUACAUUUAUUCAACUAAUCAGACUGAUGGGAAGGUUGAUGUUUUUUUGCAUUUGUUUUCUACAGAGGAAUUAUAAUAUAAUGUUGGUGUAAAUCGAUUAUUAAAAAGGUUUGAAAUAUAUAUACAAGUGAAUAUGAUGAAAAUUAGCAGGUAAUCAAUUGAAAUCCCAUUUAAACUUAAAUUAGAAGAUACCAUGCUCCAAAGUGUAGUGGUUCAUAAUAAUAUCCGAAAUUUUUAAAAUUUGAAAUUAAUAGUUUCCGAGAUUUCAACAUAUAAUAUAUUUGGAAAGCAAAUUUUGAAUGGAAAUAUAGCCUAAAUUUAAAGUUUACAUUAAUAAGGAACCAAUUUUGUAGUUGUAAGUUUGGAAAGAAUUCAAGUAUCAUUUUCAUUCAAUUCUUACAUUUAAUUUCCUAAUAUAACGGGUUGACUUCUUGUUUGAUCAAGGUGACAUAAGCAAAUUGAUCUAAGGGUGUAAAACCUAUAAAGGCAACACAAUCAACGGCCGAGAUUGUUUUAGAUGAUGUCAUAAGGUUUCUCUUUUAAUAAUAUUUAGAGAUUAUCAUGUAAAUUAAAUCAUAAAUUAAAAAUAACAUUUAAAAAGUAAAAAUAAAAUUUUAAUAAAUCAUAAAUUUAAAACAAAAAAAAAAUUGCAACAAAGGACAAAAACAAUUCAAAACCUAAAAACCAAAAAGAUGAUGAGAAAAAUUAUAACUUUUUAUCUAAAUUAUUCAAAUUUAGUAUCAUCGUAGAUAUGAUCUGUCAAGUCUUCUUGAAGUUGUUUGUAUUUUCGUUGGUCUUGAAUGUCAACGACUAUAUGUAAUUAUUUUGUUGUCCCUGGUUGAAAUUGAAUGUGUCCAGAUUUCGUAAGUGAAUACUCCGCUGUGUUUCAUCACUUAUCUUCAAUCACCUUGUUAUGCAUUAUGAUACAUGCAUACAUAAUAUCUCGUAGAGUGUCCAAGUGAUAUGGUCGUGCCGCAUGUUCAGUUAUGUUCCAUUGUAACACCCCAAAAAUAUGAAGGUAAAAUUUCAUUUUUAAAACAACCAAAACACCCAUUGAUAAUUUUAUUUAAACACUUAAAGGUAUUUUACAAUAAAAACGAUUAUCAGAGUAUAAUCCCAAAAUCUUAAGGUUGCAAAAAAUAUGGGCGUAUGCACCACGAUCAAGUCGGACCAUUCCUUUUCGAACCAGAAGUACCUGAAACCAUAAACAACAACUUUAAGCACAAAGCUUAGUGAGUUCCCCAAAUACCACAAACCAUACAUAUCAUAAGAGUCAUACUUAUCAAACAUGCAAUACGAAGUGCUAUGUGUCAACCAUAGUCUUGCCAUUAUGUCACGAGCCAUAUCAUGGUCUUUCCUUGCCAUGCUAGGGACCAAAACUUUGGGUCUUAUAGACAAGUGCCAGGAGCCGCCUCCCACUCUUCCAUGUAAGCAUCACAAAGAAAACCAACAUAUAAUCCACCACUACUUAAACCAAAUGCCAAGGGUUACCCCUGGUCAUCCUAUAAUACAUAAACCAAAUGGGUCGACAUUGGUGUCUUCGGCCCAUAGUACAGUGAGGAGACUCACCUCGCACUGCUGAAUCACACUGAUAAUCCCUGGCCGCUGGUCCUACGAUUCUCGAGCUAUCAAUAGCAAAUAACACCCAAUUAACAUUUAGGUUUCAAUCCAAAUCCAAAAAUCCAUACAUGGGAUUAUACCUUCACAACCUCUGAUUGAACCACUAAAACUCAAUCCCAUUCAAAAUUGAAAUUGAUGUUAAAAAUCAAGACUCGAAAAUCAGAUACAUCUUCUUCAUUAGGAUGAACCCAUUUACUAGAAAAGCUCCAUUGAUUGAUUACAGAUAAUAAGCACAACCUCGGAUUUUGAGGAAACUAGUGAUUCGGAGAACACUUUUGAACCCAAGAUACCCACUACAAAUCUUUCAGUUUAGCUUCAGAGAUGUUGGAUAUUUGUAAGAUAUUGUGACUAAAGAUUUCUCCAUCUCUGGAUUUCGUCGCCGUUCUUGGUGGUGAGGUGUUUUUCGGAUUAUGAUUUUUUGCGUUGGUUUUCGUUUCAGAUCUGCCCUUCGACUUUUGGAUUAAGGUUUAGUUUCAAAUUCGGGUGUAACAACCCAAAAACAGUGAUAUAAUUUUUCAUUUUAAAAUCAUGAUUUCCAUACAUCAUAUGCUCUAAAAGUUAACCAUGAUACAAAGUAUCAAAACAACAAGGUUAAACUACUCACAAGUACGGAAACAUGAUGUGGAUAUUGUGCAGUCAUGUCGGGCCCUUCCCUUUCGUAUCGAAGUAUUAGAAACCAUAAACAUAAAUUGUAAGCAUAAAACAUAGUAUGUUUCCCCAAGGUACCAUAUGCCAUAUGAAUCAGUGGGCCACGCCGUGGGGUAUAUUCCAACUCAACAUACAAUGGGCCUAGUAUUGGGGCCCAACCCUGGGGUUUCUUCCAACCCAACCAUACAAUCAUGGGCCCUGCCUUGGGGCCUAGCCUUGGGGUUUAUUUCAACCCAAUCAUACAAACAUGCAAGAGUCAUAAAAAUAGUUAACAUCCUACAUAACAUAAUCUAGUGGGUCGAUAUUGGUGCCUUCAAUCCACAAGUACGAUGAGAAGACUAACCUCUUAGUCAAUGCUCAACUACUACUGCUCUCAAAUGCGAGAAUACCAAGGCUACGCUCCACCUAUGCAGUCAGACCAGAUAAACCCAUAGCUCUUCAUCCAAAAUUAGGUGUUUGACCAAUAGUCAACUCAAGCCGAAAGUCAAUGGUCAAAGUCUAUAGUCAAUGUUGACUUUAGUCAACCGCCACAUCGUGUCCAUCCUUGGCCACACUGUGGCCCUCAAAUAUCCAGACAUACGGGUUUUUCAUAGUCACCAUGCUUUGGUAACCUAAGGUCAUGCUGGUGGGCGUUGGGUUUCCAACAACUUAGUGGGUUAAGCUAUUUUCUUUGAUCCUAAAUGCUCCAAAGCGCAAGUCUGGUCUGAAGCAUGGUCUUGAAGGAUAAAGUUUCCAACUUUAUCGAUAAAGACUACAGAAAUGGACAUAAUCUCAUAUUCUAGGUUCCAAAAAGGCUAAAUAAGACACGACUUCAUCCAUUAAACACUUAUUCCAAAAAGUCUUUAGCUCAUCAACUUCAAAAUGGUUUCUAAUAUCAAAAUCAUCAUAAAAUUCGUUGCUUUAUGGACAUGCAUGUCCAAUUCAUGUCUUGAAGCAAUAAACAAUCAAAAUAAGGGGUUUUUGAUAAAAAUCACAUGCAUGGUUCAAAAAAUCAACUACACUUCAAAUCCAAACCCAUAAUCAUACCAAAUGAUCUAGAGAUUUAUAAAGUUGCAAAAUUUAUGAGAUCUCACCAACCAACUAACUAGAAAAUUAAGAUCAAGGGACAAAACUCAAGAUCUAGCAACUUAUCAUGAUAAAAAUUGAGUCUUGAACACUUACAAAUGUCUAGAAGAUUGCUACAACGAGUGUUAGGGGCUUGUUUGUUGAAUCCUAACUUAAUUCUUCUUCUUUCUUCAUUAAAGGACUUCAAAGAACACCAAAAAUAGCUAAAAUAAAGAAGGAAGGAAAUUAGGAUUUCUUAGAUCUUAAGGAGGCUAAUAGAGGCUAGGGGUGAGCAAACCCUAGCCUCAUCAUUCCUUUAAAUAUGGAGCAAACACAUAAAAAAUAGAGUUUGCCAUCUGCCAACUACCACGUCGUGGCCAUAUAUUGCCAUGUCAUGGCGACUUAAAUGAAGUACACAAUCCAUCUUCACUUGUCACGUCAUGGUGGUGCCUCCACCACAUUGUGGCAAACCCUAAAAUGCCAAAAAUGAAAAUGUGAAGUUCCUCGGGAUCCGGACAUUAGAUCGAACUAAGAACAAGUCCCCUUCUCCAUAUUUAUUUUAGAUCUAGAACAUGGAGUAUAUGUGUGUGUUGUUUUUUGAUGAAUACAACUACUGUGAGAAUUGUGUGUGUGUGUGUUCUAAAUUUGACAAGACAAAUAAUUUUGUGGGUUUUCUUGAGAGAGAGAGAGAGAUUUGUGGGUUUGAGAGAGAGAGAGAGAAGAGAGAAACUCUUAUUUUUUUAUUAUUAGAAAUAGAUAAAUAAGUAUUAAAUUUUAAAAAAAUAGAAAAUAAAUACAUUAAGAGUAUUAUAGUUAUUUCAAGUUUCAAAUGGACAAAAUACGCAACAAAACUAGUUCAAAAUGACCAUCGUUUCAAAAAAGACGAGGUUUGAACUAAACUUCAGAAAAAAUGCUUACCAAAGAGACUAUUUUUACAAUUUUGUCUAUUUUUUCAAACAUCAUAUAUCCAAACAAUUCUUUAACAAGCGAGUCCCCGAUAACAUGUAACAUGUAAUAGGAAGUCAAAAUCUUUUGUGGUAGAUUUUUUCGUUCAAAAGAUAUUUGGCAUUUCUUGUAAAGUUACAAGCUAAAUGAUAGAGUUUUUUUUCUUUUAUAAAUUUAAUAUUAUUUUAUUCAUUUGCUUGAAAGCAUAGGAGCUUAUUAGAUAGUUAUUUCAGUGAAAUAAGUUUUGCCAAAAUCAAACAAGCUAUUGUGAGAACCUUUUUGUCCCAAACCAUUUCACUUUGGCUGAAAUUUUACAAGCUCGUAGGGCUUUUCACAAUUCUAAUAUUAUUAAAAUCAUUUUCAAAACUUUUUUUUUAUCUUAGUAGGGCCCAUAAAUAAGUUGUAUAUAAUUUUUUUUUACUACUAUAGCAUGGUUACAUUAAAAAUUAAGUUAUUAAGUUAGCACCAAAAAGAUCAGCGGAAAAAACUUUGAAAAAAGUUUUCUGUUAAUGUAAAUGAUCUAAAUUGAUAUUUAUUUCAUCCAUAAGUAAAAUUUGUUAAAAGUAUUCCUUACCGUGGACAUUUAUUUAAGCUUUAUGGUUUAUUAAUGUGGCGAUGAUGUGUUUAUUGUACAUAUAAAAGCACCUUACAUGUUACACUUGAUUAAUGAAUAAUUGGCAGUGGUGACAUUGAUGGAAUGAUCCCAGUAACAUCCUCAAGGUACUUCGUGAAAAAGUUAAAACUUCCAAUUAAUAGAGACUGCAUGGAGAUCAUGGUACUCUAAUGGAGAGGUGAGAAUAUUUGAAAUAAUAAUACCAUCGAAUAACAAUGUAGCUGGAGCAAAAUAUAAAUUUUUAAAAUAAACAAUGCUAUAAUAGCAGAAUUUAAUAUGUUGAUGUUAAAAAUGUGAUAGGUGGGAGGAUAUGUGGUAGGCUACAAAGGGGUUAUACUUACCACAGUAAGAGGCGCAGGGCAUGCAGUCCCUAGUUACCAGCCAGAAAGAGCAUUGCUCUUGAUUUCAUCAUUUCUUCAUGGAAAACUUCCGCCAUCUUUGGCUAAAUAACCAUUAUUAGUUAUUUACCAGAUGAAAAGUGACAAGUUAUAAGCAAGUGGUAUCCAAUCAUAUUAGAAAUAUAACAAGUUCAUUUAGAGCAAUGAAAGUUUAUAUACAAUAAUAAAUAUGUCUCCUUAACCAUUUUGGACGGCUUUAAAAUAAAGUAAACUAGGAAAGAGCCCAUGCUCGCAUAGGUUGUAAAUAAUUUAAAGUUUUCUAAAAAAAUUGGUUGGAAAUAAUUUAAAGUUUUCUAAGAAAUAUUGGCACAAAAGUGACAUUUGUCAAAGUUUAGUGGCGUUAGUGUAACGAAUCAUCAAACUUUAGUGUCAAAAGUGUAAAUAAGUAAAAGUGAAACUUUUGUGGCAAAAGUGUAAAGAAAUAAAAAUAAAAUGGCAAAUAUAUUAAUUGGAAAAGGUUCCUGUUAAGGCAAAAGUGUAAAGAAAUAAACUAAAGUGGUAAAAGUAUGAAUUGAAAAAGGUUAAGGCAAAAAUGUAAGGAAAUAAAAGUAUAGUGGCAAAAAUUGGGAAGAGUUAAAAGUAGCAAAAGUAUGAAUUAAAAAAGGUUAAGGCAAAAAUAUAAAUAAAUAAAAAAUAAAAUUAAAGUGGUAAACGUGUGAAUUGGAAAAUAUUAAAGCAAAAAUGUAAUGAAAUAAAAGUAUAGUGACAAAAGUAUGAAUUGGGAAAAGUUAAAAGCUGCAAGAAUAUGAAUUGAAGAAGAUUAAGGCAAAAAUGUAAAGAAAUAAAAGUAAAGUGUCAAAACUAUGAAUUGAAAAAAGUUAAUGUUAAAAAUAUCCAUGUGCUUUAAUAUAUAUAUAUAUAGUUUAUAACCCGUGGGAACCACGGUUAGAAAAUUAAUUAAACUUUCUAANNNNNNNNNNNNNNNNNNNNNNNNNNNNNNNNNNNNNNNNNNNNNNNNNNNNNNNNNNNNNNNNNNNNNNNNNNNNNNNNNNNNNNNNNNNNNNNNNNNNNNNNNNNNNNNNNNNNNNNNNNNNNNNNNNNNNNNNNNNNNNNNNNNNNNNNNNNNNNNNNNNNNNNNNNNNNNNNNNNNNNNNNNNNNNNNNNNNNNNNNNNNNNNNNNNNNNNNNNNNNNNNNNNNNNNNNNNNNNNNNNNNNNNNNNNNNNNNNNNNNNNNNNNNNNNNNNNNNNNNNNNNNNNNNNNNNNNNNNNNNNNNNNNNNNNNNNNNNNNNNNNNNNNNNNNNNNNNNNNNNNNNNNNNNNNNNNNNNNNNNNNNNNNNNNNNNNNNNNNNNNNNNNNNNNNNNNNNNNNNNNNNNNNNNNNNNNNNNNNNNAUAUAUAUAUAUAUAUAUAUAUAUAUAUAUAUAUAUAAUGGAAUGAAAUUGGUGAAUUCCAUCGGGCAUGCAGAGCUAACCGUUUUUAUUUCAUUCCAAUGAAAUGAACCAUGAAUGUUCUUCCUCAUCAAUUAUUAACGAAUUUUCAAUAAUCAUGUAUUCCCAAUUUUAAGCAUGAAUUUUGAACCCUAAACAUUUAUCAAUGAGACAAAUGAUUAUACUACAAGAAUAAUGGGCAAUAGCAGCGACUUGUGUCGCCAUAAAAGGUAUGGGUUGUCGACGCUAAUACCUUUAGCGGCGACAUGUCGCUGCAAAUGAGUCGCCGGUAAUGCUUCGUCGUUAAUGUGCAUCUGGUCGCCGCUAAUAAUGUAUUGUCGUUGCUAUUGGUUUGUCGCCACUAAAGCCCAUUUGUCGCCGCAAAUACCCUGUCGCCACUAAUAGUGCAGUGUCGCCGCAAAAAAAAUUGGUUUUUUUUGUUUAUUUAACAUUAAAUUUAUAAAAAUCAAAAUAACACUUAUAGAAUCUAAUAAAUUUUUAUACAAAUAUUAAUCCAUACACAAUCAAUCAAAAAUAUUAAUCCAUACCACAACUUAAAGUGUUCUUCCAAAUUACAAAAAACAUUUCAUAAAAUCCUAAAGUAGCUACUCGUCCUCAUCAUUUCCUUCAUUAUUAUUUGAUGGCGGCAAUAAACGAAACCACUCUUCCAAUGAUGCAGAACAAGCCGAGUCCUUUAGUAUCGUUUGCAGCAUUUCCAACUAUAAAGAAAAUAAAAUAUAUUACCAACAUAUCAUAAUAGCAUUAUACAUUCCAAAAAUUACCAAAAUCAAAUAUUCAAACGUAUAUAACUAUAACCAACAUAUCAUUAUAGCAUUCUAACUUUCCAAAUACACUUAAACAUACAUCAUACAUAACACAUCAUUAUAGCAUUUUACUUUUCAUUAUAGCAUUUACUUUCCAAAAAUUACGAAACUACAAAAUAACAACAUAUCAAAUCAUAACCAACAUGUCAUUAUAGUAUUCUACUUUCCAUUACAGCAUUGUACUUUCCAAAAAAAUACACUACAAAUAUCAACAUAUUCAACCAUAACCAACAUAUCAUUAUAGCAUUCUACUUUCCAUUAUAGCAUUUACUUUACAAAAAUUAUCAAACUACAAAAUAUCAACAACUCAACCCAUAACCAACAUAUCAUUAUAGCAUUCUACUUUCCAUGAUAGCAUUGGACUAUAUACUAAACAAACAAUUAUCAAAAUAUAAAUAUAGCAUCCUACUUUUUUUUUCGUUUUUUCCAUUAUAUCCUUCUACUUUUCAACUUAAAGUAACAAUUACUUGUGAUUGUGGUGGUUCUUGUUUCACCGGUUGUUCCUGAUCGUACAUACACACAACGGUAGGAGGUUUACACUCAAUGCCUCUAAUAUGUCCACGUCGAACACCCAAUAUUCUUUCAAAAUAGUUUUUUAUAUCAGUGGAUAUUAGACCGCUUGCUUCAGAAGAAGUUUGUGUUCGUUUGUUGAUCUCCUGGAGUAAAGGAGUAAAGCAUUAUGUAUUUUCAAAAAAUAAUAAAAAUCAUAAAAAUUAGAUUACUAAAUACCCUUGAAGAUAUAAACACUUAUAUGAAAAUACAAAUUAACCACUUACGUAUUGUUGCUCGACUGCAAGAGUACAAAAUACCCCUUAGCGAUUGAGAUUAGCCUUAAGAAAAGCUUCAAUUCGACUAGUAUCCUAUUUAACAUUAAAAAUUAGAUUACAUAUACUUUAAAUAAACAUUUAAUUAUAUCAUAACUUAGUUUUUUGAAACAUGCAUUGAUGUACGAGCUCGACUCCCCUCUGUUUACAACUACUUGUUUUGCACGGACUUCUGUGUUUGACGUUGAACACCUUAAAAUUCUGGCGUUUGGAAAUGUUCGACUGUCUUCGCCUAAUUUUCACAUGACAUACCCUUUGGGAAGGGGGGGUUGGCUAAUGUGGCUGGGAUAUCAGCAAGCCCCCCGAUCUCCUUAAAAUAAGAAUGAGCUUUACUUUUUCGGCCUCUAUAAACUUUUGCAGGACUCGAAUCAAUGCUCCGCAACAAUUAAGCACGCUCCAGAACUAUGUUAACCUUAUCCAAAUCAAAUUUAUUCUAAAAAUAAAAAAAAGUUAGUUAAUUAAAUAACUGUCACACCCCAAAACCACGAACGGUGGAAACGUUCCGGGGUGGAGGACGUCAUGUACAGUAUCACAACAGAGUAAAGUAGUAAACACGCAACAACAUCAUCCAUUGCAUUAAAAGUAAAGUUUUAAUACAUGUGUGUUCUUUCAAUGUAAUAAGACACCAAAAUAUACAAUCAAAAUAAAAGACGAGUCUUGUCUGUGCUCCGUCUUCUCAAAACCUGGCCAUCGUACAUGUCUACUGGUGACCUGAGAAUACAAGUUAUUUUGAAAGCGAGUAUCAACCUAAAGCUGGUGAAUUCAUAAGUAUUUAAGUGUCAUUGUCUUGUUUUGGAAAGUUGUUAUGAAUGCCUUGUAAAUCUUUAAAUGAAACAAUGAUAUAAGUAAUGAAAACCCUAGAAAAUCCCUUAUUUCCUACUAGUAUGAAAUGUAGUCUUCUACCAAGACCCGAAUGUUUUGUAAGUGAAAAUGAUAGCUUUUCCUUUCUUUUGACUAUUACUAACAGUACUUAGUCUAACUCAUCGUUUAUGUGAAUGUAUCACAAAAUAAAGUAAUAGGAAAAUGUACUAAUGUAAUUGUUAUCCUUUUGUAUUAGGAUUAACACGACAUCGCGAUUAGCGAAAUGUAUAACCUUUGAACACCCGUAGAUUGUUCAAUUGUCCUCUGUAGCUACAGCAGGUGGGAGGAAGGGUUAGUCCCGCAAAGGUACUCCUAGUAUAAGUAUUAACCGUAGGCAUCCGUAGAUGUUCAUCAACCUCUGUAGCGAACAGUAGGCCUAAGGAAUGGUUAGUCCCGUAGAGGUACUCCUAGUAUAAGUAAUAACUAUAGACAUUCGUAGAUGUUCAUCAACCACUGUUGCUAACAGGUGGGAUUCGGAAUGGUUAGUCCCGUUUAGAUAUCCCGUUGAACUGGGAUAGCAGGACAAUUUACACAGAAGGUACUAAUAAAUCAUCCUCGUAAAUCGAGAUACAAGUAUUCAUGAAAGUGUAUACAGGUAAAUGUAUCUAUGUAAAGGUACUCAUGUAAUGUAUUCAUGUAAGCUAUUCAUGUAAGUGUAUACAGGUAAAUGUAUCUACGUAAAGGUACUCAUGUAAUGUAUUCAUGUAAGGUAUUCAUGUAAGUGUAUCCAUGUAAGCGUACUCAUGUAGGUGUAUUCAUGUAACAUGUAAUGUAUACCAUAGACUCAUGAAUGAACUGACUCUGAUGUAAUUCCUUGUUAGAGGAACAAUGUUUUGUAUCUUCUAACUAUCCGUAUAAUAGUUAACUAGAAGGUAAUUGGUUGUUCAAGCUGGUUUAUACACCCUUGCUACACAAGAGCGUGGGAAACUGAAUGAACGAUGAAAAACUAUAACAUCAAUACAUAUAUAACAACAUAAGUGUAUAGAUAUAGUUUUGUUCAAAAAGGUAAAAAUGGUUUUGUAAGACAUCUAAGAGUUUUGAACAAUAAUUAACAAUGACUUGAUGUCAUUUUAAGAAGCAUUUCAAAACAAAUACAAUUGUUACCAAGGUAUUUUAAGAUAGAAAACCAUUUCAUGCAUCAUAUUUUGAAGUAUGUGAAAUCUGCUGGAUGAAAACACAGUUAUAAAAUACAUAUGAGUGAUUUAAUAACAUGCUGUUUUCUACUUGUAUNNNNNNNNNNNNNNNNNNNNNNNNNNNNNNNNNNNNNNNNNNNNNNNNGGGGUAUGAACUCACCUGAAGAUGGUGGUUUGGAUGAACUGAACGGUGUAGGAUUGUUAGGUGUCAAGUGAGGACUUGUACACACACUAUGAUCCUAAUGAACAUAUAAUCACACAUAUAUGCACCCAAUUAGUCUUAAACUAUUAAUUGCAAAUGUUAAGACAUCCUAGAACAUUAUAAACACUUUAUAUAAGUGUUAUAAGCCCUAAGGAUUGUAUCUAAGUUGUCGUGGGACAAGGCUAAUGGGUUUAGGGUUCAAAAGGACCCUAUACAUGAGUUUACUCUCCAAUAAACCACACACAAGGAGUUUACAGUCGUAAACGCUUGAGUUUACGGCCGUAAUCUCCUAAGCUUAAUGACAUUUUGUGUUUUGAAGUGUUACAUGAUUCCUAGAAGCAAUUCUACUUGGUGGUUUAAUCCAUGGAAGAGUUUAGGGCAUUAAGAUACUCCUUUGAAGAGUUUAUGGCCCCAAGGCCAUUCCCUUUUGAGUUUACUGCCGUAAACUCAUAUGGGAAGGGGUAUUUUUAUGCUUUCAACUCCCAUGCUCAUCUAGGAUUGGUUCUAGACAUUUAUCUAAGGCUAAUGAAGGCCUUAGGCACACUUUGGUACCCCGUUUUGAUGUUCACGGCCCAAAGACCAAAACCAUAAGAGAUUAGAGCCGUAAUCUCUCUUUGGGAGGGUUUUUUGAUGAUUUAAAGUCCCUAAAUUAACUAGAAGUAAAUCAAUUCUAUUGUCCAAGGCUUUAGGAGUGAUUAAGGCACUCUUUGGCCUUUGAGUUUGGAGUUCACGGUCCAAGAACUUUUGGGGCCGUGAACACCUAAAUCUUGGUGUUCAUGGGUGAUAUCUAGUCUUAUACACACUAGUAUACAAGCCUAAGGUAGUUACAUAUCACGGGGGAAGGACUAGGCAUCAUUUAACCCUUAUAAAAGAGUUUACUCCCCAAGGUGUUCUUGGGCGGUAAACUCUCGAAUCUAGCUGUUUUGUUAUGAAAUCAAUGUUAUUGAGCACAUUAUAAGCCAUAUAAUACAACUAGAGAGAGGUACUCACGAUUUGAGAUGAAAACCCGAAGAUCCGUGAAAGAGAAAAUGGUUUUUCUCUAGUUGGAAGUGUAAGUAAUGAAUGAAUAUGGCUCAGAAUUUUAUAUAUAGUCCUAGGAUUUUUGGCAGAAAAUAUUUUAUUCCCGAAAUGAACUCUAAUGUAAUGGAGUUUUGGAAUAACAGAGUUGCACAAAACCCUAGUGCAUCCACUCUCCUGAUAUAUCCUUAAGUGUAAACCCUGAAAUACUCAAACUUAUACAGAAAAGUCUGAAAAUUUAUUGUGACUGUUCUAACUUCUAUUGAUUUGAUAAUGUUCGUACAAAAUGGAAAUUCUGGGUUGUCAUAAUAAAAAUCACAACUAAACUUAAAAUUUUAUCCAAGUUACAUUUAGAUGCACAACAUUUGCGUUCCUUAAUGUGGGGGAAACAUUGUCCCAACCAGAUACGUUGAAAGGGACGUUGUUCCACAAAUACCUCCCAAUUUCAUGUGUGAACCAAUUACCAGGCUUCCCGACAGGGGAAUAUGUGAUAUCCCUAUCGAAAUCCAAAUCCACAGGCUUUCCCUGUUUGCCUGUAUCAACUUUCCUAGAUUGAUAUUUUUUGACAUGCCCCUUCUUUUUUUUGGAAGCUCGGCUGAAAAAAUACAAUUAAAAAUAUUAGUCACGAUAACUUAUAUGAAAAUAAAAAAAAACAGCUAAGAAAUAUAUCAUAAUGAAACUUACCAUCGUGUUCAUGCUGACCACGACCAAAGUUUACUGGAGGUGGUGGAUCCCCAGCUCCAUCACCUCCAUGUCCAAUCCCCAUAACAUCGGCCAUCAUGGUGAAGAGUAUCGCCUAAGUAAACCUCCUUUGUAGCCUGUAAAUUACAAGAUGUACAAUAUAGAAAUAUAAGAUGAAUAAAAGUUAGUUAUCCUGCGAAAUUGUAAGAUAUACAAUAUAGACAAAUAACAUAAAUAAAAGUUUGACAAACAAUAUGAAUUAAAGGUACACUUCAAAUAAAGUUUCUACUAUAAAAAAACAUUUGAUUUUUUAAAUCAGAAUCUUUAUCAUAUACUUCAAUGUCUUCUUCAUCAAUAUCAUAAUCAAAAUCGUCAUCUUUAUAAUCAGUCUCUUCUUUGGAAACAUUAUCGAUUCUACCCGUUGGCGGAGGUACUUUAGUCUCGUCCUCGUCGUCAUAAUCAGCAUUGUUUUGAGCUAAAUCAACAUUGUUUUGAAUGUAUUAUGAGCAUUCAAUAAAAAGUCUAGCUCGAGAUGAAGAAUUUUUUUGAACUAUGUCAACAUUUUCGACCAGUUCGACUCGAAUCCUUACCAAUCCCUGUUUGUCUGGAGAGUGUUAGGAUGUUUACCCGGUUUAUGAAGUAGUAGACGACCUAGUUGCUCUUGUAUGUCUUCAUUAGUAAAGUGUCUCGGAGUGGGUCUUGUCUCGGGUUGCCCGUUAAAUUUCAAACUCAUACUUAAUGUAUCAUCAACAUCUAAGAACCGACGAUGACCAAUAUAAACGACUUUAUUUACUACACGGUACGAGGGAGUGUCUUCAUUGCAAGUCGGGUAUGCUCUAUACCCUUGUUCGCUCCAGCCCGAUAAACUACUUCGAGCUGGAAUGUAACAUACGGAAUUUCAGGUAUUAUAUUUAUUCAUUCUAUUUUGAGUUUUGUGGAAGAACUCGGCGAGUUGGUGCGUAGAAUCGCCGAGUAGAGACGCGAUUUCUCACCUGGAUUAAUGACCAGACUCGACGAGUCGCAUUGGUGGACUCGGCGAGUCCGUGCUGUUUAAUGAAACCCUAAUUUCUCGGGUUUGGGGCCUAUUUAAAGGGCCUUAUGGCCGUCAUUUGUGCUCACCAGUCCCCAGAGCGAAACCCUAGUGAGCUUGAGCGUUUGGAGUGAGAGAAGGAUCCAUUGUUCACCUUGGUGGUGUUGUCUUAGCAAGGGAAAGGAAGCUAUAGCCAAGAGGAAGCAAGAGCGUCAAAUUCCUGAAGAUCUGAGGUCCAGAACAUCACGUUUGAGGUACUAUUUUCCAACCCUUUUCUGUUGAGCUGAUGUUCAUGUUGAUUUAGGGCUUAUUGAGCCCUUUUGUGGCUAGAUCUAGUGCUCCCUUGGUCCCUUAAGCGAGUUAGGUUCUGGAUCUGGACCCUUGGAGGUCCAGAGUGUCCCUUUGUCCAAGCUUUUUAUGAAUCCAUGGAGGUUUUGUUUCAGGAUCUUUGUGCUUGAGGUCAAAACACCAUUUAUGAGUCAUUAGGUAUGAUAUGGGCGCCAAGACAUGAACUUUACGUGAUAAAUAAGCUUGGAAGGACUGGAUCUAUGAGUUNUUGGGGGUUGUGCAGGGAAUGCCCUCGCCGAGUCCAUUGGCAGACUCGACGAGUUGGUGCGGGUUGUUCAGGGAUUUCGAACCAGGGGUUGAGUAACUGAGUUGGGUGAGUGACUCGGUGAGUCGGAAGGGACUCAGAGGAAUCGAGUCCUCGUAGAGACUCGGCGAGUCCACGCCAAACUCGGCGGUUUUGGUUGAUCGUUGACCAUUGACCAGAGUUGACCAGUGCUGACUUGAUAGGGUUAGUCAACCCUACGUGAGUGACUCGGUGAGUCGGAAGGGACUCAGAGGAAUCGAGUCCUCGUAGAGACUCGGCGAGUCCACGCCAAACUCGGCGGUUUUGGUUGAUCGUUGACCAUUGACCAGAGUUGACCAGUGCUGACUUGAUAGGGUUAGUCAACCCUACUUGGGAAAGUGUUAAUUAGAGAUGUAUUGUGUUAUAGGAUGACUAUAGCUCGGGAGAUCGAGCACUAGUGAUUUUAGGGAUUUACGAGUUACNNNNNNNNNNNNNNNNNNNNNNNNNNNNNNNNNNNNNNNNNNNNNNNNNNNNNNNNNNNNNNNNNNNNNNNNNNNNNNNNNNNNNNNNNNNNNNNNNNNNNNNNNNNNNNNNNNNNNNNNNNNNNNNNNNNNNNNNNNNNNNNNNNNNNNNNNNNNNNNNNNNNNNNNNNNNNNNNNNNNNNNNNNNNNNNNNNNNNNNNNNNNNNNNNNNNCACGGACCCACAGAGUUAUAGCCUCGAGUGGCUAAUAUGUGUUAUGUGUGGUAUUUUGGGGAACUCACUAAGCUUUGUGCUUACAGUGUUUGGUGUUAUUUGUUUCAGGUACUAGUGAGGAUCGCGGGAAGGCGCCGGCCUGAUCAGUACACACACGGGAUUUUUAUGUUACGAGAUCUUGGGAUUUUUAUAUGCUAUGAAUUUGAGUUUCAAACAAUGAUGUUUUUAUGACAAUGAAUGAAUUAUGUUUCGUAUAAAAUGCGAAAAAUUGUUUGAAAUUUACGGUGUUACAAAUUGGUAUCAGAGCCUUGGUUUGAGGGAUUCGAGUACACCUUCGGGCGUAUUUGAACUCAAACUGAGGAUUUGAGAAAUAAUAUCAAGAAAAAAGAGUAAAAGAUUUUUUUUGGAAAAACACAAAGCAAAGUCGUGUGUACGAUCAGUCAGCGCCCGAACGGUGAUUUCCCAAGAUACCCUUAUAUUAUAUGUUAGGAUAUUGAUAUGAUGUAUUCUCAUGCUAGAGUGGGCUAGGUACUCCUAUUAGGACUAGAGUGGCCUGAUUUGUGAUGCCUUAGCCUAGGGAGAGGUGAGCUGCUAUGAGAUGCUUGAGAGUGAGUAGGUAGCAGCGAGGAGCUUAUGAGAGAUCUGUUAGAGAGUGGAUUAUGCAUAAUAGAGUACUUGGGAUUUGGGAUCCGAAGAGGAGGACUUGGGGUGUAUACUGAUACGGUGCGGACAGUAGUAUUGGGCCCGUACUACUGAAAACACCGGGGCAGUGCACAGUCCAAGUAAGAAUCUUCGGGAUGCUAGGGAUACAGGAGGGAUGAGUUGUGGAGUGUGAGUAUGCUCGAAUGGGUUCUAAUUUAUCAUAUGUUGUAUUUCAGAGGUAGAUCAUGGUGAGGACACGUCUUAUACCAGAGAGCAGUGGGGCUAGUGAUGAGGAGAUCCGCCAAAUCAUCCAUGAGGAGGUGGCUGCGGCCAUCAGGGCAGAGAUACCAGAGAUGUUCGGGUCUAUUAAGACCAUGUUGAUUGAGACUUUUGACAAGCGUUAUGCCGCUCUUUCUGAGGCUGCUGUUGCGACGGCCCCCGCAGCCAUUGCUGCUGCUAGGCCGCAAGGGGGUGACCCGUUGUUGUUCAGGGAGUUCAUUAACACGAAGCCACCAGAGUUUGACGGGACGCAGGACCUGAUUGCAGCGAUGAGAUGGGUAUCUGACAUUGAGGGUUGUUUCUACACAUGCUCAUGCGCAGGGCACUUGAGGGUUCGGUUUGCACUGAACCAGCUUCGCCUGGGGGCGAAGGACUGGUGGAAGUUCACGACAGCACACUAUUCUCUAGCAGAGCUUGCUGCGGUGACCUGGGAAAGGUUCACCACCAUGUUUCGUGAUGAGUACAUUCCUCCGGUGGAACGGGAUCGGUUGGCACAGGAGUUUUUGACCCUCAAGCAGGGUACAGAGUCCAUUAUAGUUAUCACCAGGAUGUUUCAUGAGAGGGCGAUGUUCUGCCCUGAGCACGUGUCUACUGAGCAGGCACGUAUAAGCCGUUAUUUGAGUAUUUUGCGGAGAGUUAUUCGGGAGUUCGUGGCGAACUCCUCAUACCGGACAUUUGCCGAGCUUCAGGAAAAUGCCCAGAAGAGGGAGAUUGAGCUAGAGACUCAGGCCAGGGAGGAGGCGGAGUCUCAAGGGAUGGAUCGGCGACCGGCACAGUCCCAGCCGGCAGCCAAGCGAGCCAAGCCUGCUGAUCCCAAAACAGGGAGCCAGAAGUGCCGCACUUGUGGAAAGUGUGGAAAGGGUCAUGAUGGAGUUUGUAGAGCUGGAUCUUGCUACAAUUGUGGAAAAGAUGGGCAUAUGGCCAAGGACUGCCCCAAGGGGUUUGCAGUGUGUUUUCACUACAACCAGACCGGACACCGAAAGGCAGAGUGUCCACAGUUGCAGGGAUCAGCUCAGGGAGCACCCCCGGGAUCUGCCCCUGCCGCCAUCAAAGCUACCGAGAGUCGGCUAGUGAAGGCCGAGGCGCCGAGGGCACGAGGGAGAGCCUUUCAGUUGACCGCGGAGGAGGUCCGCGCAGCGCCCGAUGUCGUGGCUGGUAUGUAUUCUUUCGUGUAUUUAUUUUGAUGUUGAGAUAUUAUGCUUAUAUUAUGUUAUGCGUAGGUACUUUUCUUGUGAAUUCCGUACCUACCUUGGUGUUAUUUGACUCGGGUGCGAGUCGGUCUUUUGUAUCUUUGGCUUUUAGUCAGCAUAUCAGUGUUAGUCGUGAGGCGUUGAGUCGGCCUCUGAGAGUUUCCAUAGCUGACGAGAGGGUGAUAUAUGCCACGAAGGUGAUUCGUGGGUGCGUAUUCGAGAUUUUCGGUGUAGAGUUCCCAAUCGAUUUGGUUCCUAUUGCGAUGGGUGAUGUCUGUGUCAUUGUGGGCAUGGACUGGUUGAGCAGAUUCGGUGCGGUUAUCGACUGCGAGCGACAGCUGGUGACCAUACGAGACCCUAGUGGGGGAGUUCUUACGGUGUACGGCGAGGGUACACGUUCUGGAUCAGCGUUUUGUUCGGCCGCUAGGGUGAGGCAGUGUCUACAGCAGGGCUGUAAGGGCUUUGUGGCGUAUGUGAUGGAUACGCGGGUUGAUUCAGAGAGGCCGAGGUCAGUUGAGGAGGUUCCGAUAGUGCGUGAGUUCCCGGAUGUAUUUCCAGAGGAGUUGCCGGGUGUGCCUCCCGUGAGGCAAGUGGAGUUCAGUAUCGAUUUGGUUCCGGGGGCCGCGCCUAUCGCCAAGGUGCCUUAUCGCCUUGCACCUCCAGAGAUGCAAGAGUUAUCCUCGCAGCUUCAGGAGCUGCUGGGAAAGGGAUUUAUUCGGCCGAGCAGCUCGCCGUGGGGAGCGCCUAUUUUUUUUGUCAAGAAGAAGGAUGGUUCACACCGGAUGUGCAUUANCUUCGUUCGGAAGGUAUGGGUUGCCGCGGGGAUGGAGUCCAGCCAUGUUAUCUAUGCGAUAAUUGGGGUCAAGAAGUAUUGGUUCUCCAAGAUUGAUUUGAGGUCUGGAUAUCAUCAGGUAAGGGUGCGAGAUGAGGACAUCCAGAAGACGGCGUUCAGGACGCGUUAUGGGCAUUACGAGUUUGUGUUAUGCCUUUCGGGCUCACCAAUGCCCCGAAAGUGUUCAUGGAUCUUAUGAACCGAGUGUGCAGGUCAAUGUUGGAUCGGUCGGCGAUUGUAUUUGUGACAACCCGAAAUUUCCAUUUUGUACGAACAUUAUCUAUUCAAUAGAAGCUAGUCCAGUUUCAGUAAUUCUCAGACUUGUCCGAAUAAGUUUGUGUACAUUAGGGUUUACAUUUAAGGAGAUAUCAAGAGAGUGGAUGCUCCUGGGUUUGUGAAACUCGAACAUUUCAAAACUUCAUAAUGUUAUAGUCAAAUUCCGGAAUAAAAAUAUUUUCUGUCAAAAUAUUUCAGGACUAUAACUAGAUUUCUGAACUAAAUUCAUUCAUUAUUCACAUUUCCAACUAGAGAAAAGUCAUUUUCUCUCUCACAGAUCUUCGGGUUUUCCUCCCAAAUCGUGAGUCUACAUUCCUAGAUAUGUUUUAAUGCUUGUUAUAUGCUUAAUAACAUUGUUUACAUGUCAAAUAUGUAAGAUUCGGGAGUUUACCGCCCAAGAACGUUCUUGGGGAGUAAACUCCAAAAUAAAGCCUAAAAGCUACCUAGUCCCAUUUCCUUGCUAGGUAACUAGUUAAGGAAAUUAUGUAUGAUCAUUUGAGGCUAGCACACAAUCAAGAACACCUAGUUUUAGGAGUUUACGGCCCAAGAGUUUCUUGGACCGUAAACACCAAUUUCAAGGGCUUAAAUGUGCCCAAAUCACUCCUAAGGCAUUAAGACAUUAACCCUCUAUUACUUCUAGCUAAUUUGGAGACUUAAACACAUCAAAAUCACCCGUUAAAGGGAGUUUACAGCCAAGGAAUAACUCUUGGGCCACAAACUCCAAGUAAAGGCACCAAAGUGUGCCUAAAGUCCCCUUUAGCCUUAAACAAAAGUCUAGAAUUUAUCCUUUGUGUGCAAGAGGCUUAAAUGAAUUAAAACACCCACCCCAUAGGAGUUUACGGCCGUAAACUCUAGGGGAUAUGGUCUUUAGGCCGUAAACUCCUCAAAGGAGCAUUCUAAGGCCCUAAACUACCUAAAGGAUUAAACCACCAAUGCUAGGCUUAUUCUAGAAAUCAUUUAGCACUUUAAAACACCCAAAACCACCAAGACAAGAGUUCACAGCCUUAAACUCAUGGUUUUACGACCGUAAACUCCUUUUUUGGGGUUUAUUGGGUAGUAAACUCUUAUUCAAGGUCUUUUGGUACGUUAAACCCUUUUGCCUUGUCCCAUAUCAACUUAGAUGCAACCAUUAGGACCUAUAACACUUAUACCAAGUGUUUACAUGUUCCUAAGUGUCCCAACUUAUUUCAUUAAGUUAUUAUUUGGCUAAUUAGUUAUAUAUAUGCUCAUUAUAUGAUAACUAGGCUCGUGCGCGUGAACAAGUCUCUGUUUGCCACCUAGCACGGUAUCCGAUACUUCAAUCCAGUCCACUCACCACAAGUGAGUUCAUACCCCUUUAAUUAACCUUUGAAAUGAUUUUAAAUGUUUUAAAUACUUUAUGGGGGAAUACAAGUUAAAUACUUAUGGUUGUUGCAUCAAUCACAUGUGAUUACAUUAAUCACAUGUGAUUAAUAACUAGAAAACCAAUGAUUUUAUCACUGUUCAAAUUGUUUAUCAAACUGUUUUACUUCAAAAUGUUUUACAAACUCUUUUACUUAUCAAAUUCUUUUAUUAAAAUUUGUUUUACUUAUUAUAAAUUGCAUGCCUAUAUAUGUAUAGAUAUAUAAGAAAUGUUUAAAGGGCUUAGGAAGGCCAUCCGCCCUAUUUCCUUUUUCUCGAUUUGGAUGUGGUCUGGUGGGAUUUCGGGUAACCGUCCGAAGGUUGUUUCAAUAUUAAUUAUAUAUCAAUUAUACAUAUAUAGACAUAAAAGUACUUCCAUAUUCAUGCGUACUAGACACAUCAUUAGUAAGUUACCAUCGGGGUAACACAGGAUGAUACUACUACAAUCUCUAGAUCAAUGAGUCAGUUCAUUCAUGAGUCUAUACAUUACAUUACUAUGAGAACAUAUACAACUAUACUAGAAAGAGAACAUAUACAACUAUACUAGGAAGAGAACAUAUACAACGAUACUAGAACAAGUAACAUUACAUUACAUAUACAUGAAUACGUUAACAAUUGUGAUCCACUGUAUCGGAGCAUGCCUUAAAUGUCAUGGCCCGAGUUGUAGCCAGAAUUCUCUUGGAGGGAGAGCGUGAGUUUGCGUAUAGAUCUAUACUGGAUUGACUAUCCUACACCUUGCUGCUAGCUACAGCCGGACCUGCAGGUCUGCGGGUGCCAAACGUCAUUCUGUUAUUACAACCAUUCAUAUGUCGUUGUUACCAAUCGAUAAUAUGGGGCAAUUUAUCACAUUAUACCUUAAUAUAAAUCCGGUUUAAGGUAGUUAGUACAGCAGUAGUUCCUAUAAUACAACACUACAGUACUACAAUGAUUUACCCAUUACAUAUAUUUAGUGAUUAUUUCACUUAAACAUUAAUGUACAAACUAUAUUUUGUUAAAUGAUAGUUACACUUGGGAAAUUACACACUUUUACAGCAAACGAGCAUACAAAAUAGUUAAGCCUUGGUAGAAGGCUACUUUAAUAGAAAAUAUAGGUUUUUCUGAGAGAUUCAAACUUUUAUAAACACUUACAAACACUUACUUACAUUUUAGAAACUUACACUUGAGACAGGUUCAAAUGUUUUUGAUAACAAACAUUGACACUAAAAUACUUAUGAACUCACCAGCUUAAAGCUGAUAAACUCUUUCAAAAUAACUUGUAUUCUCAGGUCAUCAGUAGACAGGUACCGAGGCCAGCUUUUGAGAAGAUGGAGUGCAUCCAAGUCUCAUCUUAUUAUUUUGAUUUACAUUAUUUUGGUGUCUAUAACUGUACAGAACACGCUUGUAUUAAAAUUAUAUAUUUAAUGCAAUGGAUGAUGUUGUUUGCUUAUUUACAUUUACUGUGUUGUGAUACUUUACAUGACGUCCUCCGCCCCAGAACGUUUCCGCCGUUCUUGUAUUUGGGGUGUGACAGAUUGGUAUCAGAGCAUUGUUUAUAGUGAAUCAAGUAUAUCAACCCAUAAAAGAUAUACUAAACUUUAAACCCAUUAGGGAUUAAAGUACUUUGACCAAGAGUCUAUACUUUAAAUAUUAAAAUAUUUAAUUAAGUAUACUAGUCUGCAUUCAUACUAAAAUCAGUGUCACAAUGACAAGAACAAAAGUAUUACGAUUGUUAAAUAUCACAAGUGAGCUCGGGGAUGUAUGGUCAGUCCUGGGAAUGGCAUAGCCUGAUCAACUAUGCUGGUCCGAGGAGUGAUUAGCAUAUGCCCUAGAAUGGUUGUGAUGUGUUAACAAGUCUAAAAACUUACCAACAAUACCACAAGAAGAUCAGUAGAACUUAAACUUAAAAUACUAUAGGUGUAUUUUGUACUACUAGUUACAUGUAUACUAUAUUCUUAUACCUCUCUUCUCGCGUAGAUUUAAAUGGCUGGAUUCCAUCACGGCGACCCGUACUUUCCAAAUGAAGGCAAUGCCGGGUGGAUCGAAGAAGAGCCCGAAGAUGAGCAUCCAAUCCCUUUGGAUGAUCACCUCACAGAAGGCUUUUCUGAUGGAUCUGACUCCGAGCCUGAAGUCAACAACCUACCGCUAGUAGGUCAAGCCCCGAACAACAACCCCCGACCAGCUUUUCCAGGUCCUACUCCCUUGUGGGCAACCAACUUGAAUCGCUGGAGUGACGAACAGGGUCAACCCUUACCAUACUUUGGGGACCGAAGCUUUUACAACGUCAGUGAAGGUGGUUCUGCUGACCGAGCUCUGCCCGUCAUUAUCCGCAGAAUAGCUCGUAAUGUUGAGCAAGGUCGAGCAACCAUCGACCGGGUCAUGGAGAUUGAUGCCAACUCAGGUGUCAACACAGUCCGCAUCCGCCGUCUUGAAGAAGACAUGGAACGGACCCGGAGAACCAAUGAAACCCUGCAACAACAGUUGGCUGCCUCCCGAGCUGAAGUCUUGGAACUUUGAGCCCGUCAGAGGGCUCAGGAGCGACACCUUCAAGAGGUGUUUCGUCAAGUGUCAGACCUCAGGGCUCGCCCGAGGAAUUCCCAUCGCCAUUAGAUGAUGUCUAGUGCAUCUUUGUCUUUUCGUUAAGGAAUAGCCUUUAACAUAUGUGCUCUAAGUAGCACUUGUCUGUAAAAUAUUCCUAACUUUCAGUACGCUAAUUAGGAAUCUAAGAACUAUCAAACUUUUUGUAUGGUAUGAUGUAAGACCUACUGUUAGGUCGAUUUUCCCUGAACUUAUUACAUCAGUAAUACCAGUAUUAUUGGAAUCUAUCUAAUCUGCAGGAAAAAUUUAUACACUUUUGUUUUCCUACUAAUAUUCCUUGUUAUGAUCUCAAACACUCAUUCAACUGUUGGGCUAUGGUUAGUUAGUCCAUGUGUCACUCUCACGUUGCUUACAAAUUGAUUCUUACCAUUUUUCUUAUCUUUAUAAACUUAUAGCUGAAAGAUGCCUCCUCGCAAAUCUCCCAAGAAUAACCCUACACCUCCACCGCCUCUUCCGCCUCCGGUCAUCGAUAUUGCAGCCCUAAAUGCUGUCGUAGCUGCAGCAGUGGCAACUGCCAUGGCUCAGUAUCACUUAUCUGAUGCCAGUAGAGGUGGAACCCCUGUUGAAUCAAUUCUGGUUGAAACCCCUGUGCGCUCGAGAGAGUGCUCCUACAAGGAUUUCAACAACUACAAGCCGAAGUCCUUUCAUGGGACCGGCAGAGUCAUUGCCCUCUCGCAAUGGUUCGAGAAGACUGAAUCAGUCUUCAAAAUCUGUUCAUGCCCUGCUACGAGCAAAGUCAAAUAUGCCGCAUGCACCUUUGAGGGAAAGGCCCUGACGUGGUGGAACGGCCACGUUAAAGCUCUACUCUCGUCGUGGCCAACGACAUGGGCUAAGAAACGAUGAAGGACCUUAUGAUUGAGGAAUACUGCCUGAGGGGCGAAGUCCAGAAAUUAGAACAGGAACUGUGGAACCUGACUAUGAAGGGCACCAAUGUGGUCGCUUAUACUGCCCGAUUCAGCGAGAGGGUGGCCCUCUGCCCCAAUAUGGUUCCCACUGAGGGGAAAAAGAUCGAACGGUACAUAUGGGGGCUAGUGCCUCCGUAUCAGGGGAAUGUCCUAUCAUCAAACCCCGCUACCUUCGACAGUGCCAAGCAAUUGGCACAACGACUCAUCGACCAUGGAGUCAAAACCCCUACAACAACAACUCAAGCCAUCCCAAAACCCUCCAAACCCGCUGACACCAAGCGGAAGUUCUGGGGCGAAAAGAAGAAGCAGCAAGCUGCCAAAAAGCAGCAAAUCGUGGCAGUGCAUGCCGCGGUAACCCCUACUGCUGCUACUACUCCGGGGAAGCAGUAUGCUGGAAGUUUGCCUAAGUGCAAAAAAUGCAACUUCCACCACAAUGGCCCCUGCCGUGAGAUGUAGUGCUCUAACUUCAAUAGGAAAGGACACACCGUCCAUUUCUGUAAGUUCCCGGUGCAACCGAUCACCCAAGUCCCCGGCUCUGGCGCGAGCCCGACCUGCUAUGGAUGUGGCGAAGCAGGCCACUAUAAGAGGGACUGCCCCAAAGCGAAGAAUGCUGAAGGAGCAGGGAGGGUACUAGCUAUAGGCCACGGGGAAGUAGUUGCUGACCCGACAGUGGUGACUAGUACGUUCCUCCUCGAUAACUCCUAUGCAUGCAUUCUGUUCGAUAGUGGAGCGGAGCGAAGCUUCGUAAACCAUAAAUUUGCUCGCAUGCUUAAGCAACAACCACACACACUUAAGGGACAAUUCACAGUAGAAAUGGCUAAUGGGAAAACUGAAAGUACGAAUAACAUCUACUUAGGUUGUACCCUAACUCUAGAUAACCAUUCAUUCCCAAUCGACCUCAUGCCGGUCUCAAUUAAAAGCUUCGACGUUAUCAUCGGCAUGGAUUGGUUAAGUCUUCAUCGCGCCGACAUCAUGUGCUACGAGAAAGCAGUCCGUCUAAACCUCCCGUCUAACGAAACUCUUAUAGUCUACGGCGACAAACCUGGUGCGAGUCUUCGCAUUAUAUCAAGUAUUCAAGCACAGAAAUAUCUGCGCAAAGAAUACCACGCAUUCCUUGCUCACGUCGUCGACACGAACCUAGAAACGAAAGAACUAAAGAACAUCCCAGUAGUGAGCGACUUCCCCGACAUUUUCCCAGAAGAGCUACCUGGAUUACCUCCGCAACGACAAGUCGAGUUCAGAAUCGACUUAGUCCCAGGAGCUACCCCAGUAGCCAAGUCGCCCUACCGUUUAGCACCAGCUGAGAUGCAGGAACUCUCUGGUCAACUUAACGAACUGCUCAGCAAGGGCUUUAUAAGACCAAGUUUCUCACCUUGGGGAGCACCGGUCUUGUUCGUUAAGAAGAAAGACGGAUCAUUCCGUAUGUGUAUCGACUACAGAGAACUCAACAAACUGACGGUCAAGAAUCGUUACCCUCUGCCUCGCAUAGACGAUCUAUUUGACCAACUGCAAGGGGCGAACUAUUUUUCCAAAAUUUAUCUGAGAUCCGGAUAUCACCAGUUACGGGUGCUAGAGGAGGAUGUUCCAAAGACAGCCUUCCGAACUCGUUACGGACACUACGAGUUCGUGGUGAUGCCAUUUGAAUCGACCAAUGCGCCCGCAGUUUUCAUGGAUCUGAUGAAUAAGGUAUGCCGACCUUACUUGGAUCAGUUCGUAAUCGUUUUCAUUGAUGACAUCCUGGUCUACUCCCGAAGUAAGGAAGAACAUGGCGAUCACCUGCGACACGUUCUAGGAACAUUACGAAAGGAGAAACUUUAUGCGAAGUUCUCGAAAUGUGAAUUUUGGAUCCGAAGAGUCGAAUUCUUAGGACACGUGGUAAGCGAAGAGGGAAUCCACAUGGACCCAUCCAAAAUUAAAGCCAUUGAGAACUGGUCAGCACCGAAGACGCCUACAGAAAUUCGUCAAUUUCUAGGUCUCGCUGGCUACUACCGCAGAUUCAUUCAGAACUUCUCUCGAAUAGCGAAACCUCUUACAACCCUAACCCAGAAAGGCGUGGCCUUUGACUGGGAAGAGAAACAAGAAAGAGCGUUCCAAACGCUCAAACGAGCCUUGUGCACCGCACCAAUACUAUCCCUUCCCGAAGGAAUAGAAGACUUCGUAGUCUAUUGCGAUGCAUCGAAUCAAGGGCUCGGAUGUGUUCUGAUGCAGCGAGGUAAGGUCAUCGCCUACGCCUCGAGACAGUUGAAGACACACGAGGUUAACUACACGACCCACGAUCUUGAACUAGGAGCAGUGGUGUUUGCUCUGAAGAUCUGGAGACAUUACUUGUAUGGAACGAAGAGCACUAUCUUUACCGACCACAAGAGUUUACAACACAUUUUCGAUCAGAAGGAGCUCAACAUGAGACAACGACGGUGGGUCGAGCUACUCAGUGAUUACGAAUGCGAUAUUCGUUAUCAUCCGGGUAAAGCCAACGUAGUAGCAGACGCCCUAAGUCGGAAGGAAUAUUCUGGUCGCAAAGUCAAGUCAUUGUCAAUAACCAUCCAUUCACACUUGUCUAAGCAAAUUCAGGCGGCUCAACUUGAAGCCAUGAAACCUGAAAAUGUGACGAGUGAAUCCCUUAGAGGAAUGGACAAGAAUUUGGAAGCCAAGGGUGACGGAGCCUUAUAUUUCAUGAACCGGAUCUGGACACCGAAACACGGUGGUUUCCGAGACUUGGUCAUGACCGAGGUGCACCACACUCGGUAUUCUGUCCAUCCAGGUUUAGAUAAGAUGUAUCUGGAUCUUAAAAAGCUAUACUAGNNNNNNNNNNNNNNNNNNNNNNNNNNNNNNNNNNNNNNNNNNNNNNNNNNNNNNNNNNNNNNNNNNNNNNNNNNNNNNNNNNNNNNNNNNNNNNNNNNNNUAAUCACAUGUGAUUAAUGUAAUCACAUGUGAUUGAUGCAAUAACCAUAAGUAUUUAAGUUGUAUUCCCCCCAUAAAGUAUUUAAAACAUUUAAAAUCAUUUCAAAGGUUAAUUAAUGGGGUGUGAACUCACUUGUGGUGAGUGGAUUGGAUUGAAGUAUCGGAUACCAUGCUAGGUGGCAAACGGAGACUUGUUCACACGCACGAGCCUAGUUAUCAUAUAAUGAGCAUAUAUAUAACUAAUUAGCCAAAUAAUAACUUAAUGAAAUAAGUUGGGACACUUAGGAACAUGUAAACACUUGGUAUAAGUGUUAUAGGUCCUAAUGGUUGCAUCUAAGUUGAUAUGGGACAAGGCAAAAGGGUUUAACGUACCAAAAGACCUUGAAUAAGAGUUUACUACCCAAUAAACCCCAAAAAAGGAGUUUACGGUCGUAAAACCAUGAGUUUAAGGCUGUGAACUCUUGUCUUGGUGGUUUUGGGUGUUUUAAAGUGCUAAAUGAUUUCUAGAAUAAGCCUAGCAUUGGUGGUUUAAUCCUUUAGGUAGUUUAGGGCCUUAGAAUGCUCCUUUGAGGAGUUUACGGCCUAAAGACCAUAUCCCCUAGAGUUUACGGCCGUAAACUCCUAUGGGGUGGGUGUUUUAAUUCAUUUGAGCCUCUUGCACACAAAGGAUAAUUUCUAGACUUUUGUUUAAGGCUAAAGGGGACCCUAGGUAUACUUUGGUGCCUUUACUUGGAGUUUACGGCCCAAGAGUUAUUCCUUGGCCGUAAACUCCGUUUAAGGGGUGAUUUUGAUGUGUUUAAGUCUCCAAAUUAGCUAGAAGUAAUAGAGGGUUAAUGUCUUAAUGCCUUAGGAGUGAUUUGGGCACAUUUAAGCCCUUGAAAUUGGUGUUUACGGUCCAAGAAACUCUUGGGCCGUAAACUCCUAAAACUAGGUGUUCUUGAUUGUGUUCUAGCCUCAAAUGAUCAUACAUAAUGUCCUUAACUAGUUACCUAGCAAGGAAAUGGGACUAGGUAGCUUUUAGGCUUUGUUUUGGAGUUUACUCCCCAAGAACGUUCUUGGGCGGUAAACUCUCGGAUCUUACAUAUUUGACAUGUAAAGAAUGUUAUUAAGCAUAUAACAAGCAUUAAAACACAUCUAGGAAAGUAGACUCACGAUUUGGGAUGAAAACCCGAAGAUCCAUGAGAGAGAAAAUGGCUUUUCUCUAGUUGGAAAUGUGAAUAAUGAAUGAAUUUAGUUCAGAAAUCUAUUUAUAGUCCUGAAAUAUUUUGACAGAAAAUAUUUUUAUUCUAGAAUUUGACUAUAACAUUAUGAAGUUUUGAAAUGUUCGAGUUUCACAAACCCAGGAGCAUCCACUCUCCUGAUAUCUCCUUAUAUGUAAACCCUAAUGUACACAAACUUAUUCGGACUAGUCUGAAAAUUACUGAAACUGGACUAGCUUCUUUUGAAUAGAUAAUGUUCGUACAAGAUGGAAAUUUCGGGUUGUCACAUCAUCCCCCCAUUAGAAGGAAUUNNNNNNNNNNNNNNNNNNNNNNNNNNNNNNNNNNNNNNNNNNNNNNNNNNNNNNNNNNNNNNNNNNNNNNNNNNNNNNNNNNNNNNNNNNNNNNNNNNNNAGGCAGUGAUGAGUUGGGAGGUGUCGAGGUCACCCUCCGAGAUCAUGAGUUUUUUAGGAUUGGCAGGUUAUUAUUGGAGAUUUAUCAGGGAUUUCUCUAAGAUCGCAAUGCAACUCACUAGGUUGACCCGGAAGGGUGUCGCUUUUUCAUGGGGCCCCGAGCAGCAGGCCUCCUUUGAGACGCUUCGCCAAAGGUUAUGCGAAGCCCCAGUGUUAGCCCUCCCAGAGGGAAUGGAGGUCUUUGUGGUAUACUGUGAUGCGUCGAUAUUGGGGUUGGGAGCGGUGCUGAUGCAGAGAGGGCAUGUGAUAGCAUACGCAUCGAGGUAGCUGAAGCCUCAUGAGACGAGGUAUCCCACCCAUAAUCUAGAGUUGGGGGCAGUGGUGUUCGCCCUCAAAAUUUGGCGUCACUAUCUGUAUGGGGUUCGGUGUACGAUAUACACAGACCAUAAGAGCCUGAAGUAUUUGAUGGAUCAGCCUAACCUAAAUAUGCGGCAUAGGAGGUGGUUGGAUGUGGUCAAGGAUUAUGAUUAUGAGAUCCUGUAGCAUCCGGGCAAGGCUAAUGUCGUAGCCGAUGCACUGAGUCGCAGGACGGAGAGCGCCCCAUUGCAAGAUGUAUGUUUGCGGUUGACCGUGAUGGCUCCGGUAUUGGACACCAUUCGUGGAGCACAGGCUAAGGCCGUGAGAUCGUAGAACCAAAAGAGAGAGCGAGUUGUUGGGUUGGUAUCGGAGUACGUUACCGAUGGUCGGGGGCUUAUGACAUUUUAGGGGCGUAUAUGGGUACCGUUUGUGGGAGGGACGCGUACCAUUUUGAUGGAAGAGGCUCAUCGGUCGAUAUUCUCGAUCCAUCCUGGGGCCACUAAGAUGUAUUUAGACCUGAGGAGAGAGUAUUGGUGGCCCUGUAUGAAGAGGGAUGUUGCGUGGUUUGUUGAGAGGUGCUUAACCUGCCGUAGGGUUAAGGCCGAGCACCAGAGACCGCAUGGUAAGUUGCAGCCGUUGGAGGUUCCCGAAUGGAAGUGGGAACAGAUUACCAUGGAUUUUAUCACCAAAUUACCAAGGACUGCUAGGGGAGUCAAUGCAAUUUGGGUGAUUGUGGACAGGUUGACAAAGAGUGCCCACUUCCUUGCUAUCAGUGAGAGUUCUUCCGCAGAGAAAUUAGCAGAGAUGUAUGUGAGGGAAGUGGUAUCACGGUAUGGAGUGCCGAUCUCGAUUGUCUCAGACCGAGAUGUGCGUUUCACUUCCAGAUUCUGGAAGAAGUUUCACGAGGAGUUGGGUACUAGGCUGCAUUUUAGUAACGCAUAUCACCCCCAGACUGACGGACAAAGUGAGCGGACGAUUCAGACGCUCGAGGACAUGCUCCGGGCAUGUGUGUUGGACUUCGGGAGGAGUUGGGACACGUAUUUUCCCUUGGCAGAGUUUUCCUACAACAACAGCCAUCAUUCGAGCAUUGGUAUGCCACCCUUUGAGCUGUUGUAUGGGAGGAGGUGUCGGACUCCCAUUUGCUGGGGAGAGGUCGGGCACCGUGUUAUGGGUAGUACGGAGAUUGUGCUGCAGACAAUAGAGCAGAUACAGCGGGUCAGGCAGAGAUUGUUGACCGCUCAGAGCCGCCAGAAGAGUUAUGCGGAUAGACGACGAUCCGAACUCGAGUUCCAGGUCGGUGAUUAUGUUCUCCUGAAGGUAUCUCCUUGGAAAGGAGUGAUUCAAUUCAAGAAGAGGGGCAAGCUAGGGCCCCGGUAUAUUGGGCAAUUCAGAGUGAUCGCGAGGGUGGGCAGGGUAGCGUAUCGCUUGGAGCUACCUGCGGAAUUGGAGCGGAUUCAUAAUACCUUCCAUGUGUCUCAGUUGAGGAAGUGUAUAGCCGACGAGUCGGCGGUAGUGCCGUUAGAGGACAUUCAGGUGGAUGCGAGCCUGAACUACGCNNNNNNNNNNNNNNNNNNNNNNNNNNNNNNNNNNNNNNNNNNNNNNNNNNNNNNNNNNNNNNNNNNNNNNNNNNNNNNNNNNNNNNNNNNNNNNNNNNNNNNNNNNNNNNNNNNNNNNNNNNNNNNNNNNNNNNNNNNNNNNNNNNNNNNNNNNNNNNNNNNNNNNNNNNNNNNNNNNNNNNNNNAUUCAGGUGGAUGCGAGCCUGAACUACGCGGAGAGACCAGUCGCGAUUGUGGAUCGGAAGAUCAAGGUUCUGAGGAACAAGGAGGUGCCUCUGGUACAGGUUCAGUGGCAACAUCGAAAAGGAUCCGAGUUGACCUGGGAGCCAGAGCAUGAGAUGCGGGAGCAGCAUCCGGAGCUAUUUCAGGGAUGAGACUUCGAGGGCGAAGUCAGAUUUAAGUGGGGGAGAAUUGUAACAUCCGGAAUUUCAAGUAUUAUAUUUAUUCAUUUUAUUUUGAGUUUUGUGGAAGAACUUGGCGAGUUGGUGCGUAGACUCGUCGAGUACAGACGCGAUUUCUCACCCGGAUUAAUGACCGGACUCGACGAGUCGCAUUGGUGGACUCAGCGAGUCCGCGCUAUUUAAUGAAACCCUAAUUUCUCAGGUUUGGGGCCUAUUUAAAGGGCCUUAUGCCCAUCAUUUGUGCUCACCAGUCCCCAGAGCGAAAACUCUAGUGAGCUUGAGCUUUUGGAGUGAGAGAAGGAUCCAUUGUUGACCUUGGUGGUGUUGUCUAGCAAGGGAAAGGAAGCUAUAGCCAAGAGGAAGCAAGAGGGUUAACUUCCUGAAGAUCUGAGGUCUAGAACAUCACGUUUGAGGAACUAUUUUCCAACCCUUUUCUGUUGAGGUGAUGUUCAUGUUGAUUUAGGGCUUAUUGAGCCCUUUUGUGGUUAGAUCUAGUGCUCCCUUGGUCCCUUAAGCGAGUUAGGUUCUGGAUCUGGACCCUUGGAGGUCCAGAGUGUCCCUUUGUCCAAGCUUUUUAUGAAUCCAUGGAGGGUUUGGUUCGGGAUCUUUGUGCUUGAGGUCAAAACACCAUUUAUGAGUCAUUAGGUGUGAUAUAAGCGCCAAGACAUGAACUUUAUGUGAUAAAUAAGCUUGGAAGGACUGGAUCUAUGAGUUAGUGGAACAUAUCUAACCUCAGAAGGUCGUUUAGGGUUGUGCAUGGAAUGAACUCGCCGAGUCCAUUGGCAGACUCGACGAGUUGGCGCGGGUUGUUCAGGGAUUUCGAACCAGGGGUUAAGUAACCGAGUUGGGUGAGCGACUCGGUGAGUCGGAAGGGACUCAGAGGAAUCGGGUCCCCGUAGAGACUCAGCGAGUCCACGCCAGACUCGGCGAGUUGGUUUGACCGUUGACCAUUGAUCAGAGUUGACCGGUGUUGACUUGAUAGGGUUAGUCAACCCUAGUUGGGAAAGUGUUAAUAAGAGAUGUAUUGUGUUAUAGGAGGACUAUAGCUCGGGAGAUCGAGCACUAGUGAUUUCAGGGAUUUACGAGUUACCGAGAUAUGCGAGGUGAGUCUUCUCACUAUACUUUACCUUGAGUAGGUGACCAGAGUUAUGUGCCAGAGUAUUUGUAUGCUAUAUAUAUGAUAUGUGUUGUACUGCAUUCUUUCUAUGUGAUAUAUGCCGUGCAUGUUUAUAGAGUUAGAACCGGAAGGUUCACAGAGUUAGAACCAGAGGGUUCACAGAGUAGGGUCCACGGACCCACAGAGUUAUAGCCUCGAGUGGCUAAUAUGUGUUAUGUGUGGUAUUUUGGGGAACUCACUAAGCUUUGUCCUUACAGUGUUUGGUGUUAUUUGUUUCAGGUACUAGUGAGGAUCGCGGGAAGGCGCCGGCCUGAUCAGUACACACACGGGAUUUUUAUGUUACGAGAUCUUGGGAUUUUUAUAUGCUAUGAAUUUGAGUUUCAAACAAUGAUGUUUUUAUGAACAAUGAAUGAAUUGUGUUUCGUAUAAAAUGCGAAAAAUUGUUUGAAAUUUACGGUGUUACAAAUUGGUAUCAGAGCCUUGGUUUGAGGGAUUCGAGUAUACCUUCGGGCGUAUUUGAAAUCAAACUGAGGAUUUGAGAAAUAAUUUCAAAAACAAAAAAAGAGUACAAGAUUUUUUUUGGAAAAACGCAGAGCAGAGUCGUGUGUUAAAGGCAUCAUCUGCCAGCCCUAGACUUACAUUGCGAGGUUCACUCGAGAAGUCAAGGUAAUCUACAUCAAAAUUUUGCUAAGACUCUACAUCAAUGAGAUGACGCAUCACACCAUCUUCUGAUCUCCCGGUACUAUGCCAUAUCAUAUUUUUGGAAAUGUACCGUGAACAAUACAAACGGUGUAGUCUAGGGGUCACUGGAAAGUACCGUAACACCUUAUAAGCCACUUUCUUAACCUUGGUGUUUUUAUCAAUCCACCGACUCUCUUUACAAAUGGUACAAAGUUGCAAUGACUUGUCUUCCUUCCAAAAGAGAAAACAGUCAUUUUUGCACACAUGUAUUCACUCGUAUCCCAACCCUAACUUCUUCAGUUUCUUUUUUGCUAAAUAAUAUGAACGGGGAACCUUGUUGUCUGGUGGAAAUGUCGAAUGCAACAACUCAAGGAGUUGAUCAAAUGAAUUAUCAGUCCAUUUGUUGUUGACCUUGAUACGCAUCCGCCUUGCUAAAAAAUCAAGGAAAGUAAACGUACAACCGGGAUAUAACUUGGUUUCGACUGCCUCUAACAACUGUUCAAAAUCACCAUCGACACCAUUACCCCCUGUAUUCGAGGUUCCUUAAUUGAGUUUUUUCUCAUUUUCUCUCGACUCCCACAAAACAUCGUCAAUAACAUCAUCCAUCUCGUUACUUGACGAUACGACAUCUACAACUGGAGGGAUUAAAGGUUCACCGUGAUAUAUCCACGUUUUGUAUGAUUGACUGAAACUAUAUAUACGAACAUGACGUCUCAUUGCUUUUGGAUCCAUGAAGUAACGAUUUUCACAUUUCUCACACGGACAUCUGGUUUCACCUUUACAAUCUAGGUGUAACAUGGAUCUCUUGACAAAAGAGUCGAGUCUUAGUUGGAACUCAGGAGAUUGACAAUGUGGAUUAGUAGUCCAAAUUUUAUCAAUAGACAUGAUGCAACAGAAACAUAAUUUAGUGUUUAAGAUUUACUCUGCGGGAAACAAAAAUCAAGUAGAGAAUUCAUAAAGUCAAUGAUUCAAAAAGUAUACCAACACGGGAACACAUGAACAAAUAAUCAGAAAUGGAUAGAGUAUUCAAAAAGCAUAUAUAUAUAUAUAUAUAUAUAUAUAUAUAUACACACACACACANNNNNNNNNNNNNNNNNNNNNNNNNNNNNNNNNNNNNNNNNNNNNNNNNNNNNNNNNNNNNNNNUAACAGAGUAAGCCCUAAACUAUAGUCGUGCUUUCCUAAGAAAGUACUAAUUCACUAUAGUUAAUAGCUCUGAUACCAAUCUGUCACACCCCGGCCGUCGGCGGAAACACCGGGCAGUGUAACGUCAUUUCUCGUAUCAUAGUUAUCAACUUCCUGAAAACACAUGCAAUUUAAAAUACUUCAACAUAAAGUUGGUGAGUCCACAGAUUUUGACUCCAUAUAAAAAUAAUACAUUUUCCAAGUUCAAAAGUAUAGCUUUGAAAAUAUUAUUUUGAGUUUCCAACGUUUCGUAUAUAUAUCCUAGGUAUAAUGGUUUACAUACCAAAUAAGUAUAUACCUAUAAGUCUUAUAUAUUAUAAAUAUAAAUGUUUGUAAUUCCAUACAAACUAAGUUGCUACGUAUAAAUCUUAUUUCAAUUCUAUACGAGUAAAACCGCUACGUAUAAAUCUAUUUCAAUUCUAUACGAGUAAGUAGGAUAGGUAUAGUGGUCUACUUAAUAUACAAGUAAUAUACCUACUAGAUUCUUAUACUUAGAGUAUAAGUCUUUGGGAAACUUAUACUUAAUAUUCAUACUUGUAUAUCGAAAAAGUAUAAUGCUUCUAAAGUGGUUCUACCAUGAGUCUAUAGCUGCGACUGUAUGACCUAGUUUUAUACCUCUUAUUAUGAUUACAAGGAUCACACAUCGCAGUAGUACAAGGAUUACACCUUGCGGUAGUACAAGGAUUACACCUUACGGUAGUACAAGGAUUAAACCUUGCGGUAGUACAACAACUGUAAUUAGAAUUAAAACCAGGUUUUAUCUUGACAUAAAACCAAUAACAACAACAUAUAACAUACCUAGUUUUAUUUUGACAUAAAAGCAAUAACAACAACGUAUAACAUACCUGUUUUAUCUUCACAUAAAACCAAGAAUAACAAAAUACUUAUCGACUAACAUAUAGAACUUCCGAGUAUAACUCUAGAACUAUAUCGCACACAACAUAUAUAUAGAAUCCUAAGUAUAACUCAAGAUCUACCUUAGUAUAUUACUAUAACAAUAACAUGCUAACAACUUUACGAUAGUUGUAUACUUUCAUAUAUGAAAUAACUAUAUCCCGGUUAUUAUAACUAUCUACGUUGAUAUUAAUAUACUAUCAUUUAGACAUAAUAAUAACAACAUAUAUACAAUAUUUAACAUGCGUUUUCCACCGAAAAUAUUGAAAAGUGGGGCCGUGAAACUCACCUUAGCAGCGUGAUUUUAUGUAAUCUAAGCAGAAACCGUCAGCACACAAGGUCGUCGGGGCUCGGGAUGCAAGAGGGCUUCAGCAAAAGACAGAGGAGAAAGGGAAAUGGUGUAAGGAAGUGGCAAGGUCGUACCUGCUAUUUAUAGGAAGGAUUUUGGACCCUCACAACGUGAGAAUUGUUGGGUUUUGAGCAUUCUAACACUCCUAAGUGUACAUGCAACCCUAAAUACCUUGGAUCUAUGUUUUCUCUAUUAUACAUGCAAAUAUGAACUUUCCAAGGUAUUCAUCCUAACUAGCAUAAUAACAUUGAUUCAUAUGAAUAUAUCAAGUUAGAAUUACAUACCUCUUUGAUGUAGAAUGUCUUCAUGAAGCUUGAGUGCCUAGUGCCCCAAGUGUGACACCUCAAAUGGUUCACACAACACCAAAUACACUUGGAAUAGAUUGAGAGAACAUACACACUUCAUGAAAUCGGCUAGCCCUUCAUUCUCACACAUAGUGGCCGAUUUUUUCAGCCAUGGGAUUCUUUUAUAUGGUGGCUAUUAGGGUUACACCAUGUAACUCAUAACUUUACCCAUUCCUUAUGCUCCAUGGAUUUUAACCUCCAUGGAGUAUCCAUGGGUCACCCCAUGGACUUAGUCCAACAUAAGGAAUCUUGGAUCACAAGCCCACAUAUAUAAGAAUGAAUGAUUUACACAAUCAACCCAUAUAUUUAAUUAGUCUCCUUUUGAUCACUUAAUUAAUUCCAAAUUAAUUCUUGAUCAAUACUAAUUAAAUAACCUUAUUAAUAUAUUAGAACUUAUAAUAUAUUAACAAACCUUAAGUGUUAUUUCUCUCAUUUUAGUCUAUCCAAAUGCAUGAUGCCAUGCAACCCAAAUGGACCAUGUCGGGUCGGGUCAAGUCUUACCAAUUAUAGUUAUGGACUUAGACAUUAAUCCAACAGUCUCCCACUUGGAUAAGACUAAAACUAUUAUUGCGUAUGACUUCAAGAACGGACUGGAAAUCGUAGUGCUCAAAAGCUUCUAUCGAACUCUUACCUUGCCGAUGAUCUCUCACCUUUGUCAAUGACUUGUCCAUUAGAUAAGGGAUCAUAUAUUCCUCCAUACUAGAUAUCAUAUGGACUGAGACAUGGAUUAUAAUCAUUCUCUUUUUCCAUUUUUUGUUUCUUGAUUUCCGAUUUAUAACGACUGACUAGUUGAACAAAUCAAAUCAGUCCUGGCCCGGCCGAGCACUUAGAUUUGUCAUCACCAAAUCAUCGAGGGGCCCGAAGAUAUCGCUUUUAUCCCAAAGGUAAAAGGAAUGGAUAAACUUUGACUCAUAUGGCUUGUUCUACUACUUGUUGAAUCAUACACAAAGGCACGUUUUAUAACAUCGAGUUACCAAUGCGUUUUCGUGCAAUCAAUGUAUAACCAACUCAUAGUAACAACUCAUAUCUCUAGGUUUGAAGAAUAUAAGAUAUUAUCGUCUCAUGAUCACUCGUGAUAAAAUCCAUGAAGUGAUUCCAAUGAGCGUGGGUUGAAUCCAAUACUCAGAACUUAUGAGCACUCAUGAGUGUUGUAGCCCUUUGUCCAACACCUUAGACCUCUACAAGCCAACCCAUGACAGUCUUAAUUCAUAUCUACUUCCAACAUAUGACCGACUGUGGAUGGUUUGAAUAACUUAGUCAUUCCGAAAGAAUAACCUAGUUUAUUCGGGAAGUCAAAACAUGCAAAGUGAAACACAAUAAUAAUUGAAUCCAAUAUGGUAUCAAAACCUAUGAACAUAAAUAAAACACCUUUUAUUUAUCACCAUAUGAUUACACAUUAUUCAUUGUAUACUGUUUCAGCUAUCAACUUUAUUCUUGAAUUUAAAACAAUAGUUGUCCCAUGCUCCAAGCAUGUACACUAUGUUUUCUAAACACUAGUCAUGCCAUACACCAAGUAUGCAUACUAUGUUUGUCUAUGAUCUUUACUUUGUGAACUAGAUCAAUUGAACAUAACUUCAAUGAUUCUCUUUUCACACUCCCAAAUCCUUACUGCAAAUGCAAGAAUUCCAAAUUCAUGCCAUUUACUGAAAUCUGUUAGAUUCUAAACUUAUAUGCAUUGAUCCUCUUGUAAUGAUUAUGCACAAAGUCAGAAAGACUUGACAACAAACAUUACAGAGUAUUCCAAAGGAGAUCAGCUCCUUGGAAACAUCCUUCUUGCAUUAAGUUUCCUAAUCUUAAACAGAUUGAAAAUUCUAACUUUGAAACAUUUCCAGAUUCCAUUUUGACUAUCACUUCUGAACAAGAGUUGCCUCCUUACAGAUUAUGUCAAUAUGGUCCUUCCAGAAUUAUCACUAUACUUCCAACUGUCCUUGAGCAACCAAUCUUUGGUAAACCUUAGAUUGUCCUCGACAAUUGUUUAAUCCUUUUAGUCAUAUCCAGUUCUAAACCUUUUCCCUUCUUAAUGCCCCAGGCAUUUGGAAAAUUUUAGAACGGAUGAAUAUAGCACAUGUAAUCGAUCCUAUAUCCGAAGCAUAUGGGACACGAUUCAUGAUGUCUCACAUAAAGACUAAACCAGUCUUUUGCUAUAACAUUUCCAUUUCAAUUUGCCAAGUUCUCAUAAUUCAGAUUAUGAAAAGGGAUGCCGUAAUCAUAAUCGAAUUUUAGAACGCAAAUAAUGGACCCAUAUACAGAAUUUCCUUAUGUUGAGCCAUUCCAACAUGAAAUUCAUAUAUAUCCUUGACUAAAUGAUUAAAACCUCACGAUCUAAGCUUAUAGAUUUGAGAUGAAGUAUAAUUUCCUCUCCCUUAAUUAUAGCAAAACAACUUUUUCCCAAUUGAAACUUUUGUUUUCUAUAAUUAACAUUGCUAACUUGCAAUACUUAUCAUAAUUAUCAUGCUCCCACUAACAUGAUGAUUAUUAGCAUAACACUUAUGCUCCCACUAGCUUUGACAUGUACUCAGAAAUCAGCUGGACUUCUAGAAAUCAAUACUUCAUUGACUUUCUUACCAAAGUUCAGAUUUCUGAUGCUAGAUUGUUUUGAUAAAACUUUAUCAAAAUCAUACACCUUCCCUUAGAUAGCACACUUGUGUGUCUAAACAAUUAUGAAGAGGUAUGCCGUAAUCAUAAUGGUUAGACCUUUUUGCCACUUCUCACAAGUCCAGGUUAGUGUGCCGGUAAACCACACACGCUCCACUAACGACUUUGAGAAUGCAAAUAUCACAAUUGCUAUCUAGCUAAAAUCUACUUAGUGAAAGUGUUUCCUCACCAUCAUUUUCAUGAAUCGGAGAGAAACCUUAUGACACUUAGAUUUAAUGGUGUAUGUGUUCUUAUCCAUGUGAAUUGUCAAAACCAUAGUCACAAGACAAGGAUAAUGACAAAUCCAAACUCAUAUGGACUGAACUCAAUCUUAAUUUCUUGCCACCUGGCAGCUCAAGGGCCUGCCAUUGCUUCCAAGUUGUUGUGCAACAAAUUGAGAACUCUAAGAACUCAUAUGCAAAGCCAACUUUAACUGGAAUGGGCACAGAAUAUGUCAACACGAUAGGUUAUAAACCUCAAGUCGUGUGCUAGUGAAGAACUUCAGGUUUUAUUCUUGAUUAGUUCUUGAGACUUUCAAGACCUUUAAGACUCCCACUGUCCUCUUGACAUAUAAGACUCCCUUGUCAAACAUCCAAGAGAUAGUGCGGAUUCUAAUCAAGAAAAACACUUUACCCAAUUGGCCUAAGUUGGUCUUUGUUUUAUCCAAAACAUCACAACUUACCAAUUUCAAAUGUACAAGAGUAGAAAACUUUUACUCUUACAUUUGACAAGUGUUUUAAACCUUCUUUAAGACAUGUCACUCAAAUGACAAUCUUGGAGUAUGACUCUAAGACUUGUAUUGGAACGAAGUAUGACUCAUCUUCUUGAUUUAACCAUUUCAACAAUUCAAGUUCCUCUUCUUAGUCAUAAGAAUGCACUAAGAUUUCCUUAGAGAACUAAUUUUGAUAUGGUUUCUUAAUCAUUAAGAUGAUCACAAAACUGAUACUAAAGUACUCUCCCAUCUUUUCAGAUUUGAGAAACUUUUAUCCUUCUGCCUAAUUUGAUUCUUCUUAUUCGCCCUGCCAUACAUUGGAACCUUUUCCAAUGUCUCAGAGUUACACUUAAGCUUGUAAGUAUAAUCAUAUUUACUGAGCUUUAGUAAACUAUGACGAAUAGUCUUAUCAAUCUUUUGUGGUGGACUUAAUCAGUGCACAAGAAUGUGUACUCGAUCCCUUAGUCCUUUACUUGACUCACACAUCCAUGUGGCCGAGUAAUUAGUCUUAAUUUUCCAAAACUUGAAAGUUCUCAUUCAUCAUGCUAUACAACUUGCAUGAUUCCAAGUUCCGGUCCAAUUGAAACUUGGGUGAUGAGAAUCUUUCCUUAUUUGGUAAAUCUAGACAUUACCACAAAUGAAAGAAUCAAUUUCAUAUUUCCACUCUUGCUCUUAAUGGAAUCAUAUAAGCAACAAUUUUUCCUCAAAAGCCAUUGUAAGGAUAUUUUAAAAUAAAUAAAAUCAAAAAAUUUUUCUUUUAUUUUAAAACUUUGCGGAAAAACUUAUCCUUACAAUCCAUAUGAAAACUUGUUGUUAUCUAUUCCUAAGCAAUAUCUCAUAACUCCUAAGAAGUUGCUCAAGAAUCCGAUCUUCAAACUAUGCGAUAGAAAUCCAUCUACGCCAUCAGAUUCAGCAUAUUCUUUCUUUAAGUUUCUUCACUUUUCUUUGAUUCUUAAAACAUCACCAUGUGACCCAGUCACAUCAUGUAUCAGGAAUCUCAGAAUAGAAACUUAACAGAGUUAGAUAGUGGUCUUUACCUGAAGUAGAGUCAAACUUAUUGACUUUAACAUCCUUAGGUAAAUUUGGCAGCUUCGCAACCAAUGCCCCUUCCCUUGGCAAUAUAAACAUAUGGACCCUUUGAUAAUGGUACACGAGACUAUCACAGACUUAGCUUUUCUCUUUACCAUUUGGUCAACCGAGUUGACUAUGGCCGAUCCCUUUCCAUUGGGAAGAGAAUGCUUUACUGGAUAUCCAAUGUCAUCAUUGUCAAUGUCCAUAAAGUUUUAGGAAGUUGAUCUUAGCAAAUAGAUAAGAUCAUUAAGGGUCUUGUCAUAGUCUGUUUCAUAGGUGUCCCAAAGGAACUCACUAUGUGACUUAGAAAGUGAUUGAACCACCAACUUUCUCAAGACUUUGACACCCAACUCUCCCGGCUUGUCAAUAUGUGACUACAUCUCCAAGAUGUGAUCACACCUAGACCUUGCCUUGCCAAUAGGGCUUGAGUGACCUUAAACUUUUCAAGAACUUGUGGGUUAGGGAGAAUAAUUGGAGGAGGUGAAAGAAGUAUGAUUUCCAAAGGACAUCAUCUUCAUUUAGGAAACCUUGUUUCACUAGAUUUGGGAAGAUCAUAGGUGUCUAUUACAGACAUCUUUUGGGAGAUAUUCAAGAUAGUUGAUUUAAAGUCCUUAAUAUGACACCCAAUAUGAAAUAUUAAGGCUAGGACCCAACAAACUAUUUUAUAACUUAGAAGAGGUAUGCCGUAAUCCAAGCUAUAAAAUAUUUGAAGGUAGGUGAAUGACGAUUCACCAAUUUCCACCAAGAUAAACGAAAUGUAUUAUUAGGUUUUAAUUGGUUUUGAAACUCCUAGAUCUUUGAGAUUCAUUGAACUGUUCAAAGGCAUGUUUCAAUCUCGAGUGUGCCCUUCAGGUUUUGUGACUGGGAUGCCGAGGAUCACAAAACAAGGUGUGAAGUAACCAUGCAAAUCACUUGGUACCCUUAAUAAAUUACCCCUCAAUCGAUGUGCCGGUUAACCACACACGCUCCAUCGAUACUAUGAUAAAUAUUAAGUCACCCUUUACCUACCUUGUUAAGUCCAAGUUAGUGUGCCGGUUAACCACACACGCUCCACUAACGACUUAGACAAAGUGUAAAGUGUAAUUUCAUGGAUUAGCACCUUAUUCACAUUUUUCCUAAGUAACUAAGAUUGGGUAUUAUUAAGAGUUUAGUUACUUAGUAUUAUCAUUAAUACUUUUAAUGAAGGGAGAAUUCUAGUCCUGUCAAACCCGUUCGGCUAACGACCCUCCACCAGUCAAGCAAGCGGUGGGUGAGAGUGGACACCCAUUAAGUUGCCAUUUUAUAGGCAACAACCUUAUACCCACCUUAUAGACCGGCUUCGUGAAUGAGGCGUACUAGCGGUAAGACUGACUUUACUCUUAUACAUAUAUAUAUUAUUAACUUAUAAUAUUAUAAAGUAUAAGGGUUGAAUUUUAACUUUUAAAAUUCUAAGGGCUAACUUGGAAUUAAAGUAUUCAUAAGUGAAAACUUUACAAAUUCCAAAACUUGAGGGCAAGUUUUGAAACUAUUCAAAACUAAUUAAUUUCAUAACUUAUGUGUUUAAAGUAGUUUUAAAUAAAAGACUCUUCAAGUUCCAUAACUUGAGGACAAGUUAUGGAAGACUUUAAACUAAUAAAAGAAUGUACCUUUUCUUUAUUUUGUAACUUAUGGAAUUAAUUAAGGUUACACAUUUUAUUACUUAAUGAAGUGACUCUUGAACCUCCAUAACUUGAGGACAAGACUCUUCAUUUUUUGUAACCAUUGCCAACUUUUAUGAGUUUUAUGAAACUUAAAUGUGACUUUUCAUAUAACUUGAGGACAAGUUACACAAACACAUUUUAGAAUCAACUCUUAGAUUAAUUUGGAUUGAAAACAACUAUUUCACUCAACUUUCCAAUUAAUCUAAGCAACUCAUAAGAACAAGAUNCCCAUAACAUGAGGACAAGACUCUUCAUUUAUUGUAACCAUUGUCAACUUUUAUGAGUUUUAUGAAACUUAAAUGUGACUUUUCAUAUAACUUGAGGACAGGUUACAAAAACACAUUUUAGAAUCAACUCUUAGAUUAAAAUGGAUUGAAAACACAUAAUCAAUUAACUUUUCUAUUAAUCUAAUCAACUCAUAAGAACAAGAUAAUUCAAAUCAAACUUUUUCAUGUAAUUAGCCUAAUCACGAAACUAAUUCAAAACAUGAAUCUAUUGACAAUUAUCUUUGAAAUUGGAUUAGCAUGAACAUUACCACAUCAAAAACAAGUUGAUAAGUCCAAAAACAGCUUAAGGUAAUGUUCCUAGUCCAUUUCUAGCCAAAAAAAAACUCGAAAAUAUGCGGUCUGGGGCUCCUACUCGUCAAGUGUAUCAACCUACUCGAAGAGUAGGAUGAGUUUAGCCUUGGACUCGGCGAGUUCAUCAGUGGACUCGGCAAGUCCAGUGCCUAAAAAGCCAGAAAAUCGAUUUUGUUUUCAGCAUUUCUCAGCAAUUUGCAUCAAGUAUAAUUGAAAACAAGCCUAGACUCUUAUACCACUGUUGGGUUCUGAGCAUUCUAACACUCCUAAGUGUACAUGCAACCCUAAAUACCUUGGAUCUAUGUUUUCUCUAUUAUACAUGCAAAUAUGAAUUUCCAAGGUAUUCAUCUUAACUAGCAUAAUAACAUUGAUUCAUAUGAAUAUAUCAAGUUAGAAUUACAUAUAUCAUUGAUGUAGAAUGUCUUCAUGAAGCUUGAGUGCCUAGUACCCCAAGUGUGACACCUCAAAUGGUUCACACAACACCAAAUACACUUGGAAUAGAUUGAGAGAACAUACAUACUUCAUGAAAUCGGCUAGCCCUUCAUUCUCACACAUAGUGACCGAUUUUGUCAACAAUAAGAUGAGUAUAUAGUUAGUGACAAUUAGGGUAAACCCUAAUUGUCAUGGCUUUCCAUUUCAUUGGAUCCAUGGGUUCAAAUACACCAUGGAGCAUCCAUGGAGCAUCUUAUGGGUUUUAGCCCAACUUGAUAAUCCAUGAAGCAUUAUCCCACUAUACAAGUAUGGAUGAUUUACACAAUCAACCCAUAUAUUUAAUUAGUCUUCUUUUGAUCAAGUAAUUAAUCCUAGAUUAAUUCUUGAUCAAUACUAAUUAAAUAAUCUUAUUAAUAUAUUAGAAAUUAUAAUAUAUUAACAAACCUUAAGUGCUAUUUCUCUCAUUAUAGUUUAUCCAAAUGCAUGAUGCCAUGCAACCCAAAUGGACCAUGUCGGGUCGGGUCAAGUCUCACCAAUUAUAGUUAUGGACUUAGACAUUAAUCCAACAAGAAUCUCAUUGUUCACGUCGUGAGUUUCGAGCUUAUCUCUUCGUAGAGUUUCCAUCCGUCUUCUAGCUUCCGAAGGUGGGCAUAUGACUCCUCACGUCGUGAAAUAUCAAUGUUCACGUCGUGAGUUUUGAUCUUAUCACUUCGUAGCCUCGUCACGCACCUUCUAGAUCCAAAAUGUAGCAAAAUGACUCCUCGCGUCGUGAGUUUCUGUGUUGACGUCGUGAGUUCAGUCAAAUUAGGGUUUCUGACAGCUGAAUCUUUGGAAGGGUGUAACUUUCGCAUACGAACUUCGUUUUUGACGUUCUUUAUAUAGACACGUAGGUAUUCAUGAGUACUACAACUAUCUUGUAGACUCCAAUAGCUAAUUAUAAGACCAUUUUUAAUUCCUCUUAUUAUAGAGAUUUAUAGUGUUCGGUUUAUCAUAACUUCUUCACGCGAAGUUAGAUUUGGAUGUUCUUUAUAUUCUUGGAAUCAUAUGGACGUAUACUUUGAUUUAUACCAUAAAGUAUGUAUGAAAGUUCAUAUUUAUAUUAGAAUUAUCAUGAAAUACAUAGUGAGUUUACUACAUUACUAGUUUAACAAAAUCACAUUACAUGAUUGGUAUAAUCACAUGUGAUUGUUAUUGACCUAUUUUGACUAGUGUUACAAACUUGAAGAUGAAAGAUGGAAACGAAGGUAAAGGAGAACAAGGUGAACAAGAUGCAAGAAAAACGAAGGCCAAAGACCACCGGUGGGGUGAUCUGUUGUAACACCCUUAAAAAUACAACCCGAAAAUUUCAUUUUUAAGUUUAUCAAUUAUAAAAUAAACCAUAUUAUUUUUCCCAAAUCCAUGUAAACAUAAAAUAGUUUAGUUGUGCAAUCCAACGAUACAUAUAAAAUCAUCAUCAGAGUCAUAAUCCCAAAAUCACUAAUGCGGAAAAUUAUGGUGUGAUGCGAUGCGAUCAAUCCUGCCCUUUUCCCUUCGAGUUGAAAGUACCUGAAAUCAAAACUGAAAACCAUAAGCACGAAGCUUAGUGAGUUCCCCCACCGUACCACAUACAAAUCAUAAACAUGUUGUCAGGCUUAUCUAGGUGUCCGACCUACCCUGCUGAACAUACUUGGGUGCUCUACCAACCCAUGUCAGACAUACAGGGGUGUCCGACCUACCCCUGUCAGGCAUUCAUGGGUGCCCGACCUACCCAUCGGUUUUAUUCCAACCGAUUAUAGGGUCUAUUUCAUCCCUACCACUACCACAUAAAUCAUGUAUAUCACACAUAAGCAUCAAAAAAUACAUACCACUUCAAUAAUUAUCACAAAAACAAUUACUAAGUCAUAUCAAUACUAGUAGGCCAAUAUUGGUGCCUUCGACCUACGACUACUAAGAAGGGAGUCUCAGUUCACUGCAUAAGCAGAAAUCAUACUCCUCGGAUGGCUCAGAACUGCUUUCCCUAUAGCAUAAUAAAUUUCCUAAUCAGUCAUUAGGUUCAAAAAGGACUCCCUUAUGUCUCAAACUUCUAAUUCAUGUCCCAAGGCAAGGUUUCAUAAUUCUUGGCCUAUUGGUCCUCUUUCUCCCAAGGCCAACUCCUAAUUAAAUUAAGGCCCAUGUCCAUUCAUUUAAGUUUCAAGGCCCAAUAAGGCCCAUUCAGGCCUAAUACCAUAUAUCCUAGGUCUAGGCCCAUAAGCCUUACUGCACGGUGGUUUCUUGAGGCCCAACAUCCUAAGGCCCAAAUAUCCAUUUAACUAUUCUGCAUGCAUAUGUGCGGCGUACCUGGCAUGUACGCCCAACGUAUGCUGGUCUUGACCACUUCGGGGAGGUUGACCCAGUACAUGUAGCGUACCAGGGGCACACCCAACAUAUUGUUCAGUUUCCUUAGAACUCCUUUGUGACUUAAUCCAUUAAGUCUUAACGAGCAAAACAUAGAUCCAUGUCCUUUAAGACAUCCUAAGCCAUAAAGUUAUAAACAUUAUGGUUUUGCAUGCAUGGAAGGGGGUUAAGACAUGAAUUAAGUCCUGAAACACACUUUGUGACCAUCUAACACUUACUUGGUUGUGGCUUAAACAUCAAGGCCCAAUUUUUAUGGCUCUAAAUGCUUCCAUGAGCUCAAAAGGACAGCUCUUAUGGACUGAAACUACCAAAACACAAGGAAACUCAACUAUGGAGUCAAAUGUCAUAUAAAACACCCCAAAAAUACAACUAAGUAUGUAAUGGUCAAGUUUGAAGUUUGAUACCUCAAAUAAGUCAGAAAAGAUGCUAAACUCCUGGAUCUACAAGCCCCUCUCACGUUCUUGCUCCUUCGUCUAACUUCUUCUUCUUCAAAACCACCAAAAAUCACCCAAAAGUGCACCAAAUUAGCCCACAAAGCAUGCAAGAGGUUUAGGGUUCGAUUUCUACUCUUUAGGGAUAGUGGAGGCCGGGGGAAUGAGGUAUGGGAUGAAGUUAAUAUCUUUAUAUAUGGUGCAGACCCUAAAAUUUAGGGUUCUCAACUGGACGGGUUACGCCCAGCGUAUGCUUGAGUACACCAAGCGUAUGCGAGGCUCCCCUUGCUUCACGCCUCAAUCAUGUACGAUGCGCGUACACUAUGUACGCCCAGCUUAAUACCUUUCACAACAUUGUAAUAUUUAAACACUUAAAUAAAUCAAGGGAAAUACAUGGGGACUCGAAUGUUACAUCUGCACCAGAAAAACAGGGUGAAAUCAAAAAUCGACAAAAUCGCCUAAAAGAAUCCAUUAAUUUUAGGAAAAAGACCACCGGGUGUUUGGGAUGUUGCUCCAAAGCCGGGUUUAGUAAUUUCUUGGGAGUACAAGUCGAUCGUCGACAGGUGGAAUGGGUUUGCAGAGAGAAGGGAGGGAUGUAAUAAAGGUAUGAUUGGUGGAGAUCUAGAGGAGAGGGUGCAGUGGUAGAGGAAGGUGAGUGUUCCAAAUUUUGGGGGAUUUCGUUUUCGCCCCUUAACUAUUAAGGAGACGCUUGUUCUUAAAACAAAUAUAAAGCGAUGGCAAUUUUAGGACACACAAAAAUACAUGUUUUAAAUCCUUCAAAUUUUCAAAGAGAAAACAUUGUUUUAGGACACACACAUUUUCACAUCAUAAAGCUAGUCUAUAUCAUAGUUCGUGUGUCAUUAAAGGCCUAUAUUCUAAUAUUAUGGGUCAUUCACCGACCUAAUAGUCCAUGAACAAUAUGUCAAUAUUCAUUGCUUAAUAUUAGAAGUACAUUGUUGUUUAAUGUUUAAACGUAUAGCACAUUCUUUCUUGCUUAAAGUUAAUAGUACAUUGUUGUUUUGGGGUAACAAACAACUUGAAACAUAUAUUAUAGAUUUUGUAGUAGUUUAUGCCUGUUUCAUGAAAUAUGUAGUUUGAAUUUUUUGCAUAUAAUAGCAGUAUUUCUACAUUUAUACAAACAUUUUAUUUGCAUGUAAUAACAAAAUAUUUUGUAAAGUAAACACCAAGAGUGAUGACAUCAAUAACGGCGCCAAUAGGCAAUAUCGGCGAUUUCAUCAUUGGGGACACGUUAAUGAGCGACAUAUCAAUAGAGCGACAAUAUUGUGGGCAACUUCAACGGCGGGGGACAUAUAUUUAAUAAUUACGACACCAAUAGCGGUGACAUGUAGGCAAGUGCCACGACUAAUGAGCAUCAACAACAAAGCAAUAACUGAAACUUACUAACGGGCGUAUUUGGCACAGAGCGUUUAGGAGCUUCUGGUUUCUAAUAUUUUACAAAAGGCUCCAUUUUGAACAAAAAGUCUUGUUUGACAAUACAAACUUUUAGCGUUUAGGUUAUAAAAAACGUUCCAAAUCUAAAAAUUAUCUCAUGUAGCUUUUAACAAAACACUCCUAGCUAGUAGCUACCCGCUACCCUACUACCAACUUCACGCUAUCCGCUAAUGUUGCCAAACACGCUGAACACAACAACUUAUUGCCAAAGCCUUAAACAGGGAUUUAGGAAACUCUAAUUUACAAUCCAAAAGUUCACAACCUCGACUCCCUUAAAAACGUAGAAUAAAGAUUAAAUACGAAUCCCAAAGUGCAUUAUAAAUGAGAUAAGGUAAUGACGUCGGAGCAUUAUCUAACCAACCAUGUCUCCAACAAAGUCUAUAAAGAGACACACACAUACACACCCAGUCAUAAAAUGGUAAAAUGGCCCAAAUUUGUCAUUUUUUGAUAGUUUUUUCAAUAUAUUUUCUGUUUUUUUCAGUGGCAAAGAAGCAUAACCAGAUCACCAAACUCAACAAAUUGACCGAGUCAAGAAGAUCAGAGAAUCCGCCAGCUGGGGAAACAUGGACAGAACAAGAUACAUCAAACUUAUCUCCAAUACUUUCUGUUGAACCUCAACAAGGAUCAAAGGAAGCAGACAGGGUUGAUAGGCUUCCAGGUCAACCACAAGUGGACUUUGAUCAUUUUGCAGGCUAUAUAACAGUCGAUUUAAAGGCUGGAAGGGCAUUGUUCUAUUACUUUGUUGAAUCACCUCACAAUUCAUCAUCCAAACCUCUCCUCCUCUGGCUAAAUGGAGGUAAUGCGUUUUUUGUGUGAUUCUACCACUAAAAUGGGCCCAUGACAAAUUAUAAGCUUACAUGUUGUCCUAACCAAUUUUUGGAAUCAAUAUGAAUUGAACUUUAACUUUUUGUUCCACCAAAAAAAAAGAUGCCACCAAAAUAAUGCUUGCAAAAGGCAUGAAUAUCUUUUAUUCUCAUCAUGGAAUAUUAUAUGAUAAAUCAUCAUCAUUUACAUGUGCUGAAAUUGACCACUAGUAAUUAAGAUAAUGUACAGGACCUGGAUGCUCGUCGUUUGGAUAUGGAGCCAUGGAAGAACUUGGACCCUUCCGAGUCAACAGUGAUGGGAAAACACUCUACCGCAAUGAUUAUGCAUGGAACAAUGGUAACAAAAAAAUAUGAGGAGAUUUAUGUCUUUUCCACAUAAAAAACGAGUACAUGUCCCACUUUUUUGAUGGAACAGACAGUUACAUGUCGUGUUUCCGUGAAUACACAAUGUGAAAGACUAAAUACAGAAAAUUUUGACAGAGGCUAACGUACUAUUUUUGGAGUCGCCAGCUGGAGUGGGGUUCUCGUAUUCAAAUAGAUCGUCUGACUACACAACAGGAGACAAGCAAACAGCUAAAGAUUCAUACACUUUCCUCAUCAACUGGCUUCAAAGAUUCCCCGAAUACAAAACCCGAGAUUUCUUUAUUACAGGUGAAAGCUACGCAGGUCACUACGUACCUCAACUCGCAUCCCUCAUUCUCUCGGAAAACAAGAAAACUAAGGGAACGAUCAUUAAUCUUCAGGGAAUUGCAGUAAGCACUUUUCAUACGUGGGACUGCACAGGGCACAACACAGGAGCUCGUUUGUGCAAAAGUCAUAUUUGCCUUCCUCAUAAUUAAAAAAAUCCCUAAAAGGAUCAUGUCCUGUAUGUGCUAAAUGGGUGUACUUUUCUGUAUUGUAGAUUGGGAAUGCUUUGUUAGAUGACAAUACACAUCUUCAAGGGAUGCUAGACUACUUAUGGACACAUGCCCUAAUGUCCGAUGAGGCAAAUGCAGGAAUUAAAAGGUAUUGUGACGAUGCUGUGAAUUUAAGCAAUAUAUCAGAAAAGUGCUAUCAGUAUGUAGACCAAGGAUUUACUGAGGUUGGUAAAAUUGAUAUUUACAACAUCUAUGCACCACUCUGUGAACGAACCACACAAAAACUUCAAUCUACUGCGUCUGUAAGUCUCUUAAUCCAUUUAACAAAAAUAUGUAGCAUACAACUUUCAAAACUGGAUAAAAUGUAUCCUGCAAUUUUAGUUAAUUGAACUAUCUUUUAAAGAGAUGAUGUAUUGAACCAGGUCAAGAACUUUGAUCCUUGCUCUAGUCGUUAUGUGUCUUCAUAUCUGAAUCGAGCAAAAGUUCAAGAAGCUCUUCAUGCCCGAAAUACCUCAUGGUCACAUUGCAGGUACCUCUUUUCUUAUAAAUACCUCAAAGCCAAUAUAAAAAGGCUGACUGUUUACUUUAUUAUGAGCAGCGAUUAUAAUUGGACAGAUAGCCCAACGACUGUUUUGCCAACUAUCAAUCAGCUAAUUGCAUAUGGUAUUAGACUCUGGAUAUACAGGUCAGUCCACCCAAUCUAACCCCAAUCCUUUUUUUUUUUUUUUGAAUUAUUUCUCUUUUACUUAAAGACAUGACUUAGUGGUAAGAUAUAUAAAAUAUAUACGGUUAUAUUUUUUUACUUGCUGAAUUUGUUAAAAAGCUAGCUCAAAAGUUAGCUAAUUACUAAAAAACUAGUUGCUAGCUUACAAACUAGCUAAUAGAAAAUAACGUUUGUUAAAAAACUAAUUGAUAAGCUACCUGAAAAAUAUAAAAUGACAAAAAAUAGAAUUUAGAAUAAUUUCUAAAUGAGUUUCAUAUAAUUUAUUAAGGACACAUUUGAAAUAUUGUAAAACAACUCCUAAAAUUUUUUUAUUCAAAUGUUGUAAAAAAAUCAUUGAAAAUCUAGUCUAAGUAGCCAGCUAGUUUAAAAGCUAAUUUUUGACUUGCCAAAAUGACAGUUUAAAAAAAAUCGAAAAAGAAGCUAGUUUUUCAACUAGUUGUGAUACGCCAAUUCUCAACCAAACCCGUAACUCAACAUGUAAAUAAACGGGUUUGGGCUGAUAUUCCUGACCCACCAACCCGUUAAUUUAAUGGGUUGUGUUGGGUUAUCUGUUUGGUUCAUGGAUUCACCCACCAACCCGAUUAUAUAUAUAUANNNNNNNNNNNNNNNNNNNNNNNNNNNNNNNGUACACUAUAUGACAUGCAUGCCCUAACAAUCUAACCCCAAAUCCAAUUCUAUUUUUCCAUCCAUUCCAAUUCUAUUUCUCGAUCAUUUUAGUAGAUGUAAAAUGUAAAAUGUUAAUUGUUAAUUAAUUUAGAUACAUGUAUAGUUCGUAUAAAUUUGACAUGUGAAAAAUUAUCGAAAAUAACCCAUCGACUCUUUGACCCGAAAUUGAUCCACUGAACUGUGAACUUGUAUACUUAAACGAGUUAUGUGGGUCGGAUUGGGUUGAAGUUUCGAAUCUGCCAUCCCGUAACCCGCCAACCCAAACCUAAAGGCCUAGCGCCAAACAUAACCAUAAUGAAAAAAGUCAACGGAGAUCGUACCUUUCUCAAAUAUUUUUUCGAAAAAACUGCAAAAAUGGUCUCAAUGGUAUGUAUUUUCUCUGAGAUUUAGUCUAAACCUCGACUUUUUGGAAUGAUGGUCAUUUUAACCAUGUUUGCUUGUGGUUUUGGUUCCUGUCUAAGCUGAAAAGACUAUUAUGCCCUUCUUCUUUGUUUUUAAGAUUUUUGAAAUAUUUAAUAAAUAUUAAAAAGAAAUCUCUCUCUCUCUCUCUCUCUCUCUCUCUCUCUCUCUCUCUCUCUCUCUCUCUCCCUCUUUCCUCUUUNNNNNNNNNNNNNNNUCUCUCUCUCUCUCUCUCUCUCUCUCUCUCUCUCUCUCCAUUGUUUUUUUAGAUUUAUUGGGUUGAAGAACAUAUAUAUCUCCAUCUUCUUUCCAAUCCACUAAAAACAAUCACACACAUACACACACUAAAUCAUCUUAAUAUUCAUCCACAUCAUUUGCAUCUUUCAUCCAAAUCUAUUGAAAAACAAACAAACAUAUAUUAAAUCGACAUCUUCUACUAGGUUUUUCCUUAAAUUUAAAGUAUAUUCUCAAUGGAACCAUCUAAUCCACCAAUGAAACCAAAAGAAAAAAAGAAAAAAGAAUAAACCCCACUAACCUAACAUCUGCCAAUCUACAAGAGCACAAAUUAGUUAAAUUUAUUGCUAAAAGUUUCCCCACUAUAUACAUUAAUCAUUGAUAUUUUGUUUCCACACCAUCUUUGUUUGUUUCCCAAAAUGUGAAACAUAUCAGGAGAUUCAACUAGCUUCUCUUCCGAAAAUACCAAUGGUGUUCCGGAAGAAAGUCAAAAAAGACAACCAUCAAUAGUCAACUCCCAUAGUACUUUCACAACUGUAGAUGUUGGAUCCGAUGCUCAAGAAAUUUUAUAUUCGUCAAAGAAGAAGAAAAUAUCUCUAACAGAGAUUAUCCCUUCACAACCUCUGAUUGAAGUACUAAAACUCAAUCCCAUUCAAAAUUGAAACUGAUGCUAAAAAUCACGACUCAAAAAUCGGAUACGUCUUUUUUAUCCCAUUUAAUAGAAAAGCUCCAUUAACUGAUUAUAGAUAAUAAACACAAACUCGGAUUUUGAGGAAGGCAACGAUUGGAAGAACCCUUUUGAAAUCAAGAUACCUACUACAAAUCUUUCAGUUCAGCUUCGGAGAUGGUGCAUAUGUGUAAGAUAUGGUCACUGAAGAUUUCUUUAUCUCUGGAAUUCGUCGCCAUUCUUGGUGGUGUACAUCUUCGCUUCAGGCGGUGUUCUUCGGAUUAUGAUUUUUUGCGUAGGUUUUCGUUUCAGAUCCGCCCUUUAGCUUUUGGAUUAAGGUUCAGUUUCAAAUCCGGGUGUAACAACCCAAAAACAGUUAUAAAAUUUUUCAUUUUAAAAUCAUUGUUUCUAUACAUCAUAUCUUCUUAAAGUUAACCAUGAUACAAAGUAUCAAAACAUCAGAGUAACACUAGUCAAAAGUGCAGAAAUAUAAGGGGAUGCUUUGUUGUUACGCUGAGCCCUUCCCUUUCACGCCGAAGUACCUGAAACCAUAAACAUAAAAUGUAAGUAUAAAGCUUAGUGCAUUUAUGAAUCAGUGGGCCCAACCGUAAUGUAUAUUCCAACCUAACAUACAAUGACGGGCCUAGCCUUGGGGCCCAACCCUGGGGUUUCUUCCAACACAACCAUACAAUCAUGGGCCCCGCCUUGGGGCCUAACACUGGGGUUUAUUUCAACUCAAUCAUACAAACAUGCAAGAGUCACAAAAACAGUUAACAUAAUAUAUAACAUAAUCCAGUGGGCUAGUAUUGGUGCCUUCGACCCACAAGUAUGAUGAGAAGACCCACCUGUCAAUCAAUUAUCGACUACUACUGCUCUAACUAUGAGAAUACCAAGGCUAUGCUCCAUCUAUGCAGUCAUACCAGAUAAACCAUUAGCUCUUGUUCCAAAACUAGGUGUUUGACCAAUAGUCAACUCAAGCCGAAAUUCAAUGAUCAAAGUCAACAGUCAGUUUUGACUUUAGUCAACCGCCACGCCAUGGCCACAACGUGGCCCUCAAAUAUCCAUACAUACAUGUUAUUCAUAAUUAUCACACUGUGGUAACCUAAAGCCAUGUCGUGGGCAUCAGGUUUCCAAUAACUUAAUGGGUUAAGCAAUUUUCUUUGAUCCUAAAAGCUCCAAAGUACAAGUCUGGUCUAACAUGGUCUUGAAUGAUAAAGUUUCCAACUUUAUCGAUCAAGACCACCCAAAAGGUCAAAAUCUCAUAUCCUAGGUUCUAAAAUGGCUAAAUAAGACAUGACUUCAUCCAUUAAACACUUAUUCCAAAAAGCCUUUAGCUCAUCAACUUCAAAAGGGUUUCUAAUACCAGAAUCAUCAUAAAAGUCGUUGCUUUAUGGACAUGCAUGUCCAAUUCAUGUCUUGAAGCAACAAAGAUUUAAAAUAAGGGGUUUUUGAUAAAAAUUACAUGCAUGGUUCAAAAACUCAACUAUACUUCAAAUCCAAACCCAUAAUCAUACCAAACGAUCUAGAGAUUUAUAAAGUUGCAAACUUUAUGAGAUCUCACCAAUCCAACUUACUAGAAAAUUAAGAUUAAGGGACAAAACUAAAGAUCUAGCAACCUAUCAUGAUAAAUUUUGAGUAUCGGACACUUACAAAGGUCCAGAAGAGUGCUAGAACGAGGGAUGGGGGUCGCUUGUUGAAUCCUAUCUCACUUCUUCUUCUUUCUUCCUUCAAGGACUUUAAAGAACACCAAAAAAAGCUAAAAUAAAAGAGGAAGGAAAUUACUAUUUCUUAGAUCUUAAGGAGGCUGAUACAGGCUAAGGGUGAGCAAACCCCAACCUCAUCAUUCCUUUAAAUAGGGAGCAAACCUAGAAAAAGUAGAGUUUUCUAUCUGCCAGCUGCCACUUCGUGGCCACAUAUAGUAUACGAUCCAUUUUGACUUUUCACGUCGUGGUGGUGCCUCCACCACGUCAUGGCAAACCUUAAAAUGCCAAAAAUGAAAACAUGAAGUAUCUUGGGAUCCGGGUGUUAGACCAGACUCAGAAUAAGUCCCCUUCUCCAUAUUUGCUUUAGAUAUGGAACAUUCAGUAUAUCUGUGUCUUGUGUUUUGAUGAAUAUAACCACUAUGAGAAAUGUAUAUGUGUUUUAAUUUUAACAAGAAAAAUAAUUAUGUGCGUUUUCUUGUGUGUGUGUGUGUGAGAGAGAGAGAGAGAGAGAGAGACUCUUAUUUUUGUUAAUUAUAAGAAAGAAAUAAAUAAGUAUUAAAUUUUUAAAAAGUAGAAAAUAAAUACAUUAAGGGUAUUAUAGUCAUUUCAAGUUUCAAAUGGACCAAAUACGCAACAAAACAAUCUCAAAAAGACCAUCAUUCCAAAAAAGCCGAAGUUUGAACUAAACCUCGGAAAAAUACAUCAAAGAGAUCAUUUUUGCAAUUUUGUCUCUUUUUUCGAACAUCAUGUAUCCAAACAACGCUUUAACAUACGAAUCCCUGAUAACAUGUAAUAGUAAGUCAAAAUCUUUUGUGGUAGAUUUUUUCAUUCAAAAGACUUUUGGCAUUCCUUGUAAAGUUACAAGCUAAAUGAUAGAGAUUUUUUUCUUUCAUAUAUUUAAUAUUAUUUUAUUUAUUUGCUUAAGAGCAUCCACAAUAGGAUCUCAUUAGAUAGUUAUUUCAGUGAAAGAAGUUUUGCCUAAAUCAAACAAGCUAUUGUGAGAACCUUUUUGUCCCAAAACCAUUUUACUUUGGCUGAAAAUUUACAAUCUCGUAGGGCUUUUCACAAUUCUAAUAUUAUGAAUUUCAUUUUCAUAACUUUUCUUUUAAUUUUAGUAGGGUCCAUAAAUAAGUUGUAUAUAAAUUUCUUUUGCUAUAGCAUGGAUAUAUUAAAAAUUCAGUUAUUAAUUUAAUUAGCACCAAAAAGAUCAGCGGAAAAAACGUUGAAAUAAUCAUCUAAAUUGAUAUUUAUUUCAUCCAUAAGUAACAUUUGUUAAAAAUAUUCCUUAUCGUGGACAUUUAUUUAAGCUUUAUGGUUUAUUAAUGUGGCGAUGAUGUGUUUAUUGUACAUAUAAAAGCACCUUACAAGUUACACUUGAUUUAUGAAUCAUUGGCAGUGGUGACACUGAUGGAAUGAUCCCAGUAACAUCCUCAAGGUACUUCGUGAAUAAGUUAAAGCUUCCAAUAGAGACUGCUUGGAGACCAUGGUACUAUAAUGGAGAGGUGAGAAUAUUUGAAACAAUAAUAACAUCGAAUAACAAUGUAGGAGUAAUAUAUAUUUUAAAAAUAAACAAUACAAUAAUACCAAAAUUUAAUAUGUUGAUGUUAAAAAUGUGAUAGGUGGGAGGAUAUGUGGUAGGCUACAAAGGAGUUAUACUUACCACAGUAAGAGGCGCAGGGCAUGCAGUCCCUAGUUACCAGCCAGAAAGAGUAUUGCUUUUGAUUUCAUCAUUCCUUCAUGGAAAACUUCCGCCAUCUUUGGCUGAAUAACCAUUAAUAUAAGUUAUUUACCGGAUGAAAAAUGACAAGUUAUAAGCAAGUGGUAUCCAAUCAUAUUGGAAAUAUAACAAGUUCAUUUUGAGCAUUGAAUGUUUAUAUACAAUAAUAUAAUAAAUAUGUCUCUUUAAUCAUUUUGUAUGGCUUUAAAAUAAAGUGAAUGGAAAGAAAUUUGUCAAUUCCAUCGGGCAUGCAGAGCCAACCAUUUUAUUUCAUUCCAAUGAAAUGAACCAUUUUAUGUUUUUCCUGAUCAAUUUUUAACCAAUUUUCAAUAAUGAUGUAUUCCCAAUUUUUGGCAUGAAUGUUGAGCCCUAAACGUUAUCAAACGAGACAAAUGAUUAGAUGCUUGUGUUUCCCUGUGGCUUGGGUUGCAAAUGAAAAACCAAAUUGUCUUGUGUUCACUAAACUUAUGUGCGAGCGCGUAACCUCAAACUCCAAAUUUAAUAACGAGUAAAUUCCUUUUAAAUAAACUAUGUUAAAUACAGGCCUCAUCAACAAUUUUAUGUUUGUCUUUGUUCGUAUUUUUUUCUGUUGUAUGUUUCUAACAAUUUCUUCAUACAAUAUAUAUACUACCUAAAAAAUCUGAAACAUGGCAAAGACGUAACGUUUGCAGUGGCAAAGACGUAACCUUUUGAAAAUAAUGCCACUAGAUAUCAUGACUAUUUGUGUACCUAUAGUGACACAUAAUAAAUUUAAGAAAAAAACUGAUAAAUGGUCCAUAUUAGUUUUCAAAAAUCUAGAUCUGGUCCUUAAUUUCAAAAAAGUUCAUAGAUUGUCUAUGUGGUUCCAAAACUAUUAACAAACGAUUAUUUUUAGUUAGUUUCUUUGUAAAUUUAGUCUAUUUCAAAAUUAAAAUGAUAUUUUAACCUUUUAUAUAUGUGGGGAUAGUGAAUAUAAGGCUGUUUUAUACCCAAAUUUAAGUGUGGAACCAUCAAAUUAAAAUGACAUAGUUUACUUGAACAUUACAACAUAUUUCCAUUAUAUAUAUAUAUAUAUAUGUCAAAAGUUAUUAUGUGGUUGUCAUGUAUGUAAUGUUAGGUACAGAACCAUCAAAAUUGACUUCAUUUUGAUUAAAAAACACAUUUUUCUUUCAUUCGUAGCUUCCUUCUGUUGUUUUUGAACUCAUAUUAUAUUUGAUUUUGUGAUUCAUUUUAAAUAUCUAUCUAUUUCGAAUGUGUUUUUUAUUAGAGCUCUAGUAGGUUUCAUAACUCCUUCAACACCUAUUUUAUGCAUACUUGUACGGUUUUUCUAUGGUGGUUUAUGGAAAGAGUUUUAGUAGGUUUUUUAAUGAACAAUUUCAAUCUUCCAAUGUAUUUUUCUAUAUUAAAUUUCAAUUUGGAGACCUACAAGUAGUUUUAACAAAAUGCAAUUAAAUCUCUCUAUCAUCUUUCUUCUAUCUUCUAUUAGAGUAGACGAUAGGCUUUUUACAUAUUUUUAUGGAGUUUUAAAUAUUUAAUUUUGCACCACAAACCAUGUAUAAUAAUAUAUUAUCAACUAUCUAUAAAUCUUCAUAUUCAAAUUUAAUAUAGAAAACUAUAGUGAAAAAGUGAAAUUGUUCAUCAAAAACCCAAUAAACUUAUUCUCAUAACACAUCAAGAAGAACCAUCCAAGUAUACAUAUGGUAGGUGUCAAAGAAAGUUAUGAAGCCUACUAGACGUCUAAUAUAAACAACACAUUUGAAAUACAUAUAUGUUGGGGAUAAAUUAUGAAAUCAGAAAUAAUAUAAGCUUAAAAGUAAUAUGAAUAAGCUAACAAUGAAAAAAAUUGUGUUUUUUUAAUUAAAAUGAAGCUAAUUUUGAUGGUUAUAUACCUAAUAUUACAUACAUAACAACCACAUAUUCACUUUUCCCAUAUAUAUAUAUAUAUAUAUAUAUAUAUANAUAUAUAUAUAUAUAUAUAUAUGUUUAGGUUAUUCUAUUUUUAGUAAGUAUUGUGUGCCAGAAUGCACAGAUCUGGACCAACGGAUGAAAUUUAUCAAUGGACAUGAUUUGAGAGUGUAUGAUAUUACAAUGGGGUAACAUGUAGCAUAUAACCACACAAUUUUUAGCAAAAGGGUAUUUUGGACAAUUAACUACAUUUAUAAAUGGAAGUUUUCGGAUUUUUAGGGAUGAUUAAUUCUCAAAAUUUAAAAAAAUCUGAAUUUUUUAAUUAAGUCAAUUUCAAUUUUUACCGAUUUUAUUCUAUCAGAAUAUUUUUUGUUAGAAUGAUACUCUUUCAAAAUUUUAUUCUAAUAGAAUAUUAUUGAACAAAAACAAGAUUCUUGAAUAAGAUGUUGAAAAAUAACAAACAUUCUAAUAUAUUAUUAUACAUCUGAACUUAAAUACAAAGUCAUAUAUAUUUUUAUAGACUAAAAUUCUUAUAUAUUUUAAUAUAGUUAUAAAUAUUCUAAAAGAAUAUCAACAAAAAUGAAUAACAUUCUUAAAACAUAACAACAUUCUGCUAGAAUAAUCUCGUUCUCCAUGUUUUCUUCUUGAAUUCUUGAAUUCUGAAAGAAUAUUGUUGUUUUUUGGAUGUUGAAUCCCGAAAUUCUGAAAGAAUAUUGUUGUUUUUCUUCAUUCUUUGAGAAUGAAGUAUCACAUAUCUUUUUUUCAUAAGUUACCUCAUCAUUUUUACAUCAUCCUAACAUACAUUAAAUUCCAACAGAAUAUCUAAAUCAUGAAUAUUUGAAAGAAACACAUGUUCCUGCUUAUAUAACCACAAAAAAUACACACCAACUUUUAGUUUUUGUUUUCUUCUUAUUAUCUACAAAAGUCAAAAGUUUUUAGUUAUUUUAUAUAAUUUUACUCAAUUCAAAUGGUUUAGAAAAACAAAACAACUAAAGUCAGUAUAUGCAAAACAAGAUUCUAACAUCAAUUGACUUUUAUAUUCAAAAUCACUACAAUAAAACAUAGAAGAACAAGUAUAAAAACAAUUCCAAACAUGUGGUCUUGUUGUUCAAUACAGUUAUCAAUCAUUAGUCUUAGUUGUCAUUCUGACUUCUGUUAGGUAUAAACACAAACACAUAGAGUGCACGUCAGUAUGUGUUAUUUAUAUCCAUUAUUUUAAUAAAACCAAAACACAAAUACAAAUUAGAGUAGUAUAUGUCAUCGUAUAUGUAUUAACUAAGAACCAAAGACAAAAAAUAUAGAUUUAAAAGAAUCACAUAAACAUAAAAUCAAACAUGUGGUCUUGUUGUUCAAUAGUUGUCUUAUGGUUCAGUAUUGUCGGCUCAAAAACUCAAAAUCAGAUAUCAAAAGAAAGACAUAAUCCUAUUCUGACGACUUUAAUCGAACAUUUUUCAAGCAUUCUAUUUCAAUCAAUCUAUUUUUUGCCACCAUCUAUAAGCAUGGAGGCAUCAGGUGGAUGGAAGGCGACGAACAUGAAGAUGAGGAAGAAGAGUAGUCGAAUAGAGGAUCUAGAAGUUGUUGUCAUGAUGGCGGAUAAAAGGCCGACGGUGGUGCUCGGAUGUAUGAAUCUAUUUCUGGUGGAAAUUAAGGUACAGAGGUAUCAAUGAUUUGAGGAAGCCGUCGAUGGUUAAGGAUGUUGGCUUUGUAGGGUUAAACUAAUUAAGGAGAGAUUAAUUGACUUAGUUUUUACCAUAAUUAGAUAUAGUAAGUUUACUAUUAUACCCUUUUUUAAUUUAUUUAAUGAUUUAUUAUUCCUAAAUUCUCAUUGGUGCAUUUAGGCACACACUAUUUGCUAAAAACAUUUGAACCUAGCUCUCUCUCUCUCUCUCUCUCUCUCUAUAUAUAUAUAUAUAUAUAUAUAUAUAUAUNNNNNNNNNNNNNNNNNNNNNNNNNNNNNNNNNNNNNNNNNNNNNNNNNNNNNNNNNNNNNNNNNNNNNNNNNNNNNNNNNNNNNNNNNNNNNNNNNNNNNNNNNNNNNNNNNNNNNNNNNNNNNNNNNNNNNNNNNNNAGUUGGGUUCAAAUGUUUCUCACAUCUAUUGUGUGAUAGAAUGCACCAAUAAAAAUUGAGUAAACAUUAAAUUUAUAUUAAAUGAUAUCUAUAUUUAUAAAUCAUUUUUAUGGAAACUAAUUUAAUUCGUCGUUAAUAUCACUACUAAUAUUUUUUCAGAAUAAAUUCAUAUAUAAAAUAAUAAAAAUGUAUUCUAGGAGAACGAUAGUAUAUUCUAUUGGAAUGCACCCUCAUUCUUCAUAUUUCAUACAACUUUAUUGUAUUUUAAGUGAGUGAGUCCUGAAAUUGUGUUAUUGCUGACAUAAAAACCUAGAUACGAAUUUAUUCUGAAAGAAUGUUAUUGCUGACAUUAAUGACGAAUUUAAUUAAUUUCCAUAAAAAGAAAAUUAUAAUUAUGGAUAUCAUUUAAUAUACAUACAAUUAUGAAAACCAUUUAAUAUCUAUCAUUAUUUAAUUAAAUAAUAAUAUAAUUUUACUAAAUUCCUAUUGGUGCAUUCUAGCACACAAUAAAUGUAAAAANNNNNNUAUAUAUAUAUCGUAAACGACGUUCCAGCAACAAAUAUGAUCUUUAUUUAACAUUGUUGUUUACAAAAUAAUUCCGCAGCAGAAGGCAUAGAGAAAAACAGAUUAGUGAAAAAGUUUUGAAGUAAAUGAUUCCAAAUUCCAAUUGGAUAUAUUGUUCGGUGGUUUUUUAUCACUUAUAAUAUUCAAAUUCAUAAUAAACAAUUCCUUGAUAACGGUGUAAACCAAAAUACUGCAUGAAUGUUAAGAUUUUCGUCUUAAAUAAACUCAGUGUUGCAAAUAUCGGCCUAGGCGGCCGAUUAAUCGGCGCCUAGGCGCUUGACGGUCCUCCACUGUCUAUGUUUAUAGCUAAUCGGACCCUAUUAUCGGACGUGGUCAAAAUCGGUCAAAGACGGAGAUUAUCGGGUCUACACGGGUCUAGGCGGGCCUAGGCGCCCUAAUCGGUAAAAAAAAAAAAAAAAAAAGAACUUUAAGGUAAAAAGUUUCAAAUUGUUAGAUUUGCUGUUAGGGUUCUUCUCACUCCAUUGCAUUCAUUUUUUUUUUUUGAAAUUCUCUCUGUGGUCUGAAGAAACAAAAGAAAGCAUGAACUGAGGCUUCUAAAACGAUGCCAUAUUCUUCUUCGAUACCAUCUGUCCCUCCUCCGACACUGUCUUUUUCUUCCAUUCACGUCAUCGCAGUCCGCCAGUCGUCAGUCUCGAAGCUAAACCAGUCUUCGCCUUCUGAAGCUUCAACAACAGUUGCCGCCUCUUCUGUGUUAUAUAGCAAUAAUCAGGAUCGAAUCAUUGAUCAUGGAAUUCCCACAUAUCCACAACCUCCUGCUAUUGAAUUCCCUUAACAUUUACAUAGUUCCAAAUGUAAUAGACAACAGGUUGCAGGUCCACAUCUCUUCCCGAUGUUAUUGGAACUCAUUGUUCAUAACACUUUUUUCUCCCCAUUUUAUGUAGACUUGGAUCCAAAUGCAAUUAUUGGUUAUUUAGAUCUGAUGUAUUAGGGAUCAAAAGGGUUUUUGUAAUCAUAGUAUCAUGUUAUAAUUGUAUAUUUAUUAAUUUUUAGUAACUUUUUAAUAGAUAUAAUGUUAUAUUCUUAGGAUUAAUGUUUUAUUUAUUAAUUUUUUAAUAAUUAAUGGUCCCCGAUUAAUCCCCGCCUAGCCGAUUAAUCCCUUGACCCCAGUCCACCGCCGAGCGAUUUCUGCAACCUUGAAUAAACUAAAGAAUUAAUUGAUCCUUUUUAUUAAACGAAUCAUCGAUGUUGCCUUCAGAAAGAAAUGAAUGACCUCUUUCAUAAAUAAAUUGAUCAAAAUGAACAUCGAAGAAAUUAAUCUCUAUUUCUAAAUAUUGAAGACGCCGAUUUAACAAAAUUGAUGUAAAACUAUUCUAAACCUAAAAUAAAUUUGAAAAUCAAGGUUUUCAAGGAAUUAGAGAUAAAUAGUUAUAUUCUAGUGCAAAACAACGUAGUUUUUAAUGGUUCCGCACCUAAUCUUAGGUGCAUAAUACCCUCAUAUAAACUUUUAUUUUAUAUAUAUAUNNNNNNNNUAUAUAUAUAUAUUCAUAAUUUCCUUUUCAUAUUGUAUUAUUAUUAAAUAAAUGAAUGGCCCACAUCUCAGAAGGAGUUGUUAUUGUCUCUUUUCACUCUUUUUUAUCUCCUGGAAAAUCAUAUUCACCAUUCAAAAAGUGAUGGUGGCUUAAGUUUCUGUUCACCACGCUUAUUAUCUUUUAACUCCAUGGAUACGAACUUUUGUCUUUGGCCAUUUUUACCCAAACUCAAUCUUCUCCAUCAUCAUUAUCAUCAUCUUCUUCCCCAUUUUUAUUCCGGUGCCUAGGAUUUGAGUUUGAAGCAGUCUUGCUAAAUCUUCCUAGUCUAAUACAUGUAAGUUCUCUAAUAUGAAAUUUUGAUGGGUAUACUUGAAAUCCAUUGUUUCCAUGAUGAUCAUAUUGGAACAUUGUGCAACAUAGUUAUUUGGAGCCCUAAAAUUAUUUGACCUACUUGCUAAAGUUAUGAAAUUGCUAGCAGUUGCAGCUAGUUUGAAGCAAAUCCCAUGCCCCUGAUGUAAACCCCCAUAAUUUGAGUCAAUAAUGGUGUUGAAUUGAUGAUUAUUUUUCGAAUUACCAAUUUUCAUACCUGAAGAAUUGAGAUCAUUACCAAAUUGUGUUUCUUCAUCUGGAUCAGAUCCUACCAUUUUUCUCCAUUGGAUCUAUAGGUUCGAAGUAGAACCAGUCUAAAAAACAUAAACAAAUCAAGAUCUUCCCAACAUCAUCAUUUCAUUCACUAUGAAACAGAUGGUUUUACAUCAACAAAAUACAUUAGAAAUCUCACUACAUAUUACACUCACACUCAUAUUACACAUGAAUAAGAAAUCUAUACAUAAAACAAAGAGUGUAAACAAACCCUACCUAUGAAACCCUAAUCUAAAGGUGAGAAAGACGAGAGAGUUUUUAAGAAUAUAAAAGUGAGCAAAUAAACUGAAUGACAAGAAAAUUGCAACAACAGACACUUAAAUACUUCAGGUAAAGAAGAUUCGAGGUUCAACUCGAAGUCUGCGUGUAAACCCGUAAACUUGCAUCAUAUUUACCAAACAUACCCACAUUAAUAUAUUCAUUUACAUAACUCGCCCUUAUAGUCUAUAAAUUAAUGUUUAAGUUUGAAACCUUUUAAAUAUAACUUUUUUAACACACCCCCUCAAACUUAAGAUUAAUUUGAGAGAACAAUCAGAAAUCAACUUCCUUUAAAAACAUCAAUCAAACCAAGACGAUUUGAAAUGUAUUCUUGUUGAUUAAUUCCAAGAGCUUUAGUUAAAAUAUCUGCAUUUUGGUUUGAAGAUUCAAUUUCAUUAACUUUCAGAAUUCCAUUUUUAAUUUUUUCCCCGAACAAAAUGAAGAUCAACUUCAAAGUGUUUGGUUUUUUCAUGAAACAUAGGAUUCAAAGCCAACUUUAUAGCUAACUCAUUAUCACAAAUAAUAUCAACAUGUGAAAUAGUUUAAAUACGUAAAUCAAAAAGCAAUUUUAAAAUCCACAUCACAUCACACGUAAUACUACCCAAUGCUCUAUACUCUGACUCAGUGGAGGAGCAAGAAACAGUAAUAGAUUUACGACUGAACAAACACUUUGCCUAGUCAGCAUCCACAAUCCCAAUCAGAUUAAAAGAAUUAGUUUUAGUUAAAUGAACACCUUACCAUGACUGUUCUUCAAAUAUCUCCAAAAUUCUAAAUGCAAUAUUAAUAUGAGAAUUAUAAGGAUUAUGCAUAUAUUGACUUAGUAAUUGGACAGCAUAUGAAAUAUUUUGACAAGUAAUUGCUAAAUAAAUCAAUUUACCUAUAACUUUUAGAAACUCAGUUAUGUUAACCAAAUAAUUAGAACUAUAAUUCACAUUCUCUUUUAAUAACCAAAUGAGCUUCAAGAGGUGUUUUGACAGGUUUACAUGCGAUCAUACCAAAUUCAUGAAGUAAUUUCAUGCAGUAUUUUCUUUGAUUAAGACAAAUGCCAUUAUCUAUUUUUAUAAUCUCUAUUCAUAAAAAAAAAGUUUCAGAUCCCCUAAAUCUUUGAUUAAGAACUGAGAUUUAAGAAAAUCUUUGACAUUAUUCAAUUCAAUUUUGCAAUUCCAGUUAUAAUAAUGUCAUCUAUAUAAACAAGAAUCACAACAAUAAUAUCUUUAGACUUCCUAAAAAAUAAAGAAUAAUCAUUUAUAUUCUAUUUAAAACCAAAGGUGGAAAGAGAGGAGCAUAAUUCAUUAUUCCACUUUCUAUGGGCUUGUUUAAACCUAUACAUAGAUUUUAACAGUUAUAAAGCCUAACAUCAUCUUUUGGAUGAUACCCUUCAGGUAAGUUCAUAUAAACACUUUCAGAAAGGUACCCAUAUAAAAAACAUUUGUAAUAUCAAGUUGAUAAAGAGGCCAAGAAUUAUAAACAACUAAAGAAAUGACAAUGCGAACAGUAACAAUCUUGGCAAUAGGAGAAAAAAUCUCCUCAUUGUCAAUACCUUCCCUUUGGUUAUAACCAUUAGCCACAAGUCUGGCUCUAUAUCUGUCUAUAUCUCCAUUAGAUUUUUAUUUGAUUUUAUAAAUCCAAGGACAACCUAUAACUUUUCUUCUUUUAGGAAGAUUAGUGAUUUCCCGGUUGUUAUUCCUAUAAGUGCUUACAUUUCUUCAUUCAUAGCUUUUAUCCAAUUUGGAUCUAAAGCAGCCUUACUAUAACUAUUGGGUUCAACAGUUUUAUUAAGAUUAGAUAAAAAAACAAAGAUUUUCACUAUUAAGAGCCAAAUAGUUAACAGAUCGCUCAAUUCCAUAUUUGUGUUUUCCCUCCACAACAUCAUCACUAAACCUAACUGGCAUGUGAACAUCACGUCCACUCCUUAUAAAGCUAGUAGACUGACCCUCAGAAGGAUUAAUAUUAAUUGAAUCACUUUCCUCAGUCAAAGUAGAAAAACAUGGAAACGUCACACCAGGAGAAGGCACAUGUGCCUCACUAGUCUGGUUGCUGACAUUAUAGGGACAAGUCUCAUCCAGGUUCUGGUAUGCACUAGCACCAUCAGACUGAUGGACACUUCUUAAGUUAUCUAAACUAGUGUUAUCAAGAAGAGUACUAGAAUGCAAUGACUCAUCAUAGGAAAAAAGGUCACUAGAUUUUAAAGUGGCAUUAGAUUUAUCAGUUGAAGAUGAAGACUUUAGCUUGAAGGGAAAAACUGAUUCAUAGAAUUUUACAUCCCUAGAAACAAAAAAAGAUUUGAAUGAAGACUAAGAACUUUAUAACCAUUUUUAUCAUAAGAGUAACCAAUAAAUAUGCAUUUAUCAGCUCUUUCAGAAAAUUUAUCAUAAUUAUUCAACUUAGUGGCAAAGCAUAAACUACCAAAAACCCUAAUUUAUCAAAAAGAGACGCAUUAUUAUAACAAGCUCAUAAGGAGAAGCACCAUUUAAAAUAGAAGUAGGAGUUCUAUUAAUCAAGAAAACAGAAGUUAAAAUUGGUUCUAUUUAGUAUUUAAGAGGUAAACCAGAUUAAAACAUUAAAGACCUAGCAACAUUAAAAUAUGCAUGUGUUUCAUAGAAAUUUACGUCCCUAGAAACAAAACAAGAUUUGAAUUAAGACUAAGAACUUUAUAACCAUUUUUAUCAGAAGAGUAACCAAGAAAUAUGCAUUUAUUUGCUCUUUUAGAAAAUUUAUCAGAAUUAUUCAACUUAGUGGCAAAGCAUAAACUACCAAAAACCCUAAGUUUAUCAAAAACAAACGCAUUAUUAUAAACAAGCUCAUAAGGAGAAGCACCAUUUAAAAUAGAAGUAGGAGUUCUAUUAAUCAAGAAAACAGAAGUUAAAAUUGGUUCUAUUUAGUAUUUAAGAGGUAAACCAGAUUAAAACAUUAAAGACCUAGCAACAUUUAAAAUAUGCAUGUGUUUCCUCUCUACAACUACAUUUUGUUGUGGAGUAUGAACACAGGAUGUUUGAUGAAAAAUACAUUAUGACACUAGCAAUUGUCUCAUUUUAUGGUUUAAAAAUUCAGUUCCAUUAUCUGACCUAACGGUUUUAAUUCUAACACCAAACUAACCAAGCAGAAUAUUAAAGAAAAUAAGAACACAAUCAUAAACUUCAUCUUUUGACUUUAAAAGAUAAACCAAAGUUACUCUAGUGUAAUCAUCCACAAUGGUCAAGAAAUACGUAAAUCCUUUUGUAGUUGUCACUUUAUAAGGUCCUUAGACAUCUAGAUGAAUUAACUCACCAAGUUUGGAAGUAACAUGUUGACUAAUAGGGAAGGAUUCUCUUGUUUGUUUAGAUUUAUGACAUACAUCACAAGGUCGAAGAACUUCAUUACGAAAUUUAACUUUAUAUUUUAAAGAACCCAAAGCUUGAUCAGAGGGAUGACCAAGUCUGCUAUGCCAAGUUAGUUUAGACACACAACAAAUAGAAGAAGAAUUAUUAAUACUAAAAUAAUUACCUAAAGGUACACUAUUUAUGUAAUAGAGACCUCCAGAUUCUCUACCAUUCCCGAUGAUCUCCUUUGAUUGUAAACCCUGAAUUUUACAACUAUGUUCAUUAAAAAUAACCUCACAAUUACUGUCUUUGCAGACCAUGUGGACAUAUAACAAGUUAACAUUGAAGUCAGGAACAACAAAAACAUCAAACAAAGUUAAGGAAUUCAAUAAGUUCAUGUUACCAAUUUUUUCAAUUUUAGUUGAAGUACCAAUAGGAUGACAAACAAGAAGAUCUGAUUCCAUUUUUGAAAAUUUAAAGAUGAAUUAAAGACUUGGAGAAAGCAAGUACUUGUCAUAUUAGCACUAACAGAUGCUUCCUCAUUAAUUUUUCUAUCACCAAUAAGUUGUACAAUUUUGAUGUGUUGAUCUUAGUAAGCUGAUGAAACUUAGAAUCUCCAACAGAAUCAAAAAGAUUAGAAGUAUUUGAACUUCCAGAAGAAGUGGUAGUAGAAUUGGCAGAAAAUUUUUUGCUAAAAUAUUAUGGUUAUUAGAUUUAUUUCUUGGCUUGAAGUCCUCAUGUUGAGCUCUUUUUGAUUAAGGAUGUGCUGAAGGCUUUUGUGGUCGGUAAAUAUAGUACAUGAUGUGUGCAAACUCACUUAGUUUUAAACCUGCUUUUAAUUAUAAAAUAAACACACAAAGGUAGUGGACCUAUCAAUUGUGGUAUAGUUAAAUAGGUAGGGUAUCGAACACAGGGAACGGUAAAUUAAAACUAAAAACUAAUUCUAUCUAAAUUAAUUAAUAAGUAGGGGGGUUUUCUCUAGUUUUACAAAACUAGAAACUUACUAACUAUUAUUUAAUCUAAAAACUAGAAAAACAAAGAAUUACUAGAUUCAAUAAUGGGAAGGAACUUCUGUUUAAGAGUUUUAGAAUGAUGAAAUUUGCCUCAAAUCUCCUUCGAAAUUGGAUUCUAGCUUGUAUCUUCAUCCUCUAGGGUUUUUCUGACUCUUCAAUCGCAGCUAACCUCUCCAGAAUGGUUCUAGAAUUCUCCCUCAUUGUUCUGAGAAGUUAUCUUUAUAUAUGCGAAACGACUCGUCGAGUCAGGUGCCGACUCGCCGAGUCCAUCUCUCAAUCCCCGUAUGUGAUAAGUCUCUGGGUUUUUGAGUCUUUAUCUUCUCGAAUAUUCGCACGGACUCUCCGAGUAGACGACCCUACUCGCCGAGUAGGUGUUGUUUUUGGUGUUUUUCUUCUUUGUUCAAUUCUCGAACUCCCAACCGCUUCUCCUGCUUCCUUUUGCUUCCGAGCUUCACUUUUGGGACUGAAAACAUAAUUCAAACACUUUUAAGUACCUUUUGUCCAUGAAAUGCAAUAAAUUAGCUAAUAAAUGAAUAAAAAUCUACACUUAAUAUGAACUAAAUAUGCACAUAUCAAAAUACCCCACACUUGACUUUUGCUUGCCCCCAAGCAAAACUGAAUUUUAAAACAUUAGAAUCACAUAUGACAACUUCAAUCUAACCCAACCAUUAUGCCAAGAACGCAACGCAUACAUUUGUGUCUAAAAUUUCCCUAAUAACCCCCAUACCCCAAAUACUCACAAUCCUCAUAAACAUUCACCCACUCACCCCGAACUAUGCUCAUUUUAUGCAUCCCUCCGAAUCCAUCCGCAGAAAACCUCUUACCCUCAAGGUAUUUUUAGUUGAGCAACCCAAGCAUACAUAAUCUAGAAUUACAAUUUAUGAUACCACUAUGGAGCUCUUUUGAAUUCUUCACUUCCUUGAUAAUUUGAUCUUUGAUUUCUUUGAAUUCACCACCUUUGUUGUUUGAUUUUUGGUAUCUUCAAUUUUUGAAUUUCUUGGAGUUUUGAUCUUUUGAUCUUCACUUUAUUUGCUCCAAAAUUCUUCAAGCUUUUCUUGCAAUUCUCUCUCUCUUUUUUUUUGUACAUGUACCUCUCUUUUUCCACUCAAAACCCUACAUGCUUAAGCUGGGGCGCUCAACCUCAACCUUUAUUGGCUAACGAUAAUAAUUUUUCUGGAUACAUUUCUGGUACACGAUGCUAAACAUAUUGCAUCCCUCAGGCUGAGCGAGGUCGUGUUUUUGUCCCAUGAUUUCACUAGAAUAAGGAGACCACAAAUGCACUAGAACGUAUAUAGGCUCAACUAAACAUUUGGGUUUUCAUGCAAUUAUCAACACAAUUCUAACAUGGAAUCCUAAUUUGCUUUUACCAAAAUUUUCUAAAUUAAGUCGUAAGUAAUAUUUUUGGUAUGCAACAAUUUUUUUUUAAAUUAGACCUAAAUUAAGAUUCUAAAUUUUCUAAUAUGUGACCAACCCCCUACCCCACACUUAUUUUAUGCAAUGCCCUCAUUGCAUAUUAUGCAAAAAAAUAAAAAUGCAAAUAUAGAGGGAAUUGGAACAAACUCCCCUGAGGUAGCAAUCGAUAGGUUGAUAACUCUUCUUUUCAACUCCAUCUUCAUUUGACUUUAGACAUGGAAAUAGCUCAUCCAUGCCCUUGGGCAUCAAAUCACAUGUGGCGGCUCCAAAUAGGCAGGGAAAACAGUGUAAGAUCUUCAAGAAUCGAUAUGGAGGAAUAAAUGGUCAAGUGGUAGACUCAGCAGCAUCAAAUCAGCAGUCCUCUUGGUAUAAAAAUGAAUGACUCAUCGAGUCAUAUAUGCGACUCGUCGAAUAUAGGCACGGAUAGCUUCGAAUAUGUGAGAAUACAAGGCGACUCGUCGAGUCAGUUUAGUGCACUCAGCGAGUAGACCGCUGGGUGAAAAAAAAUCGCAUUCUGCAUUUGUUCCAGCUUCUGAUAAAUCUUCAAAACUUCUCACAAAUUCUAGACUCAUUCGCUCAUGUCCCUAGGGAACGGACUCGACACCUUAACUCUAGACUCUGCCCUUUCUUGACUUGUUUCCACUCUUUAUAACUCUUAUAUUCUUCUUUCUCUAUCAAACUCUAGACCCUUCUAUGCAAGCAUUCUAACCCAAAAUCUGAAAAUCAUCAAAGCAAUUAAACAUCAAGCAUAAAGUAAAAGUCUUAAAUUUAAACACACCAAACCCAAAUAAAAACAAAUUAAAAAUUGUUCAACAAAAACAUAAAGAACUAAUCCUCCUCCUCCUCAUCAUGGUCCUGUGCAGCUCCACUUCCACUAGCGCCAAUCCUUCUUGCAUUGAUCACCUCAUCCCAAGAUGGAAUAUAUGGGAAGUUACCACCAUCGAUAUGCGGAAUAUGAAAGUGGUCAAAAAGUCGAAUGUGGGAUUGGUUGCUAGAAUUGAGACUCCUUGCCAUUUGAUCUUGCAUUCUCCUUAUCUCAAUAUUAUACCAAUCCAUUGGCACUUCAUCAUUAUCCACCGGAAUUACCGGAGGUUCCUCCUCCACAUCUCGCUCCCUCCUCGGUCUAACCCUCCUUCCCGGCGCCUCGGGACCAACCACUGGAUCAUCAUGCGGGAUAGCAUAAUGACCACCACCAUAGUCCUCAAUAAUCCUAGCCCUCCUAAAAAGAAUGGGAUUAAAUGGAGGGGUAGGAAUCACCGUCAUCAAAUUCCAUGCACCGCGAGUCAUCAACAAAAACGAGUUGGCUAGCCGUGUGACAAACAUUCCACCAUUAAUUUUUGAUGUCUUGCGAUCCUUGACCGCACGCUCCGCCAAAUAGGAAGCCAAACACCACGGAAUGUUGCAAAAGGUGUCUGGUGUGAUAAUGCUCCAUAGAUAAAAAAAACAUCAAGGUUAGAAACCUUGUCAUCAUCCUUUCGUUGGUUGAUGGUAGUGGAGAUAAGGCGGUGAAUGAGACGGUGCGUGGGCGACCGAAUACUUCCUUCUGGGCCGACUUUGGAAUGUACAACUUGUUGGCGAUCGUGUUCCACCAUCCCGUGCUCGUAACACCAUCGGGGAACACCUUGUGAGAAUGUUCCAUAAAGGUGCGAAAAAUAGCAGUCGAGACCAAUAGGCGGUCAUAGAUUCCCAGCCGACAAGCAAGAUCAAUAAUUGAGCACUGAUGAAACUCGCCCCCAAGGCAAAAACUGAAACUUGUUGGGUGAUAGCAAUCGUCACCUCCACGGAAAGAUACCGUAGAGAAGAAUUCUCAGCAAAGUUCCCGGUACACCGGUUUUUGAAUACGAAAGACCCUGCUCCAUCCGUCACAAACCAUUGUUUCCCCUUUGAAUGUAAAUUCCUUCACAAGAUAAGAUGCUAACUCCUCCUCAUACUGCACAUUCUGCAACCAAUCCCAAUCAACUCUGUUUGGCACGUAGAUCUCCUUCUUUCUAACUUCAGCUAACUUCUUCUUCCAUCUCGUCAUGGUUGAAGCUGAUUCGAUUUGAGGAAAAUUCAACCAAGGAAAAUCCCCUUGGCGUCCACUGGAACCUUGACCCCUGUGAAACAUUGUCCCUGCAAAACAAAGAACACAAAACCCAAAAAACACAGAAAAUCAUCAAAAUAGAUCAUGCCUAGGUCCCCAACUGGACUCGUCGAGUCCAUGAGCGACUCGGCGAGUCGUAUGAACUGCGCGAGUCAGUCGGCGAGUCAAUCAAAAUUCAACCACGAAAUCUCAAAAUUUCUUCAAGGGUUUUGUCUAGGGACAUGUCUAAAAUGUAUUAGGGCAAGAAUAAUCAUCCAAAACAUCAUAAUUGAUGUAAAAGCAAAACCCUAAGAAUUUACUAUUACUCAAAAUCGGGUAUUCUAUGAAAUUGCUACCCUAGAUCAUUUAAAAAUCAUGCCUUUAACAGAAAUUAGGAAGAAAUUCAGCACCUUUUGUGAUGGAAAUUGAAAAACUUGAAGGAAAGAUGAAGAAGUUGAUGAAUGCUUGAGAGAGAACCAAAGUGGAGGCGCACGGCGAGUGAAGGGGAAAAAAACUGAUUUCAUUAGGGUUAAAAACCCUAGCUACCAGUUGUAAAAAUUAUUAUUAUUAUUAUUAUUGUAAAUAAAACAGACUCGUCGAGUCAAAGACAGACUCGGCGAGUCUGGUCGCGAUUCUAUCCUCUUCUGAAAUCUGAAUGUACUCGGCGAGUCAUGUUCAGACUCGGCGAGUCUCUUACAAAUAAUUCAAAAAUUAUAUAAUUUUGCCAUUUGUUUAGAAAAGAAAAUUUAUUCCACCCCACACUUAGUCCAUACACACUCUUUAGCAGACAUGUCCGACGAAUUGGAAGAUUAAAAUCCAAAAAAAGGAAAAAAAUCAAACAAAACUAAAAAGAUAAAAGAAAGCAAACUCUAAAUAACGGGUUGCCUCCCGCCAAGCGCUUCUUUUUAAGGAGUCGUUAGUUGGACUCCUUCCCAUCUACGUUUGUUCCUCUUCCAGCAUCGGGAACGCAUGCCUAAUCUUUUGUGGUUUGUACUUUGUCUUGUAAGCGUGAAUCUUCUUUUUGUAUGCCCGUUUUAAGUCUUCUUUCUUCUUUCUUACAGCAUUAUCCUCAGCUGCUUGAAAUUCCCUUCUCCUCUUUUUCUUUUUCACCCCAUUCUUUUGCACCUUUUCUUGCACCUCCUUUUCCUUAAACUUAAUUACUUCAUAUUUUGUGAAAGUUCGUGCUCUAGGUUUGGUAAUGAAUGGUUGAUCAGCAUCAACUCUCCUAUCCCUUGCCUUCUCCUCUUUUUCAAUGCUUACCUCAUCUUCAAGCGGGAUUGCAUCAAGACAUACUAUAUGAACGUGUUGAAAUUCAGUAUCGAUUUCUCCUUCUACUGUUUGUUCUUCUAAAGAAUGAGGAAAAACAUCCAUGUCCAGCACAUGCAGAGAACUAACAACAAGCAGAUCUAAGUUGUCCAGGUUUUUGGUAGUUUCGACUGGACUCGUCGAGUCUAGGAAAGUGACUCGGCGAGUCGGAUCGCAUUUCACCAUUUCCACUUUGUUUUCCGAGUCGGCUCCUUUCAGCAGCUUUUCUAUCUCCUCCAAGUCUUUGUCAAAAUCUCCGUUACCUCCAGAAGGUAGCAAAAACUUGCUUGGAUCUUCUUCUUGCAAAAGUGCAAGUUCUUUUUGUAGUAUCUCAUCAUCCAAAUCGAUAAAUGAGAUCUCUUCUUUUCCUUCCUCUUCUUGCUUGAUCUCUGGUAAAGCUCUAAAUAUUGUUGACUCGUCUCCUACCCUUAACGUUAGUGUAGACUCACAUACAUCAAUUAAAGCACAUGCGGUGUUUAAAAAUGAACUCCCUAAAAUAAUCGGAAUUCCGGGGUCUUCUGCCAUAUCAAGCACCAUAAAGUCUACUGGAAAGAUGAACUUGUCGACUUUAAUGAGAAGAUCCUUGCAAACGCCUCUUGGAUGAAUUAUUGUCUUGUCUACCAAAUGGAUCUUCAUGUUUACCGGCCUUGGCUUCGGUAAAUUCAGCUUCUUGAAGAAAGAGAAGGGCAUUAAGUUGAUACUUGCACCCGAAUCAAUCAACGCUUGAGUGACAAGUGCAUUUCCAAAUUGGCACGAAAUUAUGAUACUCCCCGGAUCGCCCUUCUUUUCAGGUAACUCACUCAAUAUUAUUUCCGCGACUUCAGCUAAAUCUUUCCUAGCAGCAAAGAGACCCUUUAGUAAGUUAAAAUACUUGGGCGUUUGAAGCAUCGUUUCUACAAAUGGCACGUUGACUUGUAGGGAUCUAACAUGCUCCAUAAAAGCUUUAUAAGCUUCAACUUUUUCAACAGGCCUGGCUUUGAUUGGGAAUGGCAAAGGGGGAUUAUAUGGCUUUAAGGAAAUGACCGUUUUUUCAUUAACGCAUGGACUCGUCGAGUCCAUUAGAGGGACUCGGCGAGUCUGAUCGGGUUUAGCUGGAGCCGACUCUUCUGCCUUUUCUGUCUUCGUAUUGGAGAUACUCUGUCCAUGUGUGAAAAUUUCUUCAUAGCUGGAAGUCACAAUACUCACAUUCUCCAUUCUUGGAUUAUUUUCGGUGUUACUUGGAAGUUGACUCGGUCUUCUUUCGUUCACUUGAUGUGCAAGUUGUCCCAGCUGUUUCUCAAUGUUGAGAAUGUAUUGCAGCAUCCUGAUCAUUGUGUCUCUUUUCGGAUGCGGCUAUGAAUCUAGUGAACAAUUCUUCUAAAUCGGCUUUCUUUUCCAUUACCGGUUCUUCCUUUUGAUAAAAUCUCCUCUCCUUCUGCUUGUAUUUCUCCUCCUUAGCCUUCUUGUAUUCUUCGUAUGGGAGCCAUUCCUUCUUCGGUUUCCGCCAAUUCUCGUCGUGUCGAUCACCACUUGAGUAGAACACUUGAGCCUUCUUGUUUCCAUUUUCAUCCAAAUCACAAUCCUUUGUGAGAUGGGGCCCUCUACAAUUCUCACAUCCAACUCGAAUAGCAUGGAUUGUUUGAUCCACUUUUGUCAUCCUUCUAUCUAGACUAUCGACCUUAGCUAUCACCGCCGCCAUGCUAUCAUUUGCCGAGUUCACUACCCCCCGACUUACUUCAUUUCUUGGAUUGUGGUAUUCUCUAGAAUGCUUAGAGAAUUCUUCAAUUAACUCCGUGAUUACCGGGGGCGCCUUCUUCGUGAGCGGCCCUUGUGAAUCGAGCAAUUGCCUUGUGGUGACAUUUACUCCAUCAUAGAAAAUGGAGACCUCUUGUUGGCUAUUAAGGUCAUGGUGUGGGCAAUUUCUAAGCAAACCUUUGUACCUUUCCCAAGCUUCAUAAAGAGAUUCGUCGGGUUGUUGCUCGAAGUUGGCGAUGGCUUUCUUCAACUUAGCAAUUUUGGAAGGUGGGUAAAAGUGGUCUAUGAAUUCUUCUUUCAUCUUGGGCCAUGUGGUGACCGAUCCGGGAGGAAGUGACUUGAGCCAAUCCUUUGCAACUCCCUUGAACGUGAAUGGAAGCAUGUGAAGUAGCUGGGUCUCGCGUGGCACAUUCGGUACAUUGACGUAGACAGCCACAUCAUUUACUUCGUCCAAGUGCUUGUAGGCGUCUUCGUGGUCUUUCCCAUAAAAAGGAAUCUCCUUGAGUUGAGCGAGAAUAUGGCCCUUUAGCUCGAAAGUAGCGGUUGCGGGAAUUGCGGACUGCACAAGUCCCGGGCCACUGUCAUCGCGCAUCCUCUUCUUCCAUUCCCCCAUGGGGACUUCAUCGAUAUUAGCCAUUGUGAUAGCUAAAUCGUAUUCAGACUCAGAUUCAUGCUCGUAUGUGGGUUCUUCUUCUUCCCCGGUCUCGUACUUGGUGUCUUCUUGAAUUGGGUCUCCGAUUAUCAAAGAGGCACUGGAUGCUCCUGAUUUACUGCUCCUCUUCUUGCUGAAAACGGAAUUGAGGUUUUUGAGUGGCGAGUUUUUUGAAGAAGCGGAUUCUCCAACGGUUUUGCCUUUGCUCCUCCUUAGUGCGGAUUCCGGGUCUUCAAGAGGAGGGAUUAGAGGUGUAUCAGAUCCUCGGGUCAUGAAACAACUGUAAAGAAAAAAAAACGCGUAAAAAGAAUAAAAAAUAAAUAAAACUAAAAUUGUGAAUCAACGAUGAACUCGCCGAGUCGGGGCGAAUGCACUCGGCGAGUUGAAGGCAAAAACAGAAAAAUUUUCUAGUUACUUUUAAAAACAGAUUUUUAUUAAAACUUAUACUACACUACUACAAAAUGAGUCUAAUGCAACAUUUUGGAAGCAACCUUUUAACAUAAGUUGCAUUUGAUUAUAAACUAACUUUGUAUAACAAAAGGUUGCAUUAAAAUGUAUGUUGCAACCAUUUUUCAGAAAGGUUGCAAAUUUUAUUGAAAAUUGCAACCUUUGUUAAAAAGGUUGCAUGGAAAAGCUCAAAGGCAACCCUUAUUUUAAAAGGUUGCAUAAUUAGAUAAUAUUUUAGUACAAUUCUUAUUGAAUUUUAAAAAGACAUUAUCUAUUAAAUUUAAGAUUUUGAAUUUCGUCUCAGUAUUUUUUAUUUCCUUUUCAAUAAGUUAAAGUUUUUUUGUUUUUGAUUUUCUUUCUUAAAAUCAAAAUUUUAUAUUUCAUUUUUUUAUAAAUUUUUAAAUUUAUAAAAGAGAGAAAAAUAAUUUUUUUAUCUUAUUUAAAUAAAUAGAUUUUAGAAAAGAAAUAAAGUUUUUAUAUGAAAAAAAUAUAGAGAAAACUGAUUUUAAAUGAUUAAUAAUAGAUGGUAGGGUUUAUUUUAGAACACACUCAAAGUUGAUGGACCUAAUAUAUAAAACAUGAAAUUUUGAAUAUGGAUUGGCAGAAAACGAUCGUAGCCUCAUAGGGUACACCUCUAAACUCUAAUUGGCGAUUCAGUAAUGCGAAUGAGACGGGAAGGCUUCAUCGAAGAAGAAAAAACGAGAAUGGUGGGUGCCGAUACUCAUUGCACAUAGAGAUCAAUAGAAGAGGUGACGUCGGAACGAGAGGGCAUACGGGCGCUUGACGUGAGGGAGGAACUCGUCGGCAACGACGCUGCUUGGCCUGAUUCCAACGAUUGGAGUGGCGGCAGUGACUGGUAAGGGGUAUUUGUGAUCGGAAUCUUCAAUAUUCAUAAUGGAGCAAACCCAAAUCACUUCCAUAUCCAUUAAUUUGAUGAAAUUCAAAGGUAUCUUUAAAACCCUAGAAAUUUAGAAAAUUUAUUUGGACUUUUAAAUUUAUUAGUUGAGCAAUUCAUCGCUGGAGUUUAGUUUGAAAUGGUGUAUAAAUUAAGAAAUUUUAUACGAUGAUGAUAUUCUGAGAAAUACUUGUAAAAUUUACUAUCAAGGUUGAGGUUUGUGGUUUGUUGGUACGAAAGAUGGAAAUUCCCGGAAUAUGCUUCAUAGUCAUGGUGUUGCCUUCCUCAAGGAGGUAUGGUAAUUGCGCAAAAAACUUCUUUCUUUUAAUCAUGGACAUUUUUUCUUUUAGUUUCAGUUUCUUCUAAUCGACAUUCCAGAUAGACCCUCUACCAAUAAAAUCUUUGCAUAUAUUUUGUAUUGGAUUUAUUCUAUGUUUAUAGGCGUACAUUAGAGCCAUGCCUACACCACAUUUAUCUUUCCUUUUCUUAGGGUAUCAGGUUAUGGCGUUCACCUGCAGACCUUUAGACUAUUAUGAUUUUUCGGUCUAGAAUUCACCUAGUGGUCAGGUAAACUACUAACCUUAAAUGGUUGUAAGUUGUCACUUUAAGCAUUUAUGCAGCUUAGACCUUCUUACGACACAUUCUAUUUAGAUUUUAAGGUUUAAAUGCAAGAAAUGGAAUUGUACUUUCAUUUAUUUGUUUAUUUUAGUAUCCUACUUUCAAUAUCUUCUCCUAUAACAUUAUAUUUUCAUUUAUGUACUGUGAAAAAUCUACACAGUUAUAGCAUUGUACUUUAGACUUUUUUCUUUUUAAUUUUUCUCCUAUAACAUUCUAUUUUCAUUUAUGUUCUUUGAAAAAUCCUCUCAAUAUGUUGAACUUAUAAAUUGGCAGACUUUUCUUUCUUCGUGUCAUCUCUUAUUGAUAGUUGUAUAAACAAAUUACUACUUUUACAUCCAUUUGACAUUUUAUAAGUGAUUUCGACAGAAGCUUGUUUUGUUGAAAUUAUUGAUGUGGAUUCAUGCCUACCUAUUGAAGGUAUUCUUAAAGAAACUAUGUAUUAUGUAAAAACAAGUUUUGUGAGUUCAUUCCUUGCUUUUUCCCAAGCGUGCUCUUGUAAGUUUCAUUGAUUCCUAUACAUUAUGCAAAUUGAGUUUACUCUUGAAGGUGAAUAUAAAUUUCUUUUUAUAUCCACUUUUUAUUCAUGAUUCAAAUGUUAUGACUAUUCUUGUAUUUUUUUUUACAGAGGAACCUUUGUGAAAUGGUGGGGAGAAGAACAAUCCAUUUAAUUCACGCAUCAUUUAUAUGAAACACAAAUUGACUUGUUAUUUUUUUGUAACUGUUCGGUUUCAUCACUAUUUAGCUCAUUUGAUUCCAACAUUUAUAUUCAUCUAUGUGUUGCAUACUACUUUGUUUUGUAGUAUCUAAUGAACCAGUGCCGUUUUGAAAAGAUGGUGGCAUUUGGAAAAGAUGGUCAGACUAAACAACCACCUUACAUGAAAGAAAUGAGAAGUGCAGGAGGUUUAAAUACCUUUAUGAUUAUAAUUGACAAUUUUGUAUUAAAUAUGAUUUGUAACUAUUAUUUUGAGUUUGGACAUAUCUGUUAAUGUACAUGAAACAUUAUUUAUCAUAUUUAUGUUAUUAUUUUUAUGGUGUAAUUGAAUUAAUAAUGCAUAAUCAUAUUAAUAGUUAUCAUAGUGUGUGAAACAUUGAUGCUACAAAUAUAAUAGAAUGUGAUUGCAUCAUCAAAAAAUAAUGUCUUAGCAUUAUAAAAUUCAAAAAGAAGAUUGUGUUUUAGUAUAAACAAGGUUACCUUUGUUGUAACUAAAAUAAUAAUAAAAGUUGCAUAUAUAUCGUAAAAAAGGUUGCACUUUUUUUUGUUAAAAACAUCACAAAGGUUGCAUUUCAUCAUAGAAAAGGUUGCAUAUUUGUGAAUUACACCUGUAAAAAAGUUGCAUUUAAAUACUAAAUGGUUGCACUAAGCCUUUAAAAGGUUACAUUAUGCAACUAAAAUAGUUUUGUAUCAACUUUUUAGUAUAAACAAAGUUAAUUAAAAGGUGUUUAUUUUGUAAUUAAAAGUAGGUUUAAAACUAGGUGUUGUUUUUGGUGUUUUUCUUCUUUGUUCAAUUCUCGAACUCCCAACCGCUUCUCCUGCUUCCUUUUGCUUCCGAGCUUCACUUUUGGGACUGAAAACAUAAUUCAAACACUUUUAAGUACCUUUUGUCCAUGAAAUGCAAUAAAUUAGCUAAUAAAUGAAUAAAAAUCUACACUUAAUAUGAACUAAAUAUGCACAUAUCAGUACACUUUGUUCCAUAAAGGUAGUGUCUCCAGAUUUUUAGGGCGAAUACUACUGCUCCUAGUUCGAGGUCAUGUAUGGCGUAAUUGACCUCGUGCGUUUUUAAUUGCCUCGAUGCAUAGGCAAUGACCUUUCCUCGUUGCAUUAACAAACAUCCAAGGCCCUGGUUUGAUGUGUCACAUUAGACCACAAAGUCUUCGGUCCCUUCUGGCAGGGAUAAAAUCGGGGCACUACACAGGGCCUGUUUUAAUGUUUGCAAGGCGAUUUCUUGUUUCUCUCUCCAGCUGAAAGUUACACUCUUUUGGGUUAGAGUGGUAAGUGGGUUGUUAAUCUAGGAGAAGUCUUGGAUGAACCUUCGGUAGUAGCCAGUGAGGCCUAAGAAUUGGCGGAUUUAUGUAGGCGUAUUUGGUGCUAACCAGUUCUCGAUCGCCUUUAUUUUGGAGGGAUCCACGUGUAUCCCUUUCUCGCUAACCACAUGAUCAAGGAAGUCCACUUCUCGGAUCCAAAAGAUCCAAAAUUCGCACUGCGAAAAUUUUGCAUAUAAUUUCUCCGCCCAUAGUGUCUCCAAUACCUGUCAUAUAUGUUGGCUAUGCUCUUCCUUAAUCCUUGAAUAGACCAAGAUGUCGUCUAUGAAGACAAUCACGAACUUGUCUAGGUAAGGCCAGCAUACCCGGUUCUUUAGAUCCAUGAACACCGCAGGUGCAUUUGUUAACCCAAAGGGCAUUACUACAAACUCGUAGUGACCGUACCGAGUUCUGAACGCUGUUUUAGGAACAUCCUCCUCCUGAACAGGUAGUUGACGGUAUACCGAUCUCAGAUCGAUCUUUGAGAAGUAAGAUGCUCCUUGGAGUUGGUCAAAUAGGUCGUCAAUUCGAGGUAAAGGGUAUCAAUUUUUGAUUGUAAGCUUAUUUAGCUCGUGGUAGUCGAUGCAUAUGCGAAACAACCCAUCUUUCUUUUUCACAAACAGAACUGGUGCUCCCCAAGGCGAGAAGCUGGGUCUAAUGAACCCUUUGCUUAGCAGUUCGUUUAGUUGGCUGGAUAGUUCUUGCAUCUCGGUUGGCGCUAGGCGGUAAGGCGCUUUGGCUACGGGGGUAGCUCCGGGAUUUAGGUCGAUUUGGAAUUCAACUUGUCGUGCGGGUGGAACUCCGGGAAGGUCUUAUGGGAAUACGUCCGAGAAAUUACAGACCUCCGUAAUGUCCUUGAUGUUCUUCACCUCAUGUUUCUUAUCCACUACGUGGGCUAAGAAGGCGUGGUAUUCCUUGCGGAGAUACUGUUGGGUUUUGACGCAAGAGCUGAUUUGUAGUUUUACACUAGGUUUGUUGCCGUAGACGACAAGAGUUUCGCCACUCGAAAGGUUAAGGUGUACGACCCUUUUGUAACACAAAAUGUCAGCACGAUUUGAACAUAACCAAUCCAUGCCAAUGAUGAUGUCAAAUCUUUUUAUCGAAACCGGCAAUAGAUCUAUUUUGAAUGAGUGAUUGUGUAGAGUGAGGGUACAUCCUGAGUAUAUGUCAUUAGUGCUUUCUGUAUUUCCAUUAGUCAUUUCUACGAUGUAUGUAUCUUUUAGUGAUUGGGGAUUUUUUCUUAAUAAUUUUUUGAAUUUGUGGCUAGCGAAACUCCUCUUCACUCCACUAUCGAAUAAUAUGCAUGCAUAUGAGUUAUCGAGGAGAAGCGUACCGGUAACCACCACGGCGUCUUCCCUUGCUUCCCCCUGUCCUAAGGCCAAAAUCCUUCCGACACCACCGGUGUUUGUGUUUUUAGCUUUUGGGCAGUCCCACUUGCAGUGCCCAGUUUCCCCACAACAGUAACAAGCUCGGCUUGCUCCGACGUUGGCGGCCGGGUUGGCUUGUUCGGCAGAAUCCCUACAAUAACGGGCAAUAUGCCCUUUUUUAUUAUAGUUGUUGCAGUGCAUUUCCCGACAAGGACUGUUGUGGUGAAAGUUUCACUUGGGAAGGGUUCCAGCAUAGUGUAUCAGUGGUGCUGGAGUGGAAGGAGUAGUGGCAGCAUGGAUGGUAACAGUUUGUUGCUUCUUGGCAGGGUCCCGCAUCGGUUGCUUCUUUUUAUUGUUCCGGAACUUCCUAUUGUUGCUUCCUCCUUUUGCUUGAUCGAAGGUGGUUUUCACAUUGACAUGGUUGGCCUGAUGAUCGAUGAGUUGUUGUGCCAACUCCUUGGCACUGACAAAGGUGGUUGGCCUUGAGGCCAACACGCUAUUUUGAAUCUAGGAAGAUAGUCCCCAGAGGUAUCGUUCUGCCUUCUUUCUUUCUGGAGUGACCAUCGCCGGACAGAGGAGUGCUAGAUCAUUGAAUCGGGCAGUGUAAGCUGCAAGGUCAGAGCCCGUCUUUUUGAGACCCUAUAGUUCUUGCUCUAAUUUUUGCACUUCACCCCUUGGGCAAUACUCCUUCAGCAUCAUAGUUUUCAAGUAUUCCCAACUUAUCAAAUUAGCCACGACGAGUGUCAGUGAUUUUGUGUGGCCAUUCCACCAAGUAAGGCCCCUGUCGGUGAAAGUGCAAGCUGCGAAUUUGACUUUGCUUGCUUCGGGGCAUGCACAGAUCUCGAAGACGGAUUCGGUCUUCUCGAACCACUGCAUCAAAGAGAUGACGCCCCCGCUUCCAUUAAAAGAAUCGGGUUUGCCGUUCGUUAAGUCCUUAUAGGGACAUUCUCUCGAACGCCCUUGGCUAUCUCCUUGGGUAGAGUUAUUAGUACCGUUCCAUGUCCUCCUGGCACCGUCAGUGCUGAUUUGGGACAUAGUAGCUGCCACUGUGGCCAUAACCGCAGCUUGGAACAUAACAGCGUCAUAUUGGGGAGGCGGAGGUGGUGGAUUUGUUUGUGUUCUGCUAGUGCGUCUAGCAGAUCUACGAGGUGUCAUCUUUCUGUCAUCGAAUUUUAAAGAUGAAAUGAGUAUAAGUCUUUUGUCACAACUAGGAAAUUUUGAUGCUUGUAACUACAACAAUUAUGUUAACUAUCUUAAACCUAGAACACUCAAAUGGGCCCUAAUUGGACCCAUAUGCAUGAAACUUAAUACUUUGGACCAUAUUGGGCCUAGAAUGAACUAAAAGACCCUAAUGGACCUUAUUGAGCCAUAACUAACCUAAUUAGCUCUAAUGGACUAUGAAACCCAUUAUUCUUGACAAAUUGGGCUGUAAACCUUCAUAGAGGCCCAAUGGGCCGAAAAAUUGAUGAUUAGGUCCAAAAAUCCUAACAAAAAUUUAAUGGGCUCAAACUAUUCCAUUCGUACCUUCUAAGCCAAAUUUUCGGCCCAUGCUAAAAAGAAAAAAAAAGGGGGGGGGGGGGGGGGGAAGGAAUUAAGGAAGGAAUUAGGAGGUGAUGACAACUCAUAAUUGUCUAGCACACUUCUAGGUCAUCACAAACAUCCAUGAAAUCUUUACCCUCCAUGUAAGGCCUUCUCUUCCUCCCCUAUUUCUCUCACUCUCAGCCAAGAUACACACACACAUGCACUUCACUUACAAACUCUCUCAAAUAAUAUCUCAAACACUCACAAGAACACUACUACACUUUCCUCUAAAUUUUCGAGAAUUAGAGAGUGCUUCAAAAGGAUUCUCACAAGAAAAUAAUCAUUCUUUGGUAAGUUUUUACAUGUCUAAGUUAUAUAACUCUAUUCUCUUGCAAGAUCACUUCUUCUAAACAAGCUUUUGGUGAUCAUACUUCUAGAAAACUCCUUAAGCUCGAAAUUUACUACAAGGUGUUGCUAGAGCCGAAAAUAGCAUCAAAUUUCUUCCUUUUCUUCUUCAAAUCGAAAUCAUCAAGCAAAGGUGAGUUUCAUACCCCUCUAUUUUCGGUUUUUCAUAUGUUUUAUGGGGGAGAAUACAAGAAAAUGUGUAGAUCUCUGUGUAUGUGUAUGCUAUGUGUGAUUUUAAAGCAUGUAUGUGUGUGAUGUUAUGUGUUUUCGAGAUAAAUAUGUAACAAAAAGAGUGAUAAUUCGAGAUCAAUGACAUGAGAAAGGAAACAAACAUAAUCUAUGUUAUUUUACACUAAUCAAGUCAAUAAAAAUAGCUUAUAAGGUUAUGAGGAACAUACUUUAACAUAAAACUCAUUUUAGGGCUUAAAAUGUUAAAAAUACAAAACUUGGGCUAAAAUCUGCCAAGUCACGGUUGCUUGAGGGUCAAAAGAGUCAAAACAGUUUUCAUAAUCAUUUUUCUGAAUAUUAGAAUUUUCAAAGGACUUAAAAUGCAAAAAAUUGAGUUAUUGGGCUAAAUAUGGGCUUUUCUGCCCAACAAGCCCAAAAUUGCAAGAAUUGAAGUUUUUAAGGGGCUGAAUUGUAAUAUUCUGUAAAACAGGGGACAUGAAGUGAAAUAAAGCUAUUUCUAAGGUCAAAAAUGCUUUUAAACUCCAAAAAGGAUCAACAUGUAAACUUUUUGUAUUUUGGGCCAAAACUAUAAAAGUUGCGAAAUUUGGGGUUCUAACCGAGAAACACCAUUCUAGAAGGGCUAAAACUAUUUACUAUAUAUAAUUUGUGUAAAAAAUGUCUUUUCAACAAGUUUAUGAUACAAAAGUGUCAAGAAAAUGUUUUAACGACUAAAAAUGAAAUUCUUUUAUAUAAAGUACUAAAAGUGUUAUUUUUAUAAAAGAAAGGUAGUGAAAAGGGUCAAAGUCAUACUUCUAAACAAAUUAAUUCAUUAAGACAAAAUAUAAGAUAUCCAGCUAACGACAAAACGAAAAACAAAUACACCUAUAAUACCAAAUAUCGUUAUAAAUGAAUAGAUCCGGUCUCGAAUCAAUACAAAACAACAAACGUUAAAUCAAAACACUUCAAUAGAUACGUGAUGACUACAAUGAGUAAAUCUACAAACUUUGGGCUUAUGAGUUUCAAAUUAUGCUUGCUGGGCCUUGCAAGCCCACCAAAAUGAUCUUUGGGCCCAAAUGGAUAACGCUUAUAUGUUAAUGGGCCUUCAAUGACCCAAUAUUUUAUAAAAGGACUUUCAAUAGCAUUGUGUGCUAGUGGGCCAAAGUGUCCUGCUAGAAAAGCUAGUAAGGUCACAGUAAUCAAAUGCGAGUUGGACCAUCGUGUCUUUCGCAUCCACGACAACCUAAGGAACUUACGAUAGUAGUGGGACAUAAUACUCCCUUCUCUUCAUUUGUUAAGGCUUACGCGAAAUUAAAGUAGACAUACUUAGGACGACAUAUUGUACGGGUUAAUUCAAUAUUCAUUCGUUAAGACAAUACAAAAAUCAGUAAUCACGAAUACAUUUCAGCAUCGGGAAACAUCGGGUUUUCCGGGGAAUUCAAUACUACUCGUUCUAAAUAUUAUAACUAUAAUACAAAAUACCCUUUAUAUAUGUAUAUAUGUUUUUAAAAUCAUUCAUGAAUCAGCUUAUGGAUCUCACACUUUGAUAAACAAAAGUCUUUUUCGGAAAACAUCGAAUUUCCUGGGUUUUACAAAAUACACCAAUCAUUUUAUCACAACAUUGCUUAUGAACUCACCAACAUUUCAUAUGUUGAAGUUUUUCCAAAAUAACUUGUAUUCUCAGGUAACAGGUAAGCGGAAGGGUUAAGAAGUUAUGUUAGAUGUUAUGUUGUUGAAUGUACUCAAACUAUUUAGGUUAUGAAUGUGUAGUGUUAAAACAAUGUACUUGAUAUGAACAAUUCCAGUUGUAAUAUAUUGAUGCAUGGUGACGUUUAUGUCAUGAUUCAUGUAUAUGCAUUGUGACGAUAUUCAAUUUAAGUCACGCGAGCCCUCGUAUGUUUCCACCGUCUGGUUCGGGGGUGUGACAGGUUGGUAUCAGAGCAUUGUUUAUAGUGAACUAGCAUAUCUAACCACACAUUGAUAUGCAACUAUAAACCAAAAAGGGGACUAACCCCAACUCUGAACAUAAUAGUUAAGAUACAUACAUUUGUGUGCAUUUUAGAAUAAUAACACAACAAGAACAGUAAAAGUCUUCGGAGGAUUUGAACAUCACUAUUAAACCCGGGCAGUUAUGUAGUCGUAUUGGGGGUGAAUGUAGCCUGAUCAACUACAUUCAUUCAAAAUACGACCAACAUGUGUUCGGGAGUAAUUGUGAUGGACAAUGAAUCAAAAACUUACCAUUUAAUUACCCAAAGAGCUUAAAGAACAAAACCUAAACAAAACUAAAUUACUAUAGGAGUAAUUGGUAUGCUAUUUGUUUCUAGUGUUUAUACCCCUUCGUGCAUUGCACUAUAAACGAGUAUUAUUAGCUAGGAAACCUAUAUCUCUGUAGUCAGGGAAUACUAGGGUAGCUCGACCCAGAGGAAGACCUAGAAGGAGACUCGGAGGAAGAACCAGAGGAGGAAGACGAAGUAGAACUUGUAGAUAGACCCGUCGAGGCAAUAGUGGACCUCGAAGAGGAAGAGCCAGAGGGCAACAGUGAUGAUGACUCGGAUAUAGAAUCUGAUGUCAUCAAUCCCCCAUGUAAAGCGAGAGUACCGACAUAUCGUGUGGGCCCCGGUGGCCCCAUGCCCCCUUGGGCACUCGGUAUUUGGAGGUGGAGUCAUCAGCAGGGGAUACGACCACACUAUGGUAGGAACCGAGGUCUCUUCGAUCUUAGUCAUAGAGGACAGCUGAUCCCAAUCAUGGUCCGGUGCACCUGAGGUAUUGAUAACCAAGCUCGGGACACCCUAAAUUGAACGGAACAAAUGUGGUUUGCUAUUGAGAGAAAUGAGAAGCAAACAUAGGAAGUGAACAGAGACUCUCGAGCGAGACAGUUAGUUUGGGAAGUACGACUACGAGAUACCGAAAAACAAGUAGCUCGCCUACGAGGUGCAUCCACUUCAUUAGCACCACCACCAGACACUUUCCGCUACAAUUAGGAUCAACCUUUUCUUUUCUCCCCCUACUAUCCGAUGUGACUCUCUUUCAUUUACUAAGAUGGUACUUACCAAUGGAACAAUUAUGUGCUAUCUUUAUUUCAGAUUACUACAUAAAUUUAAUGCACAACCGAACCCUCAAAACCGCUAGACACUUAAGGAUCUUGAAACCAAAACAAACCAUAUACUCUAGGGAUAGACGUAACGAUUGUUCCAAGUUUGCGAUUACCUACUACCAUAAAUACGUCAUAGGAAUGUAGAUGGAAACAAUGAGAAUCAUACGACAAGACGCGAAAUUUAUAGAGUACAACCAGGAAUGACGAUCAUUACUUGCGAUCUGGCUUAUUAACGUGCAGCAGGAAAAUGCCAUCCUGCAGGAAUAACAACCACACCCGCGAGACACCGCUCCUGCAAAUGGACUCUGCUACAGUCCAAGCUGCUGUAACAGCAGCAGUAACCGCUGCUAUAGCACAAAUCAAUGCAAACAACACCAAUGGAAGCAGGAAUAGCAUUGACAACUCCAGUCGAAGGAAAGAACAUGGAAACCAACAAGUGAGAGCUCAUCAAGGAACUCCAAACCCCAAGCUUAAGAGCAGGAAGUGGAAGUAUGGAAGUAAGAAAAAGGGACAGCCCGCUCAAGGGUUCUCAAGGAAGCAACAUGUUGUUGCUGUUCAUGCGACCAUGACCCCUAUUACACCAACAACCACGAGACCAUAUGUUGGAAGCCUUCCAAAAUGCAACCAAUGCAAUUUCCAUCAUAAUGGAGCCUGCCGGGAGAUGCAUUGUAAGAAAUGCAACCGAAAUAAAUCACACCACCAAAUACUAUAGCACUUAUCCAUGCCAGAAUCAUCAGCCAAAUGAAACCAACAACAAUCGCAACAACCCUAACAACAACACCAAUGAUGAUACCGGUCACACCCGCUGUGGGUGUGAAGGAACCGGUCACUUCAAGCGCAAUUUCCCCAAGGAUAACAAUCGAGGUGCAGAAGGAGCAGAAAUGGUACCGACAUUGGGUCAAGGCAAAGCAGUCCAAGACCCGACGGAUGUUACCGGUACGUUCCCACUUAACAACUCUUUCACUUACCCCUUAUUCAAUAGUGAAGCCGAGCAAAUCUUCGUUAGUAACAAAAUCAAAAACUUACUAAAACAAUCAACCCCUGAAGCUAAACGAAGCCUUCACGGUGGAGACGGCUAAUGGGAAAAACCGGAUCAACCAAAGAUAUUUAUGUAGAGUAUACCUUAACACUAAACAACCAUUCAUUUCAAGUAGAUUUAAUGCCAGUAAAUAUUAGGAGUUUUAAUGUGAUAAUCAGCGUGGAUUGGUUAAGCCCCACCAUGUUGAUAUUAUGUGUCACGAGAAGGCCGUUUGCCUUCACCCCCCCAAUCACGAAACUCUAAUAACCCAUGGUGAUAAACCUAACGUCAAUCCUCGUCCUAUCUCGUGCAUCAAGGCAUAGAAGUGCCUGCACCAGAAGAACUAUGUUUCCUCACCCUCGAUGUGGACAAGACCAAGGAAGAAGUAAGCAUGCAAGGUAUUCUAGUAAUAUGCGAUUUUCCGGAUGUAUUUCCCGAAGAACUUCCAGGAAUACCCCAGAGAGACGGGUUGAAUUUCGAAUCAACCUCAUACCUGGAACCACAUCAAUUGCCAAUUCACUCUAUAGGUUGACAAUCGCCAAAAAUUCAGAAGUUAUCCAGUCAAUUAAGAAAAUUUCGAGCAAAGGAUCCAUCGGACCAAGCUUCUCCCCCUGGAGAGCUCCGGUCUUGUUCUUCAAGAAGACAGAUCCUUCAGAAGGUACAUCGAUCUUAGGAAAUUGAAUAAGCUCCCUAUCAAAAAAUCGAUACCCACUUCCUCGGACUGAUGAUCUAUUUGACUAGCUCUAAGGAGCUAGUUACUUCUCUAAAAUAAAUCUAAGAACCGAUUAUCAUCAACUUCGAGCCCGAGUAGACGACAUUCCAAAAACUACCUUCCGAACUCGUCGUGACCAUUUCAAAUUCAUUGUGAUACCCUUCGGUCUAAUGAAUGCUCCCACGGUAUUCAUGGACCCUACGAACCGAGUUAUCCCGAGCAUUCCUAGUUAGCCUUUUCAUUAUUUUCAUCAAUAACAUACUCGUCUGCCCAUGAAGCGAGAACGAAACAUUACCAGCAUCUGCAACCAGCCUUGAAAGCAUCUAAGUCAGAGGAUAUUCCGAAGAAAGCACUGCAUGGAUAGAUAAAACUCUAGAAGUCGGAAGACGAAGCUUAUUGUUAUAAGAGUUGAGUUGGGUGUUAUCUGGGUGAUCGCCGAUAGGUUAACCCAAUCUGCCCAUUUCCCGCUAAUACAAAAAUCAAACAGGACGGAAAGAUUAGCUUGGAUCUAUAUCAAGAAGAUGAUGAGACUCCAUUAAAUAUCGGUAUCUAUCAUCUCGGAUCGAGAUAAUGGAAUUUCUUCAAGACUUUGACAGUAACUUCAGAGAGCUAUGGGAACAUAGCUAGAUAUGAGCAUUGCUUACCGCCCUCAAACCAAUAGCAAAGUGAACGGACUAUUCAACCACUCGAAGUCAUGCUCCGAGCCCGAGUGUUGGAAUUCAGUAAGUCAUGGGAUACCCGGUUGCCCUUGAUUGAAUUCUCACGCAAUAAUAGGUAUCGCACGAGCAUCAAGGAUGCUCUUUUUGAAGCUCUUCAUAGUCAUAAAUGCAGAUCACUCGUCAGUACUCACAUGGGACCAGAAAACUAUUCGCGUGAUGACAGAGAAGAUAAUCCAAAUCAGAACUCGACUUCAAGCAUCGCGAGACCGACAGAAGAGCUACGCUGACGAGCGGCGUAAGCCAUUUGGAUGCCAAGACGGGAUCGUAAUUUAUUAAAGGAAUCUCCUUGGAAAGGAAUGAUUCGAUUUAGGAACCGAGAAAACUAAACCCACGAUACAUCAGACUGUUAGAGAUUCUUGUUCGGAUAGGUACAAAGACUAAUAGGCUGCAGCUGCCUGUAGAGCUCAUAAAUGUACACCCUAUGUUCAGCGUACCGAAUCUGAAAAAGAGCCUAUCAAGCAAAACUAUUAUCAAUCCUUUAAGAAGAGGUCGAAAUAAACGAGAAUCUCUUGUUCGUCGAAGAACCAGUCGAGGUACUGGAUAGGGAAGUAAAGCGUACAUAACAAAGCCGCAUUCUGAUUAUGAAGAUCCGAGGGAACGCUAAGCGUGGACCGGAAAUUCACAUGGGAACGCAAGGACCAGAUGAAGUAGAAGUGCCCUCACCUAUUCUCACAUUCUCAAAUCUAGCUUUCAAAAGAAUUUUGGGACAAAAUUCCCUCUAACGGGGGGAUGAUGUCACAACUAGGAAAUUUUUAUGCCUUGUAACUACAACAAUUAUGUUAACUAUCUUAAACCUAGAACACUCAAAUGGGCCCUAAUUGGACCCAUAUGCAUGAAACUUAAUACUUUGGACCAUAUUGGUCCUAGAAUGAAAUAAAAUACCCUAAUGGACCUUAUUGUGCCAUAACUAACCUAAUUAGCUCUAAUGGACUAUGAAACCCAUUAUUCUUGACAAAUUGGGCUGUAAACCUUCAUAGAGGCCCAAUGGGCCGAAAAAUUGAUGAUUAGGUCCAAAAAUCCUAACAAAAAUUUAAUGGGCUCAAACUAUUCCAUUCGUACCUUCUAAGCCAAAUUUUCGGCCCAUGCUAAAAAGAAAAAAAANNAAAAAGAGGGGGGGGGGGGGGAAAGGAAUUAAGGAAGGAAUUAGGAGGUGAUGACAACUCAUAAUUGUCUAGCAUACUUCUAGGUCAUCACAAACAUCCAUGAAAUCUUUACCCUCCACACAAGGCCUUCUCUUCCUCCCCUAUUUCUCUCACUCUCGGCCAAGAUACAUACACACAAACUCUCUCAAAUAAUAUCUCAAACACUCACAAGAACACUCCUACACUUUCCUCUAAAUUUUCGAGAAUUAGAGAGUGCUUCAAAAGGAUUCUCACAAGAAAAUCAUCAUUCUUUGGUAAGUUUUUAUAUGUCUAAGUUAUAUAACUCUAUUCUCUUGCAAGAUCACUUCUUCUAAACAAGCUUUUGGUGAUCAUACUCCUAGAAAACUUCGUAAGCUCGAAAUUUACUACAAGGUGUUGCUAGAGCCGAAAAUAGCAUCAAAUUUCUUCCUUUUCUUCUUCAAAUCGAAAUCAUCAAGCAAAGGUGAGUUUCAUACCCCUCUAUUUUUGGUUUUUCAUAUUUUUUAUGGGGGAGAAUACAAGAAAAUGUGUAGAUCUAUGUGUAUGUGUAUGCUAUGUGUGAUUUUAUGCAUGUAUGUGUGUGAUGUUAUGUGUUUUUGAGAUAAAUAUGUAACAAAAGGAGUGAUAAUUCGAGAUCUAUGACAUGAGAAAGGAAACAAAAAUAAUCUAAUUUAUUUUACACUAAUCAAGUCAAGAAAAAUAGCUUAAAAGGUUAUGAGAAACAUAUUCUAACAUAAAACCCAUUUUAGGGCAUAAAUUGUCAAAAAUACAAAACUUGGGUUAAAAACUGUCAAGUCACGGUUUCCUGAGGGUCAAAAGGGUCAAAACAGUUUCUAUAAUCAUUUUUCUGAAUUUUAGAAUUUUCAAAGGACUUGAAAUGCAAAUUUUUAGCUUAAUGGGCUAACUUUGGGCUUUUCGGCCCAAUAAGCCCAUAAUUGCGAAAAGGACCAAAAAUGUAAANCUAAGGGGCUGAAUUGUAAUAUUCUGUAAAACAGGGGACAUGAAGUGAAAUAAAACUAUUUCUAAGGUCAAAAAUGCUUUUAAACUCCAAAAAGGAUCAAAAUGUUUACUUUUUGUAUUUUGGGCCAAAACUGUAAAAGUUGCGAAAUUUGGGGUUCUAACCGAGAAACACCAUUUUGGAAGGGCUAAAACUAUUUAUAAAUAUAAUUUGGGUUAAAAAUGUCUUUUCAAGAAGUUUAUGAUACAAAAGUGUCAAGAAAAUGUUUUUAAGGACUAAAAAUGAAAUUCUUUUAUAUAAAGGACUAAAAGUGUUAUUUUUAUAAAAGAAAGGUAGUGAAAAGGGUCAAAGUCAUACUUCUAAACAAAUUCAUUAAGACAAAAUACAAGAUAUCCGGCUAGCGGAAAAACGAAAAACAAAUACACCUACAAUACCAAAUAUCGUUAUAAACGAAUUGAUUCAAUCUCGAAUCAAUACAAAACAACAAACGUUAAAUCAAAACACUUCAAUAGAUACGUGAUGACUACAAAGAGUAAAUCUACAAACUUUGGGCUUAUGAAUUUCAAAUUAUGCUUGUUGGGCCUUGCAAUCCCACCAACAUAAUCUUUUGGCCCAAAUGGAUAACGCUUAUAUGUUAUUGGGCCUUCAAUGACCCAAUAUUUUAUAAAAGGACUUUCAAUAGCUUUGUUUGCUAGUGGGCCAAAGUGUCCCGCUAGAAAAGCUAGUAAGGUCGUGGUAAUCAAAUACGAGUUGGACCAUCGUGUCUUUCGCAUCUACGACAGCCUAAGGAACUUACGAUAGUAGUGGGACAUAAUACUCCUCUUCUCUUCAUUUGAUAAGACAAUACAAUACAGGUUAAUUCAAUAUUCAUUCAUUAAGACAAUACAAAAAUCAGUAAUCACGAAUACAUUUCAGCAUCGGGAAACAUCGGGUCUUCCGGGGAAUUCAAUACUACUCAUUCGAAAUAUUAUAACUAUAAUACAAAAUACCCUUUAUAUAUGUAUAUAUGUUUUUAAAAUCAUUCAUGCAUCAACUUAUGGAUCUCACACUUUGAUAAACAAAAGUCUUUUCAGAAAAUAUCGGAUUUUUGGGUUUUACAAAAUACACCAAUCAUUUUAUCACAACAUUGCUUAUGAACUCACCAACAUUUCAUAUGUUGACGUUUUUCCAAAAUAACUUGUAUUCUCAGGUAACAGGUAAGCGGAAGGGUUAAGAAGUUAUGUUAGAUGUUAUGUUGUUGAAGGUACUCAAACUAUUCAGGUUAUGAAUGUGUAGUGUUAAAACAAUGUACUUGAUAUGAACAAUUCCAGUUGUAAUAUAUUCAUGCAUGGUGACGUUUAUGUCAUGAUUCAUGUAUGUUCAUUGUGACGAUAUUCAAUUUAAGUCAAGCGAGCCCUCGGACGUUUCCACCAUCUGGUUCGGGGUUGUGACACUUUUAGUAUUGGUUAUAAGUCAAGUGUCGUAGAAUUUGGUUAUUAGUUUUCAAGUAUAGUAUGUUCCGAUUCAUAGUAGAAGUCUAUAUAAAUAAACUCAUUAAUUUAGUAGUAAUGACUUCAAUUGAAAUCUUGUAAUCUUUGAUCCAUGCCUGAUCCACUCCUAAGACCACUCAAUGUAUACUAGUUGUGUGUAACUAAGGUUCGAUCGACUGUCGAACUUAAUGGCUUUGCUCUGAGUCCACAACCAAACAAGGAACCGGAUCCAAGGCGGACUCACCAUUUCUAAGUCGAUCGCCCUUAAUUACAUAUAACCUCGAGCUAUAUAUUAAAUAAUCUCAGAGUUACCAUAAGUAAAUCGUUUGUAAUGCUAUGUUAUGCAAUUUGAGGGGAACACCUAAUAAAAUAAAAUGCGUGCAAAUUUUCGUUGAUAUAACUUAGUACAUGUCUGCAGGAAAAUUUGACCUUAUAGAAGGUCUACAUUAUAUCAAUGUAACAGAAAAUUUUGACAACACAUGGACCCUUUGACUAGUGUAAUCACUUAGACGUAGGGUCAAAACUAGUUGCAAGAAAGUGUAGCCCCAACGUAUACCCAUAAACCUAGUUUAUAAAAAAAAUGCGAGUAUUGCAAACACUACUCGAGGCGGGUGGUAUCAGUGGGCCCAUUGUGGCCUUGGGACGAGGUCGAGGCUCCAUGAAGCUCCGCAAUCCGGCGUUUGGCCGCGAUCACUCUCUCCUCGAGAGCUAUGUGCCUCACCUGGUACUCCCAUACCUCCGCCCAAGCGGCGGUAAGGUCCUCGAUGAGUUGGUCCACGGGAUAGAAGUCUCUUUCCAAAUCCAUAGUGCGUGCAUUGGUGGCUUCUACAACAAUGUUCAGAUCCCUAACUUGAUCUUCCAUUUCCCUAUUCUGGUUCCCCAUGUUCAUGAUUUGUUGGACCACGACGGGGAGGGCUCUGUCAGCCGGUCCCCCAUGGCUGAGCUCAUAGUAACUCUGUUGAUCGCCAUAUGGUGAUCGUUGUCGUUGUUGACAGCUCCACCUCUCGAUCACUGUUGCCCAACGGGGCUCAUGCCUGUUGUAUCCGAAACGGUUCGCAGGCACCCUGGCGAUGUAAGGAGGGUAAAAAACAUUCACCUCUGGAUCCUCCUCUUCUUCUUCGUCCUCAAAUUAUUCUUCGGGUUCUUCUUUAUGCAUUUCUUCUUCCUCCUCGGGUUCUUCUUCUUCUUCGGCCACUUUGGGAUCUUCCACGGGAUCCUCUUCCGGUUCUGCUUCUAUCCACCCACCAUUUCCUUGGUUCGGAAAGUAGGGAUCCGCUGGUGGAUGAAAUCCUACCAUGUCGUCUGUACGAGAAUAAGGGUGUAAGAGGCACAUAAUGAAUCUAGGUGUAUUGUGUUUUAGUGUAUAAAAUACUCCUAUAGUAUGUUAAAUGUUUUGUUUGAUUGUUAGGGUUAUACUUGUAUGGAAGUUGGUAGGUUGAUAGACUUGUUGUCCAUUAUGACUAUCCCCCGGCAUAUACUAGUCACUUCUAGGAAGAAUAUAGAUGAUCAGGCUAUAUUCCUCCCAGACUUGAUUGCAUAUCCCAAGGCAUAAUCACAGUGCACAACUCCUCUAUUUUUGACUUUCGUGUUUUCCUUAGACGUGAAACUAUAUAUCGGUAUGCAUGUAUUUACUUAUACCUUUUCAUCAGAAUAACGUUUUAUUUUUAAAAGUAUAAUUGUAGGGGAAAAUAGUUAAUCAGAGAAUCUUAGUCCCUUUGUGAUUAUAGUUUGUAUAUCUUAUGUGGUUUGAUAUAAUAUGCUCACUAUAAACAAUGCUCUGAUACAAUCUCUAACACCCCCGAACCAAGGAUGGCGGAAACAUCAGGAGCUUCUUGGGAUUGGCAGAGUACUACCGGAGAUUCAUACAGGAUCUCUCCGAGAUUGCGGUACCCUUCAAUCUUUUGACGAGGAAGGGGGUGGAUUUCUGGUGGGGCCCUGAGCAGCAGACUGCAUUUGAGAUUUUGUGACAGUAACUCUGCGAGGCGCCAGUUUUUACACUCCCUAAGGGAGUUAAGGAUUUCGUGGUGUUCUGUGAUGGAUCGAUCAUCAGAUUGGGAGCAGUCCUUAUGAAGAGGGGACAGGUGAUAGCCUCUGCAUCGCAACAGUUGAAGCAGCAUGAGACGAGAUAUCCCACACACAAUCUGGAGUUAGGAGCGGUGGUAUUCGCUCUCAAGAUUUGGAGACAUUAUCUUUAUGGGGUCCGCUGUACCAUAUACACGGACCACAAGAGUUUGAGACACAUAAUGGAUCAGCCGAACCUGAACAUGAGGCAACACAGGUGGAUGGAUGUAGUCAAGGAUUAUGAUUGCGAGAUCCUUUACCGUUCGGGUAAAGCAAAUGAGGUUGUACACGCCCCGAGCCCCAAGUCAGAUGGAUCUUCUAUUCCAGCAACAUGUAUGAGGAUAUUAGUGGAUUCUCCACUUGUGAGCUUCAUAAUGGAACCUCAGGAUAAGGGUGUGUGGCAGGGAACUAGAAACUUGAGAGGAUCAGGGGAGAGAUCACCCGAUUUGUGCAGGAUAGUCACGGAUUGUUGACCAGUUGUGUUCGGUUCGGGGUUUCGAUGUCUGGUGGGGUCAGACAGAUUGUACUAGAGGAGACUCAUAAGUUUUGUUUCUCUAUUCACCUGCAGACCACCAAGAUAUACUGAGAUAUGAGACUAAGCUACUGGUGGCCAUGCAUGAAGAGAGAGGUCGCAUGGUAUGUCGAGAGGUGCUUGACUUGCAAGUUGGUCAAGGCUGAGCAUCAGAGGCCGCAUGAAAAGCUGCAGCCUCUAGAGGUUCCUAUGUCGAAAUUGCGAGCAGAUCACGAUGGACUUCAUCACCAAGUUGCCAAGAACGGAAAAGGGCUUCAACGCUAUAUGGGUCAUCGUGGAUCGAUUGACCAAGAGUGCCCAUUUUCUGCCCUUUCAGGAGAGCUCAUCGCUGCUAAGAAGCUGGCCGAUAUAUAUAUCCACAAGAUUGUUGCUCGCCACGGGGUACCGGUCUCUAUUGUCUCACACCGUGAUGUUCGAUUCACCUCCAGUUUCUAGCAGAAGUUCCACGAGGAACUGGGCAUGCGGCUGCAUUCCAGUAUUGGUGCUCCACCAUUUGAGCUGUUAUAUAGAUGGAGAUGCCUCACCCCAGUCUGUUGGGGUGAGGUUGGUCACAGGGUGAUAGGUCGAACCGAGGUAGUUCUGCAGACUAUCGAGAGGAUUUGACAGAUCAGGCAGCGGCUGCAGACUGCUAAGAGUUGGCAGGACAGUUACACCGACCGAUGCCGAUCUGAGUUGGAGUUUCAGGUUGGUGACAUGGUACUAUUGAAGGUAUCACCCUGGAAGGGUGUGAUUCGCUUAAGAAAGAAGGGGAAGUUUGGUCCCCGAUACACUGGACCCUUUCAUAUUAUUGCUAAGGUUGCCAAGGUGGAAUAUAGACUAGAUCUCCUAGAGGAGCUCAGUCAGAUUCACAACACUUUUCACGACUCACAAUUGCAAAAGUGCAUAUUAGAUGAGGAUGCAGUGCUGUCAUUAGAUGAUAUUCAAGUCGAAAAGUGCCUGAAUUACGUGGAAAGGUCAGUGGUCGUUCUGGAGAGGAAAGUGAAGGUUCUACGGAAUAAGGAGGUACCUUUGGUAAAGGUACAAUGGGAACAUCAGAGGGGAUCCGAGUGGACAUGGGAGCUGGAGGCCGAGAUGUGGGAGCAUUAUCCGGAGUUGUUCACCGCAUCAGACUUGGAAGACGAAGUCUAGUUCAAGUGGGAGAGACUUAUAACAUCCCGACUCCCAACUAUGAAUAUCAAAAAAUUUUAUACAUCAUUUAAGACCCACUCGAUGACUUGAAGGCCCCAAGUCUUCGUGUAGAAAUUGAUCAGUCCGCAUGGUUUAUGGAACCUACUAAAAGAGUUGAGGACCCCAACUCGACGAAUUGAGGUUGUGCAUGAAAACCCUAAUUUUUAGGGUUUGCACCCUAUUUAAAGGACCAUAAGUCCCCUUCACCAACCUCCCUUAUCACUUUACAAUCAAAAGAAACCCUAAUCGAGCUAACCUUCCAUUCUUGAGAGUGUAUAAGGCUAAAGAGUGUGUGUUUGGUGCAUUCCUUGAAGAAGGUUGAAGUGGUGAGUGCAUAACUGAAGGAAGGGGUUGUAGAUUCGAUAUUUGCAUUGUUGUAGCAGCCAUCUUGAGGUAUAAAGCUGCUACCUUGACCUUUCAUUGCUUAGAUCUCCUCUCAUGAAAGAAAAUGGUAAUUUUUGGUACAUCUUGGAGUCAUUCUCGGAUUAGGGCUUGUCAUGAGGACAUGGCUUUAGAUCUAAACCCCUUUAGGUCUCCUUAGGCCUAAAGAGUCAAGCAUUGUGAAGUUUUGGCCAACUUCAAUGCCCUAAACCUCUUAUUAAGCUUAGUUUUAGUGUUUUAAUCCCUUUGAAGCCUUGCAUGCACGUAAAGUUGCACUUUACGUGGUAUCUCAGUCCUAAGAGGCUAGAUCUGUAUUUUGGAGCCUUGGAGUCGGCUGGAAAUGGAUGAACUCAUUAAGACAGCAAAACUCGACGAGUUGCUUAGCCAAAUUGAUGAGUUGGAUAAGGAUUUUCCCGCUUUCUAGAUUCCGAGUGGACUCGGUGAGUGGGUGAGAUGACUCAGUGAGAUCACUAAGGUUUUCCUGGUCUUCUGAACAUCGAAGAAAUCGAUAAGUUACUCGGGUAACUCGGUGAGUUGUCUCGAGCGUUUCAUAAUCUUUUGAGUUAUGAAGGAACUCGGCGAGUCAGUAGGUGAACUCGACGAGUCGGGUCAACAUGGACUGUUGACUUUGACUUUGACCAUGGUUGACAAAGUUUGACUUCUGGAGGUAUGUUGGUAAUAUGGGAUUCUAAUGGAAUUAGUCAUGAUGAGGAUUACAAGUAAUUGAGUUUGGGACUGAGAGUUAGGGUUUGAUCUUCUUGAUUCAGCACUACUUGUGAGGUGAGUUUUCCUCACUAUACUAAUAGGGUCGAAGGCACCAAUGCUAACCCUUUUCGGAUUGUUAUCCUGGUUAUGGCAUGAUGAUAUGCUUAGUGAUCUGUUAGAUCUGUAUCCUGGUAUAUAUAUGAUGAUCCUAUGUUUAUUGAUAUAUUAGAUCGGUCUGACUUUUUGUACAUGCUAGCAUUUGUUAUUUGUGUGUUGAGUGUAUGCUUGCAAGUGGGUUGAGGUGGUCCUGCUUUGUGUUGUAGGCCAAGAUACCCGGGGCAGCCCUGAGAGACUAAAGGCCCAAUGGGGCAUACCAGUCAGGCUGAAGGCCCGAAGAACGGUCCAGAUAGGCUGAAGGCCCGGUAGGGCGGACAAUACAUGUUGAAGGUUUUGAGAGUGGGUCAGAUAGACUGAAGGCUCGGUGAGGACGGUUCAGUUAUACUACAGACUCUAUAUGCAUGUUGUUUGUUAUGAUACUGUCCAGGUUUGUAUGGCAUUGGUAUUUUGGAGGAACUCACUAAGUUUUGAGCUUACAAUUUUGGAUUUUGUUUCAGGUACUCCAGAUGAUCGCGGGAAGGCGAAGUUUUGAUCGUGCACCUGCUCACAUUUUCUGAUUUUGAUUUUUGGGAUACUCUGAUAUGAAGCUAUUUUGAAAACAUUUUGUAAUAAAUAAUGGUUUUUGGAUACUUGAAAAAGUUUUAAAUUUUUAUGAAUCUUAUGUAUGUUACAUGAACGCUUGCUAUUCUUGCUCCUUAACGACCAGGAAUCAUUUGAAUCGUCUGAAUCAACAAUGAGAAGAAUUUGAAGAUGAAAGAUGGAAAAGAAGGUAAAGGAGAACAAGGUAAACAAGACGCAAGAAAACGAAGGCCAAAGACGAGUGGAGGGAUGAUAUGCACCGGAAAAACAGGGUGAAAACAAAAAUCAACAAAAUCGCCUAAGAGAAUCCAUGAAUUUUAGGUAAAAGACCAUCGGGUGUUUGGGAUUUUGCUUCAACACGGGGUUUUGUAAUUUCUUAGGAGUGCAAGUCGAUUGCUGACAGGUAGAAAGGGUUUGCAGAGAGAAGGGAGGGAGGAAUAAAGGUACGACGGGUGGAGAUCUAGAGGAGAGAGUGCAGAGGUAGAGGAAGACAGGUGUUCAAAAUUUUGGCGGAUUUUUUUCGCCCCUUAGCUAUUAAGGAGAUGCGCGCUCUUAAGACAAAUAUAAAGCAACUGCAAUUUUAGGACACACAAAAAUACAUGUGUUAAAUACUUCAAAUUUUCAAAGAGAGACAUUGUUUUAGGACACGCAGUUUUACGCGUCUUAAAGACACGCAGUUUUACACGUCUUAAAGCCAAUGUAUAUUAUAGUUCGUGUGUCAUUAAAUGCCUAUAUUCUAAUAUUAUGAGUCAUUUGUUGACCUAAUAGUCCAUGAACAAUGUGUCAGUAUUCAUUGAUUAAUAUUAGAAGUGCAUUUUUGUUUAAUAUUUAAAAGUAUAUCACGUUGUUAUUUUUUGCUUAAAGUUAAUAGUACAUUGUUGUUUUUGGGUAACAAACAACUUGAAACAUAUAUUAUAGUUAUUGUAAUAAUUUAUGUCUGUUUCAUAAAAUAUGUAGUUUUAAGUUUUUGCAUAUAAUAUCAGUAUUUCUGCAUUUAUAAAAACAUUUUAUUUUCAUGUAAUAACAAAAUAUUUUGUAAAGUAAACACCAAAAGUGAUGACAUCAAUAAGGGCGGCGAUGGGCAAUAACGGCGAUUUGAUCACUAGGGGCACUUUAAUCAAUGACAUAUCAAUAGAGCGACAAUAUUGUGGGUGGCUUCAAUGGCAAGAGACAUAUAUGUAAUAAUUACGACACCAAUAGCGGUGACAUAUAGGCAAGUGCAACGACUAAUGAGCAUCAACCACAAAGCAAUAACUAUGACUUAUAAACGAACACGUUUGACACGAAACGUUUGGGAGCUUCUGAUUUUAACAUUUGACAAAACGUUCCGUUUUGAACAAAAAAUCUUGUUUGACACUACAAAUUUUUAACGUUUAGGUUAUAAAAAACGUUCUAAACCUGAAAGCUAUCUCAUGUACCUUUUAACAAAACGCUAACAGCUACCCACUAUCAAUUUCAUGCUAUCCGCUAGCGUUGUCAAACAGGCCCAACAACAUUUUGUUUCUAAAGCCUUUAACAUUGAUUUUAGAAAAUUCUAAUUUACAAUUCAAAAGUUUUCAACCUCACUCUGCUCUAAAAAUGUAGAAUAAAGAUUAACCACGAAUCGCAAAGUGCAUUAUAAAUGAGAUAAGGUAAUGACGUCAGAGCAUUAUCUAACCAACCACGUCUACAAGAAAGUCUAUAAAGAGACACACAUACACACCCACUGAUAAAAAAGUAAAAUGGCCCAAAUUUGUCACUUUUUACUAGUUUUUUCAAUAUAUUUUCUGUUUUUUUCUGUGGCAAAGAAGCAUAACCAGAUCACCAAACUCAACAAAUUGACCGAGUCAAGAAGAUCAGAGAAUCCGCCAGCUGGGGAACCAUGGACAGAAGAAGAUAUUUCAAACUUCUCUCCUGUACUUUCUAUUGAACCUCAACAAGGAUCAAAGGAAGCAGACAGGGUUGAUAGGCUUCCAGGUCAACUACAAGUGGACUUUGAUCAUUUUGCAGGCUAUAUAACAGUCGAUUUAAAGGCUGGAAGGGCAUUGUUCUAUUACUUUGUUGAAUCACCUCACAAUUCAUCAACCAAACCUCUCCUCCUCUGGCUAAAUGGAGGUAAUGCGUUUUUUGUUUCAUUCUACUGCUGUAAUGGGCCCAUGACAAAAUAUAAGAUUACAUUUUGUCCUAACCAAUUUUUGGAAUCAAUGUGAACUGAACUUUAACUUUUUGUUCCACCAAAAAAAGAUGCCACUAAAAUAAUGCUUGCAAAAGACGUGAAUAUCAUUUAUUCUCAUCAUGGAAUAUUAUAUGAUAAAUCAUCAUGAUUUACAUGUGCUGAAAUUGACCACUAGUAAUGAAGAUAAUGUACAGGGCCAGGGUGCUCGUCGUUUGGAUACGGAGCCAUGGAAGAACUUGGACCCUUCCGAGUCAACAGUGAUGGGAAAACACUUUAUCGCAACGACUAUGCAUGGAAUAAUGGUAAUACAAAUUAAUUCCUUUAAAAGCUUUUUAUGACUAUUUCUAUGAUGAGGAUGAGGGAGGACACCUUUAAAAGCUAUCACAAUGUAAAACGUACCCUAAAUCCUGAAAAUCUGAC